rnacentral:lncRNA from 1 species
UCAACGCCGGUGGAGUUAGCAAGGAAAUAGUACGAACCGGGUUCCCGAGAAAUGGCAGGUUGGAUCCUUCCAAUGGGUUCGGCAACAGACCGGAAUUCCAGAGUGCCGACGCACGUGGAGGCCAGCAAUGGAGUGAAGACCAUGUGAUUCCUGGGGGAGACGCAAACGACGUCGUAAAUGCUGGUAUCGAUAUCUUUAAUGAGUCUGCAUCCGGCCCAUCCCGAGCCCAAAACCACCACCCUCGCCUUCUCAUCCCCCUUUGUGGGCGCAAGCCCAGCAUACGUCGCGGCAACAGUACCAGCUCCACUGCCUUUAUCACUCACCUCCGCCUCCGCCGCCUUCUCUUCGGUGGCGGCGGUGCUGAACUGUAGCAACUGGUGGGCGAAAGCAUAGGAAAGUGACGUAGCAGUAGUGAUGGGUUUGAGCGACGAGUGUGUUCCGAAGGUCGUAGAGGAGGAGAGGGGGAUGAGAUUUCUGAACCAAGGCAUGGCGGUUUAGGGUGGAAGCUGUUGGUUUUAAUAUUUUAUUUGUUUCCUUAUGUAGUAGUAGUGGAAGGCUGGUACUUUUUAUGCUGGAUAAUGGAUUUAAGGGAGGAUUGACGACAUGAACGAAUUGGUGAUUGAGGAUUUAAGAAGGGAAUUGGAAGAUUCUCUGAUUUUUGGCAUCCCCAGUUUUUUGGGGAGAGUUUCUGUGGUUUUGACGGAAAAUGGAUCGAGUACGGUCAUACGAGAAAUUAUUAUCAUUAUUAUUAUUGUCAUUGGCUGCUGCGCUGGGACGACGAGACAGGUGGCGGCCUGAUGGGUCAACAGAUGGCAUGAUGGUGGUGGCUAUUACCUGGUCGAGGAUUCGGUGAAUCAAAAAAUUUCGCGCCCCGCAAGAGAUGGAAAGGUGGUAUGGUGGUCUCUGUCCUUUUCUUUUUUGGUUUUAACAAAAUGGUCUUUGUCAGUUGAUAAUAUUAAAAAAAAAAAAAACAGAUAUUACUUAGAAAAAACUGAAAUAAACAAAGCCUUUUCUUUGGCAAAGUAGUUUGUUUUUUUCGUUUUUGUGCAUAAUUUCUUAUUUUGGUUUUCCAUUUGUUGCUCGAUGAAGUUCAGAAGUUAAUUACUUGAUCUAUAUGUUGUUUUUCCUUCUAAACUAAAAAUUUAAUCUAUUUUUAUGUUACGAGGGAGGAAGGUACCCAACACGAUUUGUAUGGGAUUGGAGGUGAACCUCCAACUGGGCAACAACGAGAAAGGCAAGUAGAAGACGUAAGCAGAGUCGACUUCCUCUUCCCAUUUCCAUCCUUCUCAGUUUUUUUACUCCUCAAGAAGAUGGCCUGGUGUUGUGCAGUGUUUAUAUAUGUAGAAGUCUUAGCGCUGGCGUUGUGCAGUGAGUAUACGCAUGUAUAACAAAGAUCAUGGGCAACCCCCCCCCCCCCCCAAAAAAAAAACCACCAAGGAAAAAAAAAACCAUUUUCAUUUUGGGGUUGGGGAAGAUUGCAGUUGACAUUCGAGCAAAUGGUUUGAGACAUGAUGCGAGAGUAUUGUGGGAGUAUCCGAGCGGCGCAUCUUGGGUCAACGGAUUGCUGUUGCUCACCUAACUAAUUUAAGGUAAGCUGCCGUUUACCAUAAUUCCUUUAGUUGGGUAGCACUCACAAACUUUACGGACUCCAGGAGAUUGAGAAGCACAUGGAAUUAAACUUGUGACUUCCACGCCAACCAGUCCGAGAUAGCAAUUCCCAGUAAAGAAUUCCAAUUCAUAUACUAGUUUUUAUAAUUCCGUUGUCUUCAUCUUGGUACCUUAUUAACACAUUGAAGGCUCCUACAAGUGAAUCAUCACACAUUCAGCUCAUUUUAGUACCUUAAUAAAUAGAUUGAAGCCCAAGUAAGUGGAACAUAAAAAGCGGAAAAUAAAUAUGCAAUUAAACGAGCUUUGAAGGAAACUGAUAAUCAAGUCAUUUGUUACAAGGACAAAAUGCAUUCCCUUGCGACUACCCUAAGAUCAAUUAUAGUAAAUUCCUGUCAAUGCAUUUGAGAGUUGCGUCUUUUUUUUCUUUUUGUCUGUCCGUCUAACGAGUGUCCACUUGUUAAGAUAUAAUUCAUUUGUUAACAUUUUUAAGGAGAAGAAGCUAUCCUGCGUGUUGAUAUUGUCAGUGCAAUAUUUAUCACAUACAAAUCGACAGGUAAGAACUCAUUAACAGCAUCUAGGCGAACACAUAUAUAGUGUAAACUUUGUGUGGCUUUCUACAGACACAAACUGUCGGCAAAAUUAACUUCACAUCCAAAAGUGUUUCUUGUGCUAUAGCCCGAUUGCAAAAAUCAAAAAAGACAAAGAAAAAAAAGUUUGUAGGUUCUGUGACCUUCACUUCUUUUGCCUUUGUUUUUUUUUUCUUUUUAGUCAUAUCUUUUCGUAUAUAAUUAAAGCAUGAGACAUGGUUUCGAUAUUGAAUUCUUGGUUUUCUUAAAUGGGUCUAAAAUUUAUCAUAUAUAUCUAAAAAUUUCUCAUAUCCAAAUCCAAACAAAUUUAAUAUCGUCCACCCUCCACGAAAUGAAGAACACUACUAGCUGGCAAAAUCGAAACUGUUUCGUAAUGGCUCACAACAAUAUUUAUUAAUUUCGGCUGCCACUCACGGUCGCGGGUUCGCUCGUAGUAACGGCCCACUACUCAAAAAUCUUCGCCCCUAUUUAUAAUAACUUAUAAGACAACAUGCUGGUUGUUUCAAAACCAAGAUUCAGCUUAGCUAAUCACAAGGUUUUUGGUUUGACUCUCUAACCUAAUCUCUUUUCUUAUCCCCUCUUGUAUGAUUUGAGUGUCCUCUUGAAUUAAAAAAACGUUUGAUUGUCUAAACAAAAACUAGGAUAUAUAAAGAGUUUGGCUAAUGAGUAUCCAUUAAGAGCACUCAUUACAAGUAGCCUUAAGUGUUUGUUUUUUUUUUUUGUUUUUUUUGCCAAUAAGUGUAAUUAAUUUGAGAAGGUAUCUAAAUGCAUAAGGUGCAAUAUUGUGACUGUAUAUAUUCACAUGGUAAAUAAGCAAACAUCCUUUAGUAAAAUCCUAGCAUGAAUGAUUUGUUUUUAAUUUAAUUGUCACUGAUAACGCCUAGCUAUUCAUAGUAUAAUCUUAUAAAACGAAUAUUAAUUCCUUUAAUUUUAUCCUUAAAUCCCAAGCUUGAUGGGCGUUGGACCCCAAAAAGACAAGUAAAAUAAAAUGUUUCAGCAUGUGUCACACAUAUAGAUAUAAUCAAUACAAUCUAACUCCUCUCGGCCACUAAUUGUGAUAGAAAGGAAUAUGCAUCAGUUGAUCUCUAAAGUUUCAAUUCACAAAGAAGCAAAUGUUGUAGUAUGGAUAAAUUGCAAUCUCCCUCCUCCCUCAAGAAAAUGCCACUUAAUAACAAAGUCUUGAACGUACGUGAAUUUCAUUAAGAAAAAAAAAAAACAUGGAAAGAAAGAAACAGCAUACACAACAAACCCUUCAAUGAAAUGUAAACAGGAAACAGUUGCCUUGACGAAGCCCUCCCUAAGCAUAGGAAGGAAUAUCCAUAACGCAAAAAAAACAAAACAUCAAACGGAGCUCUUUAUUGCACAAUGCAUCAGUUGAUCUAAAGUUACAGUUUUAGACCCCCCCAGGAUUGGAUCAUACUUUUUAGCCGCUCACGUCGUAUGCAGAAAAAGGUACUGAUAGCAAAUUGCCGGACUUGUUUUAUAUAUCAACGUUUCCUGGGCCUCAUUUGCGGUGACCGCGCCUAGGAUCAUGGCCGGUGUUAGCCGAGGGUGCGCUGUAAUCAUCAAGCUUGAUUUUCAGAGACCUUCCUUCCAUCCCGGCAACAAUCGUCUCCUCUUCUGAAACGAGAGAGAGCCCAUUUAUAUUUUCUGUGAAUAUUACGGGUGUUCGUUGAAAUAGUAAAUGCGUGAAUGGAUAAUGAUACUCGAAAAUACCUGAAAUGAAAUGUGUUGUUUAGCGGAGCAAAUAACGAGAAAGGCAAGCAGAAUACAGAAGCAGAUCGACUUCCUCCUCCGAAGCCCAUUCCUCUUUUCAGUUUUUACUCCUAAAGAAGACGGUGUUGUGCAGUGAAUGCCCUUCCUUCUAUAUAGAAAGAGUCUACGACUGUGGGUUCCUGGCCCUUCCUUCUAUAUAGAAAGAGUCUACGACUGUGGGGAUUCCAUAUAUAUAUAUAUAUAUAUAGCGUCAUUUCUGUUCCCCUUUUUUUGUUUAAAAAAAGAAAGUGGGGUUUGGUGGAAAAUUGGAGUACAUUGCAGGUUGCAACCCGUUUGCGAUGUGAAGUUUUCUCGGAGCAUCUGAACCGCUCAUUUUGGUCAACGGAUUGCUUUUUUUUUUUGGGCCAACGGAUUGCUGUUGCUUGCUUGUCUAAUCAAGGUAAACGUAGCUGGUAGCGAUCACAAAGUUUACGGACUCCAUGAGAUUGAGAAAGUAGGAAAUUACUCUGAGAGUGUGUUUGAAUAGUAAACUUAUUUUAAAUAAUUUUUAUUUAUAUCAUAGACAUAAUUUGAAUUAAUUUUUUUGUAUUUCACAUGCAUCAAAUCCUAAAAAAUGCUAUAAUAAUUGUUCUAUAAAUAAUUUGAAAUAAUCUCAUAUUGCAUCCUUCAUGUAGUUUUUGGACAAUAUUUCCCCCCUGAUUUUAGUUUUAUUUUUGCAACACUUUAAUGGCCCCAAAUCCAAUGAGUAGAACACAACAAAGUAUUGGACCGACCCAAAUGAGUGGUUAACAGGGAAGAACCAUCUUCCCGAUGAAAUGAAUUAUGGAGGAAACUAAUAAUACAACAAGUUAAUUGUCACAAACAAACUAUUGGGAUCAAACCAGUAGUUAGGGAAAAAGUCUUUCAGAAUCUUCCCUUCAUCAAUUUAAGGAUUCAAAUUGUGUUCUGACAAUUACAGGUGGGUGAAAGAGUGGGAUAGGGAUGAAAAGGUCUUAUUCCAGACUUAUUCUUCCACUGGGAUUCUCAGCUAUUUCCGUACCUUCCAUUAUUCCCAUGCCAGAGUCGUUUGCAACCUCAGAACCAUUCCACUAGGCAUUUUAUUUUUCAUUUUAUGAUGUGAAAUUCAAUUCAAGAGAUUCAAACAUUGAGGACUCCUUAAUUUGUGUGGACGAGCCAUAUACAUGUCUCAUAUCACAACAACAUCUUUGGAUGCAGCAUGAAAGUAGAGAGAACUAGCAAUCCGACGAAGUUCAGCGUUCGCGUUCAUCACAAAGUCUCCCCGGCCAAAAAGCCAUCCUGCUGCCUGAACUAUGUGGCUUUCUAGAGACAAAAACGGUGGCCAAGUUAACUUCACACUCACUGGUGCUUCUUAAGCUAUAACCCCUUCUGCAAAACCACGUACAUAUACACGUAAGCUGGGCGAAUCUCUACUAGCCACUAUUUACCCCUUUUUUUUUGUAAUAAAAAUUUAUCUGAAUUCGACUCCAACCAUAACCACGCGUUAGAAUAUGUUUUGAGAUCUAAAGUUACUUGCAAAAGAGCGAUCCUUAUUGAGUCCCUUCCACGUACCGGUCAAUUAAGAAAAUAAAUGAACAAGAGUUUUAACCCAGCCACCAAAUCAGUUGGGAUCCUCUAUGUCACUAUUCUCGUGUCAAAUUCAAUGCCAAUCCACUUAUCAUAUGAUGGUAGAAGAAAUUUAAAUAACUAUAUAUAACAGGACACUUGACAUAAAUAUAGAAGUGGCACUGAAUUGUCACUGAAUAAACGCACCAGUCGAUGGCACGUGCAGCGUCUUCACGAACUGACACUUAAAAAUUUACCGGAUAAAAUAAUCCAAAAAAACACACACCAAGAGAACAAUGUCAUUCAUUAGAGGUAUUAAAAUGGAUGACUCCAAUGACUUUGGACAUGUCAUGAUUGGAUAAUGAAUUUAAUUUCAUCAAUUCAUUUAUAUCAAUUUAAAUAAAUGAGUAUCAUAUAAAUAUAUUUAUUUAUUUAUUUAUUUAUUAAAUACAUAUUGAUAUAUCCAAUUACCCAUUUAUGAACUACUUAAAAUUCUACUUAUUUUUUUCUUUUUUUUAGCAUUUUUUUGACAAAAAAAAAUAUUUUGUUAUUAGCAGAUUGAUAAAAAAAUUCAAAUUUAUUUGCUUAACACUCACUAAAAUUGAAUUUAAAUAUAUAUAAUUAUUUUUAAAUAGAUAUACAUGAGUGAAUCGAAUCAACUCGCUACUUUAAUUGACUAUCCGUUUAAAUCCAUUCAAAAUUAACGAGCAAGUUUAAAUGAAUUAUUGGUGAACAAAUUUGGACGAAUCAACAUAAUUAGUUGUGAUGGACACCUCUAAAUGUCACCAAGCAAGAAAACCUUGCGGAGAAGACUUUGGCAAUACAUAUUAGGCCUGGUAAACUCGACUAGCAUCAAAACAUCCGGAAAAGUAGAGUUAUACUCGACGGGUUUUAAGGAGAAGACUAUGGUAAUACAAACUAGGCUUAGUAAACUCGACUAGCAUCAACACAUCCGGAAAAGUACAGUGUACUUAACCAGUGUGCCACGCCUUCGUUAUGGUAACAACUUUGUAUUGUUGUCUUUUGUUUGUCACAUGGCAUCUAAGCAUGCUGUGUAUUCCUCCUUUCAAUCGAAAAAAUUGGUGAAGAAAACAUGACUCCCACCGUCCAGAUACUCGACGGAUCUUACCUGAUCAGAGCAAGUUAUAAAAAGAGGAAAAAGAACUCAGAAAACUGCUUUUAGCCAGCGUCAUGACAAUCAAGCAAAUUCUUCAAGCAAAUAUUACAUUACCAGAAAAAAAGGUCAUCUGGCAUCUUUGCAUAAUCUGACCUGCUGCGAGGGGCACAGGCAUGAAUGUGGAUCUUUUAACAAGAAGAUUAUGGACAUAAACAAGAAAAUGGAAUAUAUUAAUUUUCUGUUUACACCUUCAAAUAACAAGCAAAGAUCAACGCAAAAUGGUGCAUGCCAUGGAAAAAUCCCGCAAAAAAGCGGGUACCACAGGAAUCACUGAAUCAAGCACCCACAGCAGGGAAUAUCCAACCAAAACAUACAUAACAGAAACUAAUAUGCAAACAAUUUUGACAGCUAAAACAGGUUCUUGAAAUACACCUAUCCAUAACAAUAUCAAGUGCAAUAAGUUGUUGAUACACCAUAAGAAACAUCAAACUUAAAAAACCGCUAGCUGUUUAUAAAGUGAACAAACUUCAGAGAAUUACCAGCCAGAAAGGAAGUUCAGCUUUUGCAAGGCCUAGAAAGAGAUUGCAUACUAUAGAGAGAGAAAUUUCAGAUCAUUUACUUCCCACAAAAGUAGAUAUAAAGAUAUGAUUUUGCACUUCUAUCUUACAGUAGUACCACAAUUCCAAUACACCCCCAAUUAGUGAAGCAAUGAUGAACCUAUACCUUCUAUCUUUUCUUGAAGCCAUAUUUCUUGCGCUCAUAAAACAAAUCUGUCUUAGCACUUCCAAGAUUAACGAUUUUAGGACACCCAUCCCGAUCUUUCUCUUGUUGGGUACACUCUUUACAGUAGUAGGCAUCAGAGAUUCCCACUCCUCCACAGAUGACACAGCGACCCUGAAAUGAUCCGUAGUUGCACUCAUCACAAACUCGGACCAGCGUGCAAGGGCGCACAUAAGAAUCACAGACUACACACUUUCCGUCACAUUUUUCACAAAGCCGUCCAAUGGCUAUCCCCGGCUGCUUCCUGCACAUAAUCAAAUCAGGAUGAUGCUUGGCCAUGUUUUCAACAGAUAAAUCCCAGAUCCCAAAUCCAAUUAGUAACCUGCAAAAUGGACAGACUCAAGGGUAAGUUACUAAAAUUGGUAAACAACAUUUAAGACCGAAAAGUUGAAAGACUUCACCAGAGUUUCAUAUUAAACGAUUUCGCAGGAUCAAUUUAGUGCAAUAGAGAAUCUCUAUUUCAUUGAGAUCAUUUAUCAUUUUAUAAAGUUAUAAAGUGCCACAAGCCCCUCCAACUAGCAAGCAUCAAAUGAAAGCUGAAAAAGAUAGUCAGCAUCAUAUGCAGAUACCAGUCAUAAACAUGAUCAGCCAAUAUUCUACCUUGCCCUUGCCACAUGAUCCCAAACACUUGGUCAAUUUUGAUCCACAUACAAUGUGUAGGUAAAAAGACGAUACAAGAGCUGCUGAAAACCAGUGCUCAUAAUAACAAGUGCACAAAACCUUCAGAGUAGCUAUGUUAUGCACAGAAUCACAUAUUAAGACAAACUUUCAGCACUGGAUAUGUUAUGCACAGAGUAAAACAGAUCAACAAUAAAAAGAGCACGCUAUUCCUGAAAACUUUAAUCUGUAAACUAUAACGACUGUCCUUAACCACUUUACACCUGUAUUUUCGCCAAGGGAACUACAAGAGAUGGAUCAUACAGACCUUAAUUUUAUAUUGUAUAUGCCCGAAUUCAUCAAAAACCUUUUAGCAAUUAAAUCAAAACUUUCCACAUAGCAUAGGCAAGUUUGCCACAAAAUGCACUACAGGACUGUUCAAUGCCGUCCAUAUUCUGGUAAAAGAUUAUAAGGAAAUAAAUGCAUCUUUUGCCUAUUGUUUUUUUAACCAGAAACGAACACACGCUCCAACCUAGAAAUUGUUUUACAACAUACAAGCCUUGAUACUAAUAUUUUGACAAAGAACCAUAACUAUUAGGGCUUAAAAGUGGCCUGGAAACUAGGCCAUUCCAUCAGAAAUAGUGGACAUAAUUAAUUCACCCAAUCAUUUUGGUUGGUAAUGCUUUCAGCAAGUGACUGUGAUAACCAGUUUGAAACCAAAUAUCAUUACCAAAGGUAAAACACACCAGGUAACAUUAACUUGUUCCCCUUUACAUCAUAAUCGAAUUUUAAGGCAUUAGACCACAAAAUCAGAACCUGGAUUCACGAUAGACAUUAGCUAAAACAAUAAGACUAACAUAUUUUCAUAAAUUAUUAAACACAGAGAAUUCUACAGACAAGAAAUGGACAACGAUAAGAUUUUGAAAAGUACUAACCUCGUCCCAGCAAGAAUGCUAUGGAGAGUUUCCGACGGAAAAGGCACGCCUCCGUCAGCAAGUCCCGAAUUAUCUAUCAGCUGGAAGAUUGAGGAAGGCAGCUGCUAAUCUGUCAAGGUGCGUGAACACAGAGGCCCGACUAUAGAAUACGCAAUGGAAUGGAUAGUAACUUGAACCGUAUCCGAAAAACAAAAGUCUAGGUUAGGCUCCGCCUCCUGAUUCCUAAACUGUGAAUCAGGUCGGAUGUUUUGACCCGUAAACUCAACCGACAGAAGAGCCCAUAACAGAUUAGAAACUGGGCUUUAUUUCUUUCUUUCUAUGAAAGAGAUUCAUAAUUAAAUAUUUACUAGGCUUUAGAGUUUAGACUUCGGUGACAUUUGCAUUCUAUGUAUACAUAAAAAUAAAAAAUAAAAAAAGUUUAUCCAUGAACCGCUGGGCUGGAAACAAUAAUAUAUUUCGCUAGUGGUAGCAUUUUAGAGGGGCUCCAAAUUCCUUACCAUUCUCGACUCUGACCCCAAAAGAAAAAAAGAAAAUAUAAAUUACCUUAUACUUUAACAUUUUACAUUCGAUCUCCCUACUGUUCAAUAAUAUUCACUUAAGUAUCUUUUUUUUUCCCGAUACAAAGAUUCUAUUCUAUACGUACUCAUACUCUAUAUUAGGGAAGAGGGAUUUAAAGAGGUUAAAGAAAAUUUGGUGAACCACCACAGGUCCAAACGAGUAUGCGGUGAACUAACAGAGGACCUAAAGAGGUCAAGAAGAAUCCAGUGAACCACCAUCGAUUCCGAAGAGAUAAAAAAAAAUCCGAUAAAUCAUCACUAGUUCAAACAGGUGUGCGAUGAACCAUCACCAAAAAGUCUGGAUAAUAAAAUACAGGUUAAGAGAUUUGACUUACGCCUAAAGAGAAUUUUAAAACUCUGUUAAUAGCCAAUAAUUUUAGGAGUAGUUAGUUAAUUACUUUUGUUUGAUUGAUGUAUAAUUGCUCCUAGUGUAAGUUGUAUAAGUUUGGCACUUCAAAAUUGCAGUCCAAUUAAUUUUGAAUUGCUAGUCUGCCCAUUUUAAAGUAGUAGUUGUACGAAAAAGUAGUCGAGAUUUGUAAAAAAGGGUUCCAUGCAAGGAAGUUGCUAACUUGGCUCAUAGGCCUAGGAGCCAACAUCCGGACACGGAUUCCCCUCCAUUAUAUGGACGUUAGAAAAAGGGUUCUUUUUUUUUUUUUUUGGAGAGAGGGGGGGGGGUGCAGGGGUUUAGUGUUUGGCAGAUUUAGCCAAAACCCAAUUGCCCAACUGGUCAAUCUAUCUUUAGACCGCGCCAAUAAUUUCACAGCUCAAUUACUCAUCACAUUAAUAAAUCAGAUCCAUCAUCCAAAAACGGUGGAUGGUAUAUUUGGUUGCACUCCAACCAAAUCUUGACCGUCAAACAAUCCAAUUCAACUCUAACUAGAAAUCUUCUCAAACCAACCGAGUCGCAAGAAUAGGCAACAAAAUAAAUAGGCAGCAGCCGUUUCUGAAUCUGAUGACUUCAGCACGCUCCGCUUCCUCAAUUGCCAUUGGAGUCGGUCAAUUCGGAUCUACUGUAUGUGUAUCUUCCCCACUACUGGCCCCACAAACCUUUCCUAUUGGUUUCUUGAAUCUUGACUGUUGGGAGCUUUAUCCUCAGAAAUUUUUCUCCCCAAAAAAUAAUAAAAGCAACCCUGAUAUAUAUAUAUUUAUUGAUAUACAAAAUCAAAGGUAAAUUGGACUUUACAAAUACAAUAUACCACUCCAUCGCCAACUGUCCUCUUUGCACAGGAGCUCCUCUGCGUUGGCAAGUGGCAAUCCGCGACGGGAAGCUCUCCUCCUCCACCGUCCAUUUCCACUUCCACACAUCUCUUCUGUUCUGUGGCGAAGAUCUCUAUCCUCGUAACGACUCCCCGCGAAUCCUGAAACUUGUGAUUCAUGUCUCUAUCUUUCCCCGGUUUACGAGUUUCUACGCGGUACGUACUAGUGUACUGGUGAUGUGCUUGGUCACACUUACAAUGGGACCACGACAGUUGUGUCAAAGAUCCACGAAUAAUUAGGGGCGGCCCCUUCCGCUUCUUCAACUUUGUGGCUUGGAAGUGGAGUUAGAGAGAGAAAAAAAAAAAAAAGGACCCAAAUUUCCUUGUCUAAAUCAAAGCAUAUCGUACUACUUUAUUUUCCUUGAUGAAUUUUAAAAAUAAAGUAGGGCAAGUGAGUAAAAGUGAGUUGAGGUUGUUUUUAAGUGGUUUUAACUUUCAUUUUCCAUACUCAUUGGUUUGAUGAUGACAUAAUCCAACCCGACUCACUAAUUAAUCGUACGUGAACUAUUUAUUGCAGAAUUUCAGUUUCCAAAAGUAACUUGCUUCAUGCACCAAACUUUUUUUUAGAUAGGAAGGGAUUCAUGCACCAAACCUGAGUUUGAGUUUUAUCUUUGCCCAAAGCUGUCAAUAAUAGCUUACCACAUAUAGGGGUGCUGUCGAGUCGAGUCGAGCUCUACUCGAGCUCGACUCGAGACAAAAUAACUAAGCUCGAGCUCGAGCUCAUCAAGCUUUUAAAAUUGGAGCUCGAGCUCUAAUUCGACAUCGAUUUAUGGAACUCGAGCUCAAGUUUAAUUAAAUGUAAUUAAUUCAAAUCGAGCUCAAUUGAGCUUAUUCGAGCUCAAGUAAUAAAAAUUAAUAUUUUAUAUAUAAUUUUAAAUGAAGGAUAUUAUUAACAUUUCACAAUAAUAAAAAAAAAUAUAUAUUAUAAAAAACUCGAUAGAGCUCGUCGAGCUCUCGAGUAUUAUAUUCCAAGCUCGAGCUCGACUCGAUAGCUCUAACGAGUAGCUCGAGCUCGAGCUUGGUCAACCGAACUCGAGCUGCUGACCAAGUAUCUCGCGAGCUCGAGCCGAGCUAUUUGGUUGAGCUCCAACCCUAACCACAUAUGGGAAGGUAGAAAUUAAACACAUUUUAACAAGUCUUGCAUUCUAAUAUGGGACAGUAACUAGAAAUUAAGUGAUUUUUUUUUUGUAAUUUUUUAUAAAUGAAAGAUUUUAAAUUCAAAACUUUCUACCGACAAUCUCUUCUUUUUUUUUUUACUGUCUAAUCUAAUCUAAUCCUCUGAUUUAGACGCAAAAGUUAUAGUUGCGACUCUCUGUCUAAAAUAACGUGUCAAUAAAACUCUUUUUUUUUUUUGCCCGGAAUAAAAUACUAAUACUACUACGUCAUUAAAACUCACUGAUGAGUACAAAUAAAAAUUUCGUGCCUAAGGAUUGAGGAAUCUAUCAUAGUUUUGCUCGAGAGAUUCUCGAAAACGUCAUGUCUCAGACCGAGUACGACUCCUACCCUCCGUUGUUCCGCCCAAGGAGAAGCCCGACCCUCCCCAGCCCCGAUUCUGACGACUUCUUCAACCAACAAGUUCCAGAUUUCGACCCCGUUCCUGUGAUAGAUUCCGAGUGCAUAAACCAGAAGCAGCUGGAUGAAGCUUGUAGAGAGUGGGGUAUGUUUCGGUUGAUCAACCACGGAUUCCUCUGACCCUUUUGAACAAACUUCAUGACCACGCCAAAAAGCUCUUUUCUCUCGCCUAUGAAUCCAAGCAAGCCUCUUUCACCCCUCCCAUAUCCUACUUUUGGGGCACCCCUGGCCUCACCCCAUCUGGUGUUGUCAUACAAAGAGAUGCUCGUGCCCAGAGCCAGAACUUCAACUGGCUCGAAGGUUUUCAUGUUCUUUUAACUCCAUUAUCCCAGCUUCAAUAUGAAGAUCCUGUGCUCGACUCUUUCAGGUUAGCUGCUUUUUCCCACCAUCAUUCCAAUUAACAGCUUCUUUUCUGCUCUGGUUUGUCACGUUCAAGAUUUUUAUUGUCUUUUACUACUCAGUACACAUUCCACCCGUAGUAUUUGCUUUUCUCUCUCUCUCUCUCUCUCUUUUUUUUGGAACUUGGCCAGAAAUGCUCUCCUGAACCGCUUUUAGAAGGGGAUUGACGAGAAUUAAGAAGCUUGAUUGCGUGAAGAGGACAGGACAGUGACAAUUGAAUUGAAACCACCCUCGUUUUAAAGAUUGAUUAUAUAAUAAUAAACGAAGACUAAUGAAUCAACAGACAAUACUAGAUUCUAAAAAUUUUCAGCCGUAAUAUGUGGACUCCAUCGCCUGUGCUUACUUCUGUAUGUUGGCCAUAGGCAAAUAAAUUCGUAGUGAAAAAAUAAAACAUUUUAGUUUGGUCACUCAGGUUGACGAUGAGAUUUGACAGUUAGAAAUCAAAUCACUGAAGAUAUUUGACUCACUAAAGUUGGUUUUUUUUUUUUUUUUUUUUUUCACGGAGAGUCUUAGAUGAGCGUUAACGUGUGGUGGCCAAGAAUAGUCAGUACGUACUAGAGAGUCAGCAAUUUGAGAAUGGAGCUCCCAGUUUUAAAAUGUCCUCUUUCAUGCAGUAAAUUUUUUUUUUUUAGGUGAAGGAAGUGGAAGAUGUAGCAAAAUUGUAUGGUAGUUAGUUUGUCCACUCCACUAAGUUAGGUUGGCAAGAUGAUUACGAAAACAAGAGAGCUGCGGUUUUGUAGCGAAUCUCUUCACAUUUAUGAUUUAACUUCAAGUGGGGGACUGACUGAAAAGCAGAGGGAACGCGAGCAUCCAAUCAUGUUUUAGUGCUAUCAAUCAAUAAACUGCAUUAACAGAAGCUCGUAUCUGCCCCAUCACGACGUUGUUUCAUUGGGAAGAGUAGCUUUACGACUACAGCUAGCCUUUAAAAGGAACGAGUAGCGCUUUUCAUUUUUUCUUUUUUUUUGAUAGUGAAAAUCUUAAAAAAAGGACCAGGUAGGCUGUGGCAAUUUUUGUAGGUGCUUGCUGGAAGAAUACGGGAGGCACCAGACUAGGCUGGCUACGACAAUUUUCGAGGCUCUGGCAAAGAAUCUCCAAUUGGAUUCUGAACGUACAAGAGCUUAUCUGUCGACAGCAACGGGACACCUACGAGUUCAUCGCUACCAUGCUGCUUCGAGGCAGAGCAGUUGCGAGCAUGGGGCAUAGAUGUCCACACUGACAGUUCUGUGCUUUCCAUUCUGCACGAAGAUGAAGUCGGUGGACUUCAAGUCUGCUCCAAUAAUCAGUGGUUCGACGUCAAGCCUCAAUUCGAUUCCCUGAUUGUGAACCUCGGCGACAUGAUGCAGGUGAUCCAUAAUCCUAUCCUGGCCUAUAUAAAUUGAAUCGAAUGAAUUUACUAGUAGUGAUUUUGUUUGGUCAUCAUUUUCAUCAUCAAUUCUUUCACUCAUCAAACUCCCACCGGUGAUGGUUUUUGUUCUUGUUUUUUUAAUAUAUUUAUAUAUAAAUAUUAUUAGGCCAUGAGCGAUGACAAUUAUAUUGGUGCCAAGCACAGAGUGAAGGUGAACAAGCACAAGGAAAGAAUCUCGGUGGGCUAUUUUGUGCUCCCAUACGAAGACACCGUUAUCGAAAGCUCCAAGUACAAGCCCUUCACUUAUGCUGAUUUUCGAGCUGAAGUGCAACGAGAUUUGAAGACCGUCGGAUUCAAGAUCGGCCUCCAGAAGUUCAAGCUCAGCGAGACGUUUUAGUCUUAGAGCACAUUCUGGAAGUGCCAGUCAAAAUCAAUCUUCUCUGUUCUCUGUUUUUGGUUGGAGACAGGUUGUUGGAUUGGCAUUUUUCGCGAUUCUAGCUACUUCUGUUUUGGUUUCAUUCUCUGUCGUGCUUUUUAGCUCUCGAUGCGGUCUGGAGAAGCUGCGGUUUGGAGAGAAUGUUCUCUUUUCCAAUUUGGUUGGUCAUCAUGGUUAGGUGUCGUAUCUGGCUUCCAAGAGCGGAGGAGGAGGAGAGAAUUUCUUAUCCACUCACUCUCUUAUAAAUUACUAGUAAGUACUAUUAUAUUAUUUCUCCUAUCUUUAACAAAAAAAAUAAUAAUAAUUGCUUUCUCCUCUUUAUUUCCUUCAAAUAAGUAAGCAUCUCUAAUCUUUCUCAUUGCAAGGUCCAUAAAAGUCGCGAUAUGUUAGCACUCUGCCGGCAGACUGAACUUGACAAUUUGGCAUAAUACUUGGAAUGUAAAAGAAAAGGACAAUCAUUGGAUCGGAGAAACCAAUGUUCAAUCAUUAACACAAUAUAAUAAAUAGCUUCAAAAAAAAAAAAUCAUUGACACCAUAUACGUUUGUAAACUCAUCGGGCAACUGAAUUAUGGGAUGCCUUGGCGAAACAGCUGCCGUAGCAAGGGCUAGAUGGGGGACGGACGGGGGAAGGGAAGGAAGCGGAGACGGGCGGAGGAGUAUAAACGGGGCGGCGGAUGGCUACUUUUUUUUUUUUUUUUUUUCUAGUUGCCAAAAAUUUUCGAAAAAAUUAUUGGUGCAAUGCAAACUCAAAAGACUCGUAGAUUUGGAUAUUAACAAGAAGAAAAGGAAAAGGAAUUUUUUUUUUUUUAAAAAAAAAGUAAGAUUAGGGACAAGAGAUUGCAUGUCACAAUUAUUGCUGUGGGUGCUUCAUUAGAAUAUUUUCAUGAUAGUGAUAGAGAUAUGGCGUCUUGGGAUUCUUCGUUACCAUCUUGAUAUGAUAAUAUGAUACGGUAUUUCGAGAUUCCAGAACUCAAAAGGAGAAUUAUUUGCUCCCUCCAGUCUGAUGGCAAUGACCAAAUUUGCUUUACUAUUUUCACGCAUAUGUAUGUAUAUAUUAUUGCUGUUUUGUUCCUAGAAGUAGAAGAAAGGUUGCCAAGGCCAGUUUCAGAAAUAAAUCCGCAUACUGUGCUUUUUAUAUCAAAGAAAGUGACGACAGGGUAGACUGUAGACUUCUGAUAAGGCCGGAAAUUAUACGCAUACUCAAAGUCGUUAUCUACCAUUGACACGCCUUUACUACAAAAGUGUCCCGAGUUUGAAUCACCAAGGCGGUGGUAAUUCGAGUUUCAAUACUGUUGCUCUUCUUUUAAAAAAAAAAAAAACUAAAUGAAAAAAUACAAAGAUUCUAAUUCAAGCCUUAAAGACUGUGAAAUCCGUUUUCCUGCAUGAUAUAUAUACAUACAUAUACAUAUAUUAAAACUUUUAGGAACACUGCUAGUAUUCUCGAUAUCUACUCAAAAGGGAACUAUUAUGUUAUUCUAAUUUGUCAAAACAUAUUUCUCAUUUCCACUAUAUUCGCUUCUAAUUUUUCAAAAACAGGAGAAUCAGUCUUCUAUUGGUGGAAAUGCCGAGCAACGCCAUUUGCAUGUCAUGCUUGAAGGCGGCGUUCCUUUUCUUUUUUUGGGGUUGGAAUCUCUGGUUUUUGAUCUUGUCCGUUAUGCAUUCUUACCGCCAUACGUUAUCAAUUAUUACUUUAAUAAUAAUAAUAAUACCGCAAAUGUGAUUAAGGACCCAUAUCUCAGCUUUCCUUUCUAAUGUAAAACUCCUUAAGAAUACUAGUACUACAUAUUAACUUUCCUUUUUUUUUUUUUGAGUGAAUGGAAAAAAUAUUCACCAAACUACCUAAUAUAGCAUUGUUUGGUCAUUGAACUUUUUUUUUUUCAACUAAAAAUGUCACUCAACUUCUUAAAACAUGUCUUUAGGUUAUAUCUUCCAAUUCAACCUGUAAACCAAUCAUAAAGAAUCGUAUUUGACCUUUUUUAUUUUACGUACAUCACAUCAUAAAAAAUGCUACAGUAAUUAUUUCAAAUAAUAUUCUAUCCAAACAACCCCUUUUAAUUUAUCUCAUGUUGCGUUCCAUGAUUUGCCUUUCCUUUUAUAUGUCUAUCUUUCCUACUCAUGUUCAUCCCUCUCAAUAUUAGAAAUAUUUACAGUAGAAAAUGACAUUUUAGAGUAGAUCGAAUGUAUUGUAUAAUUAAUAAUGCUCCUCUACCAUUCUUGAGGCAAAAAAGAAAAGAAACAAAUGGAAAUUAUGAGGAGUAUCUAACAUUUUCAUUACAGUCAUAUUACUUUUUUUUUUCUCAUUUCCUAGCUAGCAGGUUGUAUACAGCUCUGAUUGAAUAGGUUUUUUUUUUUUUUUAGGGUUUUUAGUUUUUAAAAAUAUUUCACUAUACCAUAUUCAUUUGGUAAUUUUAAAUGCGUAUUAGAGAUAUAAUUUUUUUGAAAACCUACAUGCCCUAGCAAACAGAACCCUGUAAUAUAAAUUUUAAAAACUCAUUAUCCAGAAGUUUUCCAAGUAAAUGGCAAUCCAAACCGAGCUUAUAUAAAUUAUAGUACUCCCUCCGUCCCGUUUUGUUAGUCUUGAUUUUUUUUUCACACAGAUUAAGAAAGUGUAAUUAAUUUGGUUGGAAACAUAAAUUUAGAUUAAUAAUUUCCUAAAAUACCCUUAUGCUAAUCACGAAGAGUGCCAAUUAAUAUCAGUUACAGCUAAUGAGUUAGUAUUGGAAAAGUUCAAUGUAUUCAAUGUAGUGGGUUAGUAUUUAAUAACAAUGUAUUAAUAACAAGAUAUUUAAUAAGGGUAUUUUAGACAAUUUGAAAGAUUGCUACAUUUCUUAAUGAGAAAGUGGACUACAAUUUGGGACAGACGAAAAAGGAAAACAAGACUAUCAAAGUGGGACGGGGGGAGUAGCAUUUUUUUAUGAGCUCUUAGUGAACACUUGUUUAUACACUUAAUUAUAUUUUUUGUAUAUUUAAUUACACAUAACGAACGUUAAAACUUGCAAGUUAAGAGUGCCCACUUAAGAAAAAUUGCUAAACUUUAAAAGAGAGAGAGGAGAGAGAAGCGCCCACGAAUCAAAGUAUUAAUUACUAUACAAUUUUGUGCAAGUGGAAUCGGACGGUCCAACAUUCUCCUGCAACGGUCACACACCUACGUUGAUCACCAUAAACCAUUCUUUUUUAUUUAUAAUAUUAUAUAAUAAUAAAAAUAGUCAUAGUUGUACACUUGGUUUUUCUGUUCUUUCUGUAUUUAAAUCCACUCAAUCCUCCUCACCUCAAGCUGGGACCCACACAAUCACACUUUUUCUAAAAGAUUUCCUUAUGUUAUAAUGCCCCCAAAUUGGAUACAAAUCAAACAAAGACAGAGAAAAAGAAAAAGAAAACACUUUGAUUAAUAGGGAAAAGAGAGAAGAAGGAAAACAGUCAUCUGCUAGACUGGUACUACUUACUUGGUAACCAAGUAUGGAAGAAGAAUAAUUAUCAAUUAUCGAUAAAAAAAUAGAAAAUAAAUAAAAAUAGCUGCCAAAAUCGAGCUUUUUGCGCGCACACACUUGUAUUGUAAACUACAUAAAUACAAGAAUCGGACGCAUUAUAAACUAGUACACUGCCAAGUAUUUCUUUGUAUUUAUGUAGAAGUGUAGAAGAACGAGCCCAAAACCCAAGCCCCACAAUUCCAACUUGCCCACACUAAAACCUGCGCUCUCCUCCAAGCUAAUCAUGGCGGCCCUCAACGAUGAAGCCGCUGCUAAGAAAAAGAGGAAAAGGAUUAACGGGAAAAAGAAGAUUCUCAUCCAUGAUAAAGUUGAGGUAAUGCUGUCAUGUUGUUUUUCUUUUUCUUUUUUUUCGUUGGUUAUCUGAUUGUGCAUCAUUGUUCAUGUGUUUGGGUAAUUUUAUUUAAUUUUUUUAAUGAAAAUUUUGAUUCUCGAAUGUGGGCUCUUGUCUUUUUACAAUUGGGUUUAGGAUGUUUUUGUUGUUUUUCAAUUCUUGAUGACGUUUACAAGAAUUGUCUCUCCGGGGCUUGAUUUUACUGGCAUUGUGUGGUUUUGGGGUAUUCCUGUUUAGUAAGCAUUUGGGAAGGCUAUGUUAAGGCACAGGGACCGGUUGCAUGUUGGCUUUUGUUUGUUGCGAAGUGAUCAUGUGGAUAUUCUGUUAACUGGAGAGCUCUAUGUGAGGUAAUCAAUAAUUUUCUUUCUUGAUUGAGCUUAAUUGCACAUGCAAUGCCUCAUCUUGACUCAAAAUUAAAAAGGGUUAAGAGUUAAGCACCUUUCAUCUAUUUUUCCCUUUUCUUUUUUUAAUAUUAGUUAGAGUAAUGCGCGCUUGUUUUUGUUUUUACCUUUUUUUGUCCCCCUUAGUGUGGGAAGUGAUUGAUUUUCGGUUGCAUGAGUGUCAAAAGUGCCUGCUUUGUUGUAUGGGAGCGUCUUCUGCAAUUUCACUGUCAUCGGGAGUCAGUGGUGUGUUUGACCUCGUAAUUGUGGUGCAGGUAAGGAGUACGGAAGAGGGGUUUCUGGGCUCUUGGCAUGCUGGAACUGUGGUUGGAUGUGGAGAAUUGCGUCGUCGCAUCAAGUAUGAUGAAAUCUUAAAUGAUGAUGGUUCUGAACGUUUGGUUGAAUGGGUAAAGGUGAGUCCUGCGCUGGAUGGGCUUGUUCGUGGGAAUCAAGCGACAAGCAAUUGUUGCCGUGGCAUAUAAGGCCAUUGCCCCCUUUUGAUUUCCAAAAGUGGUCUCUUCAUUAUGGACAGUGUGUCGACGUGUUUGUACAGGAUGCUGGUGGGAAGGUGUGAUUUUUGACCAUGAGGAUGGCUCCGAUCAGCGGAAAGUCUUCUUUCCGGAUAUGGGUGACGAAGUUAAGGCUCAAAUAGAGACGUUCCGCAUCACUCGGGAGUGGGAUGACAUUACUGAUGAAUGGAGACCUCGAGGCAAUUGGUUGCUUCUCGAAUUGAUUGAGGAAGUUGAGCUAGAGUGGCCUCUUCUUGUUUCAGUGAAGCAAAUUUGGUAUGAAAUACGAGUCAAAAUGGAAUUUGGCAAACUUAAGGAAUGGACGUCUUUAAGGGAUAUUUGGAGACAACUGCUGUUGCAAGUUCUAUCCACGAGUUAUAAGCUAACUGUGAAGCAAAUUUUUCAUGAACUAAACUCUUCAGAAACUCGACAGAGGAAGGCCAGCCAUUAUUUGAAUUCCUGCAAAUGCACUUGAUGCAAUUCUUGACCCCGAAAGCAUUUUUUUGACUAUGGCUAUUGUUCCCUAUGGAACUAAUUGCCAGUUGGAAACUCAUGCAGCGUGUCUGCUGAUUUGAACCCUUCCGAAGAGCAAAAUGCUCCCAAUGCUUUGGCUUGUAUCGGCUGGGUAGAAAUGGAUAACUCCACUCAUUCAAUGAAAAGACCAAUGAAUACCCUGUGUUCAGGCUCCUGCUUUUUCAGGGUUACUCCCAACCAGAUCACAGUCCUGAAGCUGGGUCAGGUGCAAAGAGUGGAAGGUGCCCUACGAGCUCCGACAAGCUGAAUGGGAAGCUGAAAGCUUCAGGCGAUAGAACAAAGUACAGUGGCUUCCUGCUGGAAUCGACAUGGUUCCAGCUGCAUGUUGCCCUGGUUCAGUAACUGAUUAUAUUCAGAAGCGUAAGUUGAACUUAAAUCUCGGGCUGCUUCAACGUUGGAAGUUAGGAUGCAUAUUUCAUACUUGGGCUGGAAAAUUCAGUUUGCAAGAGAUAAAGCAGUAACUCGAAUGCGAUACAUCUCCCCGAAGGUGAGAUUCACUAUUCACUCUAUCAGGUUUGUCUGAGAUUGCAACCUGGAUCAGAUGUUCCUUCCGGAUAUGCCAAGAUGAUGAAAGUAACAGUGAUUAUCCUGUAGAAAGCUCGUCUCAUCUUCAUUAACUGUGAUCCCAAAAGCAGACACUGGGGCACUGAAAGUGCUUUCUUGUUCUGAACCUGUUUAUUUUGAACGCGAUAAUUGUCCUGAAGCUGUGCUGAACUAUUCAAAUUGGGAGGGCAACUUAUCAUGGACAGAAUGGUGCAAAGGGUGGUAUUAUGGCUUUAAAGGCUAAAAGGCACCUAUCCUUUCUGGGUUGGAAGUUCUAUCUCGAACCAAAGGGGUUUAAGAAGGAGAUGAGGUAUGGAUCCCCAUGCGGUAAAAAAUUUUACUCUCUUCGAAGUGCCUGCCACUGGUGCGUAACUGAAGGAGAAUUCAUCUUAGUAAUGAUGCUUAUAACAGUAAACAAAUCAAGGAACUUUGCAAGCCAAGAAUGUGGAGUCCAGCUGACUUUGACAGAUCCAUCUCCUCCAUCAAAUGCUAUGGUAUCAGAAGGACAUGUGAAUGAUGAUCUGUCAAAACAGCUGCUAAUAGAGUCAUCUUCAAAAACAUCACAGCCAAAGCAACUUGCUCAACAAGGUCAAGUCAAAUGUCAUGGAAUUAGAGGACCAGAAAGGAAGAGAAACCAUUGCUUGCUACAACAAUCCUUGGCUGCUCUUCACACAGGCCCCCAAAAUGAGGACUCAUAUUUGCUUGAUGAUGUUAAAGAAUCUCAGGCUUCAGCCAAACAAAGAGAUGAUGUGAAUGCAGAAAUGUCUUCCUGUGUGUUGCGAUCAAGUAAAGGGCUCGGCAAUCAGUUGUUUCUCCUUCAAUUCACCAGACUCCUAGGACUACCUUGUCUUGGUUGAUCGAUAAUAAUGUAGUUUUACCAAGAGCAAAAGUGCAUUACCGAGGGAAAAAGGAUGGCCGCGUCAUGAAAGAAGGAAAAAUAACCCGUGAAGGAAUCAAUGCACUUGCUGCCAAAAAGUUUUUACUCUCAGCAAGUUUGAGGCGCAUGCUGGCAGCAAUUAUCAUAGACCUUCAGCAAAUAUAUUUUUGGAGGAUGGUAGGUCAAUAUUUCAGUGCCUGUUGAAACUAAAAGGUGAGACGAAUAAAAGAAAAAUAAGGUCAGAACCUCAUGAAAUGAAGGGUCAUACGUCUUCACAAUGACCAUAUUUGUUCUGUCUGUCACUAUGGUGGCGAAUUGGUCUUAUGUGAUCAGUGUCCAUCAUCCUUUCAUACAAUUUGCCUGGGUUUAAAGGUAUGCUUCUCAAGACCUGUUAUACUUUAUCUCUGUCUUUAUCACCUUAUAGCAAGUACUUGGAAUUGUUAAUAACAUCACUAAGCAGGAGGUUCCGAUGGCGAUUGGUUCUGCCCAUCCUGCUGUUGUGGAAUUUGUGGCCUGAGCCGAUUGAAUGAAGACACAGGACGACCUGUAGAUGACAGGCUUAUCAACUGUGGUCAGUGUGAACAUCAGUGUAAGUUGCUUAUGUCUUAAUUUUAUGUUUGACAAUUAUAAUGCCUCUUCAAUCAUCUUUAUGCUCAUCUGUAUUAGCAAUUAUCUCAACUUUUUACUGAUAAUCUAUCAAUUUAAUGCCAGAUCAUAUAGAGUGCUUAAAAAAGAAGGGUCUUGUUAAGCAUGACUGUCAUCCGGAAAGGAAUUGGUUUUGCAAUGAAAAAUGUGAACAGGUACUUGGACCCUGACUUUCUCUAUACUGCAUUUAUCCUAGGGAUUGUCUAAUAAGGUGGCCCUGGGACACUCAUUAUUUAGAGGCGCAAGUGUCAGUUCUCUGGAGAGAUGAAGUUGGAUCAGGAAAGUUACUAAAAGCAAGGGGUUUUAAAUAAUUAUGAGUGUGCACAUUUUAUGCUUUUCUGGCAUGUGUAUGUGCUUUAAGUACUUACCCUUUCAUCAUGUACAGGAAAUAGAUCAUCCCUGCCAUCCCUUAUGUAGUAUCCCACAACUUAUCUGUCAAGUCUUUGGAGUGUUAAAGAAAAUCUAGCACAAGUGUCUACAUUGGGUGCAUGUUCUCCUCUAUGGUCUAGUCUUGCAAGUUCAAUGUGUUUACAUUUGUCUUUUGUCAUAAUGCACAGAUACAUCUGAGUCUCCACAAUCUCCUAGGAAAACCAAUUCCCGUGGGGCAUGAUAAUCUUACUUGGACAUUGUUAAGUACAAAAAUGCUGAAGAUUCUGAUCAGAGAAGUUUGGAUAAUGAGCAUUUGAUGGAAAGCUAUAGCAAGCUUAAUAUUGCUCUCAGUGUAAUGCAUGAGUGUUUGAACCCAUGAAAGAGCCUCGCACCAAAAGGGAUCUUGUGGAAGAUGUUAUAUUUAGCAGAUGGUAAGAGCCUGUUUCUUUCAAUAUAUAAUUUUUAUAUUUCUGCUUUAUGGUUUUACCCUUCUUUUGGUAUGUAUGUGGGUCUGUGUGCAUGUGUGCGCUUCUACUUCCUUGGGAAUUGGUUUUGCUGGCUAUAGGACUUAUGAUUUUUCUCUUGUACUGUAGGUCAGAGUUGAACCGUUUAAAUUUUCAGGGGUUCUAUACUGUGGUAUUAGAAAGAGAUGAUGACUUGAUUACUGUGGCUACUGUAAGGUAUGAUUACAUUUUUGCUUUAACUUGCAUAUUUUACUUGGCUUGAAUAAUCUUCCUGAAAUUCUGUUUUUCUUUCUUAUUUUAAGGGUCUAUGGGGAGAAAGUUGCUGAGAUCCCCCUUGUUGCCACACGUUUUCAAUAUCGCCGCCUUGGAAUGUGCCGUAUUAUGAUGAAUGAGCUUGAAAAGGUAUCUGUAUUUAACCCACUGGGGAGUUUAACAUCAACGUAAUUGGUUGCUUUUUUGGAAUUUGCUGAAUGGUGGCAUCAUUUGUAUUCUAGAUUGCUUCUCUGUUUAUAAUAUCUGUUUGUCCUCAUGGUUGCCAGAAACUCAUCGAAUUAGGAGUUCAGAGGCUGGUUUUGCCUGCUGUGCCUAGUGUGCUAAGCACUUGGGAAACCUCAUUUGGGUUCUCAAGGAUUACUGAAUCUGAGAGAUUAAACUUUCUGGACUGCACUUUCCUUGAUUUCCAGGGGAGUCACAUGUGCCAAAAACUAUUGAAGAACACCCAGUGUACAGAACUUAGCCAAUUAACAGCAAGCUUGGUGAUCUUGUUAAUUCAACGGGCAGAAAAUUGACUUAAUCACUAAUUUGAUAUCAUUUUUGUAGGAGUGCAGCAAAAGCUGUCCCCUCAUUCUGGUGAAAAAGACAAUGACUUGGAAGCCAGGGGUGCUGCUUCUGAGGUACUUCAAGCAGAGCAAGUUGAGGAUAUUGAAGUGGUGGAUCAAGGAGCUGCAGAGUACGUAGAUUUUCUCUUUUCCUAUGAAUUUGGGUAAUAGUAUAAUUAAUAGCUAAAAUGCAUUUUAGUUAGUGGCAGCUACUCAAAAUACUAGUCCCCAAAAAAAAAAAAAAUUUGCUUUCUUUGAUAUGCUGCUGCAAAUUUGAAGAUCUCUAUCCAUUAAUAACCAAGGAUCUGGCAAGGUGCAUGUUCAGCCUCAGGAGCACGUAGAUGUAAAUUUUGGCAAGACUAGUUGGGCUAUUUCCAAAGUGAAGGGUGCAUGGGAAUUGGGAUGCGUGAAUUGAUUCCAUGUUUCUAAAAUUGUUUAUUCAAUGGAAUACAAUCAGUCCAAGCUAAGUAAAUCUCCAUCAGGUGUCUUCAUUAGUUCAUAUUGCAUAAAAGUGUUUAGUUUUCAAUUUGUCAAAUUCAUAGCUAGAUAUGCACAUUCUAUUUGAAUCUCUUUUGUUUUGCAGUCUUCUGAGAGAAAUUGGCAGCAACAAUAGCAGUGUUGUCACUCCUUCAGUUAUUGUGGUAACUUCUCGUCAUUUAACUUAUCUCUUAAUCUGUCCCUAAUAAGAUUUUCCUGCUUUAGUAAUUGCCUGAUUUAUAUAUGCAAGCAGGUGAACCAACCACCUGAACCAGUGAACCAGCCACCUGAACUUGUGAACCAGCUGGCUGAACCGGUGAACCAAUCGCCUCUCUUUAAUUUCUUGUCAUGCCAGAAUGAAAUUAAUCUGGGGUACUCGGUGGGAGCAAGUGGUCAAAGAAAUCACAUUUUCAAGUGCUACAAACGGAGAAGAUUAGCUACUUGUGGAAGUUAAACUGCCUUCUACGAUAAGAGCAAAUAUAAGUUCAGUUGUCAUAGAGCCAAGAGAAAUCUUGUGAGCCUGUUUUUUGACUCUUGAUGGGCUUCAAAUUUUUGUGUAGAAUGUGCAGUCUCCUCUGUAAAUGGUAAAGUAGAAAGGAGUCGCAAGAACUUCAAGUCUCAGGCUCUUGUUAAUUCAUGUAUAUUCCAGUAGUUCAACUCUGUAGAUCCCUCGAAGCUCAUUUUGGUUCUGGAAGUUAUCAUGGGUAGAAAACUAGAAACUACAAACUAAGCCGAAGAAGCAAUGGAAUACGGCCCUAUUUAUCUCACAUCAUAAAAUGGCAGCUCUCUACAAGAAACGUCCUAAGGCGAUAAGCCUAUAACGUUUCUUUGGUAUCGAAGCAAGUAGAUGUCCCUCAAGUCUUUGCUAACUGGCCAGAGAACUUUCGAUUGUAUAUUUGUGUAGAUCUUUUGAUUUGCUUUUGCAGUUUAAAGCAAGCCUCAGAAACAGAAAAGAUGGAAAAGUCAUGACUGCAAGUGAUAAAAAGAGGCCAUGGAAUUUAGGCCAAUUAAAAUUUUAUCAACUAAUCCAACCUCAACUUCGUGAAGGAGUAUUUGUCGCAAGUUUAGAUUUUUACGACUUCAUCAUCCUGAACCCCCUAAAUCAAAAGUGAAACAACUUUCAAUGAUCCCUGAUCUUAAUAUAUGCUCAUGAAUCUUUAGUUGGUGCUUUUUAUUAAAAUUUGGAAAAGAAUAUUAGACACAGCCGAUUGGAAACCAAUGUCAAUAUGUGCAUCAUUGUUCAAUUUUUUUUUUUUUUGGGGGCAGUCCAAUAUCAAUAUGUGCAUCAUUGUUCGAUUUUUGGGUACAUUCCAAGGAUUCCAUGUUUCACAUUUGAGUGUCUGCACUCUGCAGGCAUCGCCAGAAUGGAAGUGGUUCAUGAUGAAUCAACAUCCAACACUUUUAAUCAGUAUGGUUUGGUGGCCCAAGUAGGAUUAUGCUGCCACCAUGGUCUACAAGGAGAAGCAACGUAAAGUGGUCUUUCCAUUUGUACAGUAGGCAGCAUUGAACGUUUCCCUCGACGGGCAGGCAGGUUUGAUACUCGACUUUUCUUCAUCAUCCAAGUAUUCCAUUAUCUCUUGCUUCCACCGGAGUUCAAGAAAUGGAAGGGAAUCAGUUUUAGAGGCGCGGCUCCCUCCAAAGCACAACACAGCAUACUGCCAGUUGGGAGUAAGGGGUGACCUUUGGUCCUCAACCACUCUUGUCCCUUGGCUUUUUCGGGCUGCUAGCCUCUUGUGUCUGCCCUCUCGUAAAUAAGUGCACUCCUAAGAACGGUGCUCAACUUGUUUGGCCCCAUAAACACGCUGGCUUCGCCUCUCAUAGCAAUUAAGCACUCCCUUUCAAUUUCCCUACUUUCAUUUCAUGGUUGGUUGCCAUUCCUCUUCAAGAAUGUUGCCUACCUAUAUAUGCAGAAGAUGAAUUUUAUUAUCCAAAGGGAAUUAGGAGCACUAAAUAAAAUACUUAAAAACUACAAGCAUGACUGCUCAUGCACUGCUGUGCGGAUCCCACGAUCAACAGAUGCCUGUCACAGGGUCACGGGCCCAGGAAAAGGAAAGCCAUAGGGAUUAUUAGUACAUCCAAAUGAAUUAAUCCCAUAAAAGGAAGCAAUCAAAGCCAGAAAUGUAUAAUCCCAGUUCAUAAGAUCACGAUAGGCGGCUAAUGUCCGUCUUAAAUUAAAAUUAGAGAUGCAUAAUCAGAGUUAAUUGUUCUUUAAAUCGUGUUGUCUGCAAAUGGUCCUCCGGGGUCACUUCUGCAUUAGUGGCAGAAUGCCACUGUUAAUGUUAUGACCAGGGGCACCAAUCACCAGCGAUUAAUCUGCAUAUUUAAAGCACGUGAGCCAUCUUAUCUAUCCAUCACAUGCAGAAUGCAGACUGCUAGCGAACAAAAAUACCACCCAACCCCCGCCCCUUUUUAUAUUGAAACAUUUCUGGAAAACAACACCAGUAAAAAGUACCCCCAACUCCCUCCAAAACUUCCCUCCUCAUUCUCUCCCACUGUUUCUUCACUUCUUCUUUAGUAAGCAGUACUUACAAAGACUUCCUAUCUUUCUAGCUAAAGCUUUCUGCCAUGGCUCUUCUGUACUCAAAAUCUGCUUCAUUUUUGGCUUGUAUCUUCUGCUUCACUACAAUUCUAUGCCUAAACCUGCUGCAAUUUGACAGUGCCUCGGCAGUCUUGUUAGUGGGUUUGAGGAAUCAGCACAGUCACCCUCACCAUAGAAGGCCAAUGCUCCAAGCCAACCAGAGCUCAUGCUCCUUGUUUGUGGGCUCCUGGGUUCGUGAUGAUACUUAUCCUUUUUAUCCAUCUUCUUGUCCCAUCAUCGAUCCUGAAUUCAACUGUCAAGCGUAUGGCCGACCCGACUCUGAUUAUCUCAAAUAUCGUUGGAAACCAGCCAACUGUGAUCCUCCCAGGUACUAACAAUCAUACUUCUAGUUCACUGUGAUUAAAAAAGUUACUGUCUUGAUAAUAUUCUCGUCAUGUUGUAUUACUGUUUCCGAAUUCAUUCCUUGUGUUGUUGGUGUAUUCCCUGAAAUAGAAGUAACCUUUGUUCUAACCGGUGCUAGGUUCAACGGGCUGGAAUUUCUGAUAAAAAUGAAAGGGAAGACUGUGAUGUUUGUGGGCGAUUCACUGGGACGCAACCAAUGGCAAUCUCUAAUUUGCAUGAUUUCAGCUGGGGUCCCAAGUUCCCCAACUCAAUAUCAGAGGGCGACCCUCUGUCAACCUUCAAAUUCUCGGUAAGCCCAUCCAUAAUGGUUCAAAAAAAAUAUCUUCUUUUUUUUUUUUUUCUUUUAUCCAAGCAAUAAUUGCGAUUCAGUUUCUGUUGUGGGGUCUUUGUGAAAGAAACAGAGCUUCGAGACUGGUAACUAAAAUGGGCUCGCUCUGUUUGCAGGAGUAUGGUGUGUCCGUGUCGUUUUACAGAGCACCAUAUUUGGUGGACAUAGAUACGAUGCAAGGCAAGAGAGUGCUGAGAUUGGAUGACAUAAGAGGAAAUGGUAAUGCGUGGAGGGGAGUGGAUGUGCUGUCAUUUAACACAGGUCACUGGUGGUCUCACAGAGGAGCUCUUCAAGGGUCAGAACAUUUGAUACUUAAUAAUUACUAGUGUUUGGAAUUAAUGCCUUUCCCUUUCAAGAAUAAACAAAAUUUGAAUUGGUCUGUUUCUUCUUUCUGCAUUUUUAAGACCAAUAAUAAAUGAGGACGAUAAUGAUGAUGGCUGUUUGCAAUUGGGAAAUGAUUCUGUAUAGGUGGGACUAUAUGGAGUCAGGUGGAAGCUUGUAUCGAGACAUGGAUCGCUUGGCUGCAUUGGAGCAAGGUCUGAGAACGUGGGCCAGAUGGGUUGACGCAAUAUUGAUGCUAGCAGUACCAGGGUCUUCUUUCAGAGUAUCUCGCCUACGCAUUACAAGUAUGUUUUUCCCUUCUUUGUACUAGUAAUUAUUUGUUCGACGACAGCCAGCUUGAUUGCAACAACUCUUUUUCUUAUUAUGGGUACUGAAUUCAAAGGCAAGAGUUAGUAGUGUUAAAAGAGUCCAGACUGCUGUUUCAUUGCCAUCGGGUGCCUCGUGAAUCUGAUAGCUGUAAUCACUAACUGUUACUUUUGCGGUGCAAGUUGGACUUGUAGGAAUUGAAGCUGAAUUAUUGGGCACUGGGACCUUACCGUCCUUUAGGCCUUUUCCAACCUUGACCAAUACUUCAGUCGAAAGUUCCUUUCCCAUGCAUCUGUCAAAGUCUUAACCGUUGGGCCAAAGUUUAAAGUUAAAUUGUAGUAAUGAUUUAAGUUCACCUAAUGAAGUCUGUGGUAAAUUAACUUGUGCUUUAGUCUAAUAGUAGAAUACAGUCCUUGACAUCAAAAGACUGUAACCAUGUCAUUUUUAGCUUUUGAUUGGUCUUGUUUUGCGAAUAUGGAGCUGAAUCAGUAGUGUUUGUAGUUUCACUUUGUAAGUACAUCGAAUCAUCGAUGCUGGCACAUUUCUUGUUAACAAAAAUGUUCACAUGUCUAUGUCGAAAUCCUUGUGGUUGUGAUUCGUGAAGUUGUCGGUUGUCGAUGAUGAAGGGUGGCUUGUUUUUCUGUUCCUUUCCGCCUGUGAGCAAUAGUAGUGGAGCAUGUAAUGUAAUGGUAUUAAAUAUUUAGGCAAAUCCAGCUAUAUGUGAGGUCAUGCCAAUUGCUACUUGCUGCAUUUUUUAUAUAUGUGUAUAUAUAUUUUCCACUCGAGUCACUAAGCUGAAAAAAGGUAAUGUGUAGAACUACUUUUCAGGUGCUUCAUAUGUAAGACCAACCUCACCUUGUUAGUGGCCCUUUUUUGUUUUGUUUUCUUUUUUUUUAACGAAGCUCACAACCCAGAAGCUCACAACCCAAAUCCUUCUAAAUUUAGCAUUGUGGAUGUAUAAAUGCGCUUUUAGGACGAUAUGCCUGAUUUGACUUUCUUUGAGAUCAAUAGAUAUAAUUGAAAAUGCCAGCUGAUUAGAUAUAAGUAAUGUAGCAUACACAAAACACUAAUGAAAGUGUCCCAUGGAAUUAUUCGGUCCUUUUCCGCCGAUACAAUAAAUAGAAAUUGGGACAUACGUUAAUAUAGAUGGAAUUCAGGUGUUAAUAUUUAAGAAAAGUCAAAUUAAGUGGGGAAAUUCUAUGGUGUGAAAUAGGGUAAUGAUUGUCGGUUUGUGCAUUGACAUAAUAGGUUGGGUGUGAUUUGGGCGUACUAGCAAGAACUAGAGCGCUUGUUAGAAAAAACCGCGAAUACUUUUGCAUCCAAAAUUAACAGAAUGAUGUGAAUUUUUUUGCCGAAAAAAUGAUAAUAAUGAAAUCACUGAAUCGGUUGACUGGAUGUGGACAGAAAAUUUCACUCACUGAAAUUGCUGGUGCCACAGUUCAACAAACUGGGUAUAACUUGGCUUGGAAUAGUGCUGUGGAGUGUACUUGAACCACUUUCGUAGGGAAGGAAGCUCUUGGGAAAAUGUGUGUACGUCUUGGGAUGACUUCUUUUUUUCCCAGAUUCUCGUGAAUAGUGGUAAAAUCUGUAAAUUUAGUUCCUUGUCAUGCAGUUAAUUCAAGGUAAUGCAACUAGAUUGGUUGAUACAAGUGUCGUCACUUUCUUCAUAGCUGUUCUUCAUGUGGGUCGCGGUACAUAGAAGAAAAUCUGGUAGCUAGUACUGAUUGUUGAGUAUUUAUGGUGGCAGCCCCAGUGAGUGGAGCACUGGUUCAGCAACAGCAGCCAAGAGUUGUUAUGGUGAAACAUCCCCAAUGACAGGGACAACCUAUCCAGGAACCUACCCGGAUCAAAUGACUGUUAUAAAGACAGUGAUGAGGACAUGAACUACCCUCCAUUUUUGCUUGAUAUUACUUUGCUCUCAGCAAUGAGGAAAGACGCUCACCCUUCCAUUUACAGUGGUGAUCUCACCCCGAGCAGAAAGCCAAUCCUGACCAUUCUGCUGAUUGUAGCCAUUGGUGCCUGCCUGGCUUGCCUGAUACUUGGAAUCAACUAUUCUACACUGCCAUGUUCUUCUAAACUCAUUUUAGGCCUUUCUGUUCUCCCUUUCCGUUCGGAUUUCAUUUUUUUUUUCUUUUUCAGUUGCCUUUCUCUGUAGGUGUUGAUGCAAUAUUAUACCCAGGAAAGCUGAGGCUAAGAAAUCUCCUCUCCUGCUUGUAACAUACAGUGCAUUUAGUUAGGUGGUUGGACUGAAAGGAUAUGACCAUAUAUUUAAUGAUUCUGUAUAUUUAAAAACAAGUCUUACUUCUGCAGCAGAACGAAUGUAGAAAGUGUGUUGAAUUUCAUAUGACUGGCAUGGUAGCCCAAUAUGAAUCUGGAUUAUCCUGGAUGCCGACUUCUUAGUGAUCAUUGCCUGCAUAAAGGAGGCAUUCAUCAUCGAGGAGCCCAUCAUCAAAACACCAAUCCAUCAACGUUUUAGCUUCGUGUGUGAUUGUACUCUUCACGUGGUUGAGCUGCUUUUACAGAGGAUAUGGUGGAUGUUACCCAUCCUUGCAACAUUACUACGUACCAUGAUGGCUUCGGCCUCCAUUUGGAAUAAAGAAAAGGCAGCAGUCCCUCAGGAUGCAUGAAAUGAUUGAAAGAGAGUUGCAAAGGUGAAUGAAACACCAAGAAACAUGAAUAUGACAUACUCCUCCCAUUCGCUCCAAGAAUACUCUAUUUGCUUUUCCUUUUUGUUACAUGUACCUCUUCAUUGCUCUCUGCACUGCUGUUUACUUUUCAGUUAAUUUGAAUGUGCACAGAGGAAGAAGUAAGAUUAGAUGCAGUUGAUAAAUUCAGCGCUGAGAGCCUCAUGAAAGUCAUUCCACAUUCUUUAUAUUCUUUCUACUCUGGCUAUGGAAGCUCCAUCAAUUCAGUGGCCAUUAUACCUUCAGUUCCUGUUUUGAAGUUUGAAAAACACCACCUUAAUCUGCGAUCAACUUUUCAACUUCAUACAUUUCCAAACCCGUUAAUGAGCUGGUUUCUGUAUUCAAAAUUUAACAUUGAACAGAUUUUGUAAAACUGCUUUAUAUGCUCAUUAAAUCUGCAGUGAAUUUAUUUUCACUGUCCAUUCAUCUGCAUAAGGUAAUUUCAAAAUCAAAAGAACAUGAAGAGAGGCUUGUAUUAUUCCAAAGUAGUACUCGUUAGAAAACGAUGAUACUCUUGAAAAAGCACUCGAGCAACAUAAAAAUGUUGUGCCGAAUUCAUUUAUUACUCCUGGAAGGAUGGAGUGAAGUCCAAGUUCGAUAGACUUGAACCAGCCACUAUCUGAGAUACAAUACAAGCAUAAGGAGCUCUUCUUUUCCACGCUUAUAUUUUGCUCCCUCCCCUUUUGUACUAGACCGUACUUUUCAUUUUGAAAUGUCCUAAAAUGCUUGUCAUUUUACUAAGUCAAAGUUAUUUUUUAUCUCUUUUUUCAAUGUUAUUCCCACCUUUAUUUAUAUCUAAUACUAAAUUCAAAUUUAAAAUUUAAAAUUUUGAGGAUAUUUUGAAAAUAAAUCCGCUAACAUCACUAUAAAUUCACUAUUUUUAAAAAGUUAAAAUUUCGAAAUCCUUCGUAGGGAGUACUACUUUCUCUAGCCUCAUUAGGUUGAGUUGUGCGGGAGGGGGAGGAGGGAGUUGCACACUACUUUCCUGCGUUUGAAUGUCUACAAUAAUGUAGAACAAAGUACAAACAAAAUGGGGAAAAAAAAAAAAAGAAAAGAAAAGUAGAAGUACUUGGUGCGGGUAGCCAAAACAGAAGAAAUAGAUUACAAAACAUUAGGUUACAACACAAAACUUGCUGCUUGAACCAUCGCACCACAGCUCCGUGCACAACUUAAAAGCUAUCCCCUAAACUGUUGCGCCACAGUACUGUAUCAAGAUUUUCAUAGUGCCAAAUGGCUUUAUUCAACUUUACAAUCCUAAUAGUAAUAGUAACUUCUUUCAUACAGCAGGGCACUAAAAACUCAUCCUGCAUAUUCUAACACGACCACAAACAAGCAGUUAUAUUCUUAUUCAAAGUGUUAGCUCUGGAUUGUGAGCUCCUUUGCGGGUAUUCCAACCAUGCGUGGAACGUCGUCAAUCAUCGUAGGUGCCAAAUUUCCAUUAGCAACUGGUGGAAGAAGCUCUCGUAAGCUGAAUUAUGCACACCGACAGCAGCCCUGCCCGAAGGAUCAAGGUUCUUUGACCAUGAAGCAUCCCAUUCAAUAGCUUUUGCGGUACUGCAUGCCACGCUUGCCCGCCAGGAACAGUGAGGCUUGCUGAAUUCUGCACAAGGUGGAACAGAGGAAAGACGCAGAGGUUAAGUUCAUUUCUGUAUCAAAAUGACUAGUUACUCUUCAAAGCUUUUUUUUUUAUAAUCUGAAAAGCUACCUGGGGAAGGACCUCUCAAAAAUUGUUCGGUAGUAGUAUGCUUCCUUUGUGGUUGGGGUAUUGUGGGGGAAGAUGUGUUCAGCAUUAAGCAUCAUCUUGUCGGUAACCUGAAUGCACAAUAGCCCACUAAAUUAACCACUAGACCUGGACAUAAACCAAUUUCAUACUGGACAAGCCAAAAGACAAGCGCACUACAUACGUGCAGCUCAGCAUGGGCUUUAAGGCCAUCAAUCCAACUAUAACCUACGCCAUCACUGAAUUGCUCUUUCUGCCUGUACAGAAUAUGCUGCAGUAGAUAAAAAUAGCCUAGGUGAGUGGGAGGUAAACAUGGUGAGAAUCCACGGACAAAAUAUUGGAAAAUUGUAAACUUUAGACCUUGGGGAGAUAGGGGUGCUCCUCAUCAUCAAAAGCUCUCCUAAGAAUCCACUUCUCAAUACGCCCCUCCCCUGGUUUAAUCUGAAGUGGAAGGACAAAUUCAGAAAGGCAUUUAAUUAAAUUAAAACCAGUAUCCAAGAUGCUCAUUAUUUGUUGUCAUACCAUCUUCGACUCAGGGUCGAUGCUCAUGGCGACAUUAAUGAAUUCUUUGUCCAGGAAUGGAACGCGGCUUCUACACCCCAAGCAGAUGUUGCCUUGUUUGCCCUCAAGCAAUCAUACUGGUGAAGGGCCUUAAUCUGAACACAUGCAGAAGUGAACAAUUGCUUCUACUUUGCUUUGAUUCAAAACUUUAGGCAGCUGGCAAGCAAAUAUGUGUUCGUACCUUGCGACAUGUCUCUCGGUGGAACUCUUCCUUGUUUGGUGCUUUAUGAAAGUACAGAUAACCACCAAAUAUCUCAUCAGAGCCUUCACCAGAUAUGACCAUCUUAACUCCCAGAGACUUAAUCUUCCGCGACAUAAGGAACAUAGGCGUGCUUGCUCUUAUUGUGGUCACAUCAUAAGUCUCGAUGUGGUGAAUAACAUCUUCAAUUGCAUCGAUACCAUCCUUUACGGUGACAGGAAGCAUGUCAUCAAUUAAAGCAGGAAAUGAGGAUAAAUUGUUUCAUGAAGAGAAACAGACGGCAAAGUUGAGCGCGGGUCAAAAUGCAAUAUUUGUAUAAAUACCUGAACAGUGAAGUGAAAUUCAUGAUGUACAGUACCCAAAUAAUCAGAAACUUCUUUUGCAGCCUUCAAAUCUGGAGAUCCCUGUUUAAUAAAGCAAGAAUGAUUUUCGACCAUCAAGGACUAAAAGUAUUGAGAUUUUCCCUUAGUGGAAGUUCGGGAGCUGACCUCGAGACCAACACAGAAGGAAUGAAGCUGUGCUCCCCAUUGCUUGGCGGCCUUUGUACCAGCCAAGUAACGAGCAGUGAUAGCAGCGACCAAUGACGAAUCAAGCCCUCCAGACAGCAGAACCCCAAAAGGCACAUCAGUCAUCAAUCUUUUUAUCACGGCCUGCAUUCAUUUCCGUAGCAAGGGAUAUCAUGCUUGAUCGUUUUACGCGUUCAAGACAGGCCAUGAGGGAAAUUUUUCUGAUAUUACUUUGAUUAAGCAUGUACUUCUCAAACGAGGAACAAAUAUGCUACAGUGAAAUCUUACAUUUUCAAAUGCACGCCUCAGAACAUGGGGCUCAUAAGGAGUUGAUGGAAUAGCCUCAGAAAACCACGGAGGAUUGUACCAUCUUCGGAGGCCACCAUUCUUGCUGGAAUACAAGUGCCCUGGUGGAAAGACCUCAAAAUGUUCGCAAUCAUCAUGCAAACCUUUCAAUUCUGAUGAAAUCCAAACAGAACCUGAAGACAAACAGAAAAAAAAAAUCUCUCAUCUGGAUAAGUAAUUGCAAAAGUAGGCUAAUCUAUAGCUGAUAAUUCAUUCAAGAAGCUACCCAAUCUUACCGUCAAGGCCCCAGCCAAUGUACAGGGAAGUGAUUCCAAUGGCAUCCCGGGCAACAAUAAAGCUGUUGUCACGGGUAUCCAGCAGAACAAAAGAAAACAUUCCAUCCAGCAUGUCCACAAAAUUUUCUCCAUGCUCUUCAUACUGACCCAAAAAAAAAAAUUUUUUUUUUUAAUCAACGGUUUUAACAUCAGAAGGAAAACAACAAAACCAAAAUAUUGAUGCUUACAAGAUGUGCAAUAACAUCACAAUCGCUGCCAGUUCUGAACUUGUGAUUAGGCAAACUCUUCCGCAGCUGCUCGUGAUUGUAGAUCUCUCCAUUCACCUGAAUUUUUAUACACAUGACAUGCCCCCAGUGUUAAAUGAAUCUCUUAUGCUAAUUUCAAAACAAAAAAAAAAAGAAUAUAGAGAAUAAUUAAUCAGAAACCUGAAGCAAUUAACUCACAGUUACAACGAUCCUUUUGUCUUCAUUGAACAGAGGUUGAUCACCGGAGGCGGGAUCAAUGAUUGCCAGGCGCUGGUGAGCGAGAUAAAAGUCACCGUGCUGAUAUAGUCCACUCCAAUCAGGACCCCGAUGCUUCAGUCUGUUUUUAGUGUCACGAUUGCAGUUAAAAUUUCAAGGAUCCUCCAAGAAAUCAAAUGAAAUGAAAUUUUCAUCUCGAUUAAUCCAUGAAGCGAGUUCUUAAUUAAAUUGACAGGACAGAAGGUAAAAUACUAAUCAUGAUUUGGGAUUUUAUUUAAGAGAAUUGGAGGCCGGAUGGAUGCUAGUUACUUCAGGCUCGCUGAUUAGUCACACGACAACCAAAUGCAACAACGACACAGACAAGGCUAGUGGAUGGUUCGAGCAAAUAAAUAAAGUUAGGUCCCACGUUGGAAAAUCAUAAAAGAUUAACCAAUCAUAAUGAACUAGGAGCACCCUGUGUCUGGUUUUCACAUCCCCAGUUGACGGGGACGGAGAUUCCCAUGAUCACGACGUCUCCUCCAUUUACAUCCGCAGUUAAGGUCAGUCUAACAUCGCUCAGUAGUCGCACGCAUUUUUAUGAUCAACUCAGUAUUAAAAUUUAAAACACGACACCGUUGAAAGGAAAACUGUGACGCAUAAAAGCUUAACGUCAAAAUUAAAGGGGGAAAUAAAAAAAAAAAAAAAAGAGGAUAAAGAAUUGCCUGCGAGAGAGCUCGAGGACGCGAACCCUUUUGGCCUGAGAAUCAUCAGAACAACCCAAAACUGCUAAUAUUCCGCACAUGAUUUUUAGUGAUCUAUUGCAGUCCUCUUUUUUUUUAUAUAUAUAUUUUUCCCUGUUUCUGUUUAUUUGCAGAGUUUUAGUGGAAGCACAAGUCUAUAACCAGGAUUAGCUGAAAAUUAAAAGUUGAACUGGCAAUAUAGAUAGAUGGAUGGGUGCAGGGGAUAGAUUCUGAGGGUGGAUAAUGUCAGGAAAAGGAGUGUUAAAAAUACAAAGAGUAGUGUUGAAAGAAAGAAAGAUGAAAAAGGAGAGAUAUUUAGGGAGGUGAAACGAGCGGAGAAAGUUUAUGAAGUGAGAAUGGCGGAGAGGGAAAAAUGAGUUUUAACUUUAAACUUGGAACGAGUUUUCUGUGAAGAAUCCCCGUUAGAAUAGCGUACGUAUUUAUAGCAGUCUGGAGGCUCAAGUUGACGAUCGCAGAUAAAUAAAUAAUAAAUAUUUUUUAUUAAAAAAAAAAAAAAAAACGUAUGCGGCGACGUUUCAUCGCUAGUCUCUAACAGAUGUAGAAUCUCAAAAGCUCGGGUAUAUUCUGGGACCACGCUGAUCUCGCCACGUGUAUUGUCAUCCUUCGUCGAUGAUGUCCCUUUCCUUUUUUUUUUUUUCCAUUUCCUUUUUUUUUUUUUUUUGUGUUUUUUAAGUUUGAGAGAAGGGUUUAUCCGCUUAGAAUUCUACGGAACGCUGAGUCAGCAACAAUUAUUUUGUCACUUUCUCCCGCUAGAAAUCAGAAAUGUGCUGCGCCAUUAAUCAAUAAUCUAUCUGUAUCAGUAUUAGCGAUUAGGUUAAGACGAGCCAAAAGUCUUGUGUAAAUUAUACGGUGAUCUUCUUCGAAUGGAGGGCGGGUUUACGUACGUGGCGACAACGAAGACUUUGGGAGGCUAAAACAAGGCAAAGGUUUUCAUUGGCUAGGGGGCUUGUCAAUGCUGUCAUGUGCAUCGUGUAUAAUCCAAAGUCCAGCGAUGAAUAUGCAAUAGUGGCAUCCGAUUAAUUACCAAUGCCCCAAGAUUAAAAUUAAUAAAAUAAAAAAAAAAGUGGCCAUUGAUGGUACACCCACUUUGAAAACAUUUUUUUUUUUUGGUCGGAACUUUGAAAACAUUUUUAAGUCUUCAUUUUGCCUGUUCCUUGUUGGUGUCUUUCUUAUGUCACUUGGUUUUAUGUUCUGCCACAAUGAUCGAAAUGACUUCGAAGCACCCAAAUUACUUGUGUGGCAAUUCAAUGGAUGACGAAAACAUAGCACUAACCUGUGUGUUGUGCAUUGAGCAUUUGUUGCCUCCAAUUGAGCUACUUAUUGGCGUCCGUCUAGAUUUCCAACAGCCGUUCUCCUUUCAAUGCCUUAUUCCUUUUGGUGAUUCCCAAGCGUUAAUCUUCGUUGUUCUCUUCUCCAUCUUAAAAUUGUCUAGACCAUUAUUGGGGUGCCAUUUGAGUAGAGCCAAAAUCGAAUAGUGUACUUCUCUGAACUUGAACUCAAUAUUUUGCAUAUAAUUCAAACAAAAUAUGUAAUCAACACUUCCCAAUUCUCAAAAAUAAACAUAAAAGAUUAUAUAUAUAUAUAUAUAUAUAUAUAUGUAUGGGUUUAGAAAUAUAAUACUCGACCUCGACUCAUAAGUAUUUUUGAGUAGUUCAUAUUCGACUCGAAUUCGGUAAAUAUCUAGCUCGAGUCAAGUAAUUGAUGGAGCUACUCGCCAGUUCGAGUCAAGUAGUUCGGCCAACUUGUAGUCCUAAACUAGUCUAUAUACUACGGAGUGUGAUCUCGAUCAAUAUGAUUGACAAGUGGAAUGCUUCUAUGAAAAGAAAAAAAUGGUUGAAUUUCCGUGAGCAAAAUAGGAAUGCGAGACCACCUUACGAACCGCUCUUUGGCAACUAAUAUGUGUAAAUCGAGGGUUAUUUUAUAUCUUUAUCUGUAUAUCUUAACUUAAGUAGUUGUACUACUUGAUUUUUAAUGAUUUGAAGAAUGCUUUCGGGAAUUCCCACUAGAAGAAAAUAUUUCAGCAUCAAUCUUUCUCUUGUUUCUACUCUCUCUUUUAUAUCACUUUGUCUACUUUCUUAAAUCUACGACAAGUAGUAGGCGACAUUUGCCAAUUGCCAUGAAAAGUACAUCAUUCGCUAAUCCGGUGAAAAUGCCAGAUGAUACACUACCAUUUCAACCGGUAAAGGAACCAUUCUGAUUCUGCAAGGAGAAUCACAUUAUACUCUUGUGCCUUCUUCGUUGCUGUUUCUUCCUAGAUUUUAUGGGCUCGAAACCCUAUCAAAGUCGCCUUCUAAACGUUAUUUUCUAUUAAGCUCAUAACAUUGUUAUUAACUCAUUAAUUCGCACCGAAAAGAGAGAGGGGGAAAAUAAAAUUUGUAAAAUGUCUCUUUCUGAUAAUGGAAAACGCACUAAAAUCAGAUGCAGGCAGUUGGUUAUUACUGACGUAUGCUAGUCAUUUGCGAUCCAAAUUCAUUGAUCCGGUUUUGUCACUACUUGCGUCCAUAAUGGUUUUUUUUCUUCUUCUUUUUUUUUUUUUUUUCCUUUUAAGAAUGAUAAGAAUGAAGAAAGGAGGAGGAAUUGGGUAGUGAAAAUUGAAAUCUCAAUGUAAAACGAGAAAAUAGGCUCCCUUGCAAUGAUGGAGCCAAGGGGCACAGAGGGGGCCAUGGCCCCCCCUAAAUUUUGAAAAUUUUAAUUCAUAAUAUAUAAAUAUGUGUGUAAAAUAAAAUUGGCCUCCCCUAAAUUUUUACAAUUUUAGUUUAUAUUAUGAGAGUUGAGAUAUAUAUAUAUAUAUAUAUAUAUAUAUAUAUAUAUAUGAAUUAGUCAUCUUUAAAUUAUUUUUUUUCAGAAAAAGUUAUUUAUUUUUAUUGUACUAAUUAUUUAACUUUCAAAAAUUAAACAUAUAAUUUGAUGUUCCGUAGUAAAUUGACCCAAUGUGAUGUAUUAGAAUAAAAAGACCCAAUUCAUAAUUGUUAAAAGCAAGAACUAGUACGUCUAAGAAUAGAACUUCAAUAUUUUGAGUUCGACAUUCCAAAUCAUCAUGAAUUGCAAGAAUUAUCUGGUAUUCAUGAGUUAUGUCAAGACUUGGUGAAGACAAGAAAAUCAGUGAUAUAUCCUCUUAUUGACAGAUUUAUUAGACUUGUUAUUACUCUUCCUAUAUCAACUGCAACUAUAGAGCGGGUAUUUUCAAUUAUGAAAAUAAUCAAGACAAAGCUCCGAAACAAGAUGCAAAAUAAUUUCUUGAAUGAUUGUUUAACUGUGUAUAUAGAAAAAGAAGUUGCUGAAAAAUUUAGUAAUGAUUCAAUCAUAGAUGAAUUUAGUUCUAUGAAAGAGCGUAGAGAUUAAUUUACUUCUAAGAAAAGAUAUUGAAAUUUCAAAUUAUAUUAACAUAACUUUUAUCUUUUUUCAAUUGAAAAUAGUUACAUUUAUAUUAUAUGGUUAUAUAUAUAUAUAUAUAUAAUUGCAUAGGUGAUAUAUUGGAGAGCAUCUUCUCAUAAUGUGCAAAUUAGAUGAUUUGUGAUGUUAUAAGAUAUUUAAUCAACAGUUAUCUUUUUUGUUAAUUUUUGUUAUGACUAUACCGCAUAUUUAUGAAUAGACAUAUCUUUAUAAUUAAAUUUAUUAUUUGAUAUUUUUAGAUGUCAUAUAUUUAAAUAAAAAAAAUUAUUUUUAACAUAGUAUAUUAAAAUAAUUUUAUUAGGAAAAAAUUUUACCCCCCGCCCCUCCCCCUCCCACCCACCCAAAAUCCUGGCUCCGUCACUGCUCCCUUGGUUGGGUUGGUCAGGGCAACAACAGUGAUCACCAAAAGUUUUCAGAAUUCAUCAAAGUCUUGCUAUCAUCAUUUACUGUCCCUGCCAGAACUUUUAUGACGUGAGCGUCUUCAUAUCUGAUAAUAGAGGCCAGCUAGUUUAUUGUGUAAAUUACUGCAUAAUUGCCAAGAUUCUUUUGUCUCUUUCUUAGGCUAGAGGAAUAUCAAUGCCAAAGAAUAUUCAAAUACGUGCAUAUCCGUCGCCGAUUCUAUUGAAAUAGGAAAUACGAUGUACAUACAUAACACGGAUGAUAUAUAGUUUAAGGAUUAAAAAUAUAUAUAUUAUAUUUAUUUAUAUUGCCGUCAUCCCCAUAUGUACACCAAAAAAGAAACGGCAAAUGGUUUACACCUGCCGUUGAGUUCUCACAUCAACGGAGUCAGUUCUCACAUACCAACUUUUAUAAUAAAAAAUAAUAAUAAUUCAUAUUUACCACUUGAGCGAUUGAGUUGACUUAUAUUAACAGUUAUCGUAGAAUUUAAAUCGUGACAUACAAGUUUUAUCACCACAUACAUACAUACAAGGCCAUUUUCUAUUACGUGUCUUUAGGCCACAAAAUAAAAAGAGGGGAUGGAUUCACAAUAAAAGUUAAUUUUUUAUACUCUAUCAAGGUUGAAUAUAUAAUGCGCAUGUAAAAUUUGAAUUUCAAAUAUCAAUUUAAAUUAAUUAUAAUAUAUUUAGCGAUGUCAAGCACAUACGGUUUGAUACACCAACAUGGAGGUCGAGCACAAAAUACCCCUAAAAAAGUCAAAUUAUAAAAUGUCAUGCGUUGCCCGAGUUAGAGCUGCAAAAUCUGAAGCUCGUAACAUCUAUAUAUUCCCGUGUCCAUCCAUUCUCGGCUAGAGCGGUUAGUGUUUUGAAUGCGGGAGGCAUGAUGACAUAUAAUACCAAACAAGCAAAGGAUUUCAUGUCGUAAAACCUCAAAAUUGCAUGCAAUCUAAAAUCAACCGAAAAAGUAAAAAAAAAAAAAAAAAAACUAAAAAGAGUAGGCCUUAUCCAGAUCCAAACUGGUUGGAUUGGACGGAUUAAUGUGGGACACCUGUCUUCAGCCUGCAGCACAAAAACAAAAAUACACGGGGACAUCUCCGUCCCACAAGGACCAAUGGCUUAACACGACAGCAUAGAUAUCCAUUCAGGUUUCAAGAAAGAUGGAACAACGUGACAUUAACGAUACUCAUCGGAUUUUUUUUGGGUUUGAAUGAAAUUGUUCACCUGUGACGAUCGAGAGAGGCUGGACGCGAUAAUUGCACUGAUGCUCAUCUUUUCUUGUCUGUGGAAAAACCGUUCUUCUUUAACCUAUUGUAUUCAUUCAUGCCUAUCUUCAUCAAAUGUGGGAGUUGACGACGGUACACAUUCAUUCAAAGUCCGGACGUGGAAGGAUAGAAAACGUCUCAUCACCAAGGUCCGUUAAGCUGGGGCUUGACUGUGAGAGACAAGUGUUGCAACAUGAAUGCGCAGUACACCGGGGCGUGCUCCCUUCAGUUGUCGGACGCCGCUGAUUAUUAAUCACAUCAUCAAGCACCUAUCACAAAAGGAAACGAAAGGGAGAAGGAGAGAAGACAAGUCAAAGCUCCUGUGACAUGAAAGGGAGGAUUAGUUUAAUGCUAACCACGACGUACUACAAGCUACAAUCACAUUAUAUUUUAGUUGUCUUGAAAGCAUCUCCUCUUAAUUGUGUUGGGGUAUGCAAGCAAAAGGCUCAAUUACUUGUGCCAUCGCUGUCUAAUUUAUAGAUUGUUAACAAUUGAUGCGGCGAUUUUGAACGAGUGUUAAACUCUUUUUUAUUAUUAUUAUUGAGAGGGGUUAAGCAGUUACAUUCAUGAAAGCAGAUUUCUUACGGCGUCCCUUCGAGUUUAUGCGCCCGAGUGAAGUCUGUAUGGACAUGUACCAUCGUGGUUUCAGCAUGGGAUGACUGACUCUCCUAAAAUAAUCAAUAAUUAAUCCACUUGUUGGUUGUAAACCCAAAAUAACUGCUGUGGGUCGCGGUGGCGUGCGGCGACACGGUUAAGUUGCGUGCAUAAAGUCCACACCGUAACAUUAAAUUAAAAGCCAUUUGUUUUCCUGAAUAUGGAUAGAGUCACCUCCUUUUGUGGGGCAUUAGAUGAGACCUUGAGAUGUCGAUGUCAAAUCCUACCCCACCCCACUCGUUAACUUUUAGUUCAGGAAUCUCCUUACUGCUGCUACGACCCGGCUCUCUGCAAGUACCAAAAAAAUGGUGUAAGAAUUGAAAGAAUGGACGUGGCCCCUCGGGCGCAGAUCGACCGGCUAUGAGAUAACCUCGUUAGGUCCCACGUCGUGUGAUCGAUUCUGGCUCUUCUAUCGUCUCGUGUAUUCUUGGAGGUGAAAUAUACGGGCGCAAAGAGAACACUCCCAGUGUUGAAAAAAAAAAAAAUUUUUUUUUGAAAGAAUGGACAUGCGAGCGACGCCACAGUUGGAGAGAAGGGAAUAAAUGCCCAGACUUCAUAAGCAGAAAUGGGGUGGAAGAACCUCCGGAAGCAAUCAGAAAAGCUGCUCCGGGGAGACUGAACCCCAACUUGUUUUGUGUAAUUCUUUUUUUUUUUUUUUUGGGGUCAUGAGAUGCUGAGGAAGUGUGAGAUCAGUCCAAUCAGACUUCUGAUGAGACGUUUGUUUGUGGUAAGUUCAUUCUCAUGGGACUGUUUGAAUCAGACGUCUCAUGCGUGGGACGGUUCGUUUGUGAUAGGUAAUUCGUUGAUGAAUAGGACAAAUUGUUUCGUGCUGAUUGAAAGGGGAGAAGCCUGAAUUGAUUCUUCUUAAUUGGAACGUCUCUAACGUCUUUUUCUUUUUUUUUUUCCAGUUGGGAUAUUCGGGCUACACCCAACUAAUCCUCCAACCUCGAGGAGAGCGGAUCCCACUGAUCCUCAGAAAAUUACGUUAAAUUAUUGAGUUCGAAAUUAAAUUCAGACCGUUUCACUCUAACGAGAACUACACGAUUAUCUGAGCCCGUCGGGGCUACGUCAGGAAGGUCUCUUACGUCUUUCAUAGUAGGUUUUUUUAAGGUCACUGUAGUAGAAAAGAGGCUACUCGAAUAUUCGAGCACCACCGAUGGUUCUCAUCAAUUCUCAGUAUUAAUCCAAACGGGCCUAAGAUUUUCUUUUGCAAGUUUAGAGUCAAAGAAUUCUACGGGACAACGAAAGAAGAAGCCGUGGAAUAUUCUGCCGUGUUAUUCCAUCCUUUGCAUAUCUCUCAAUGGCGUCAUCUAUGAAUCUACUCCGCUUUUAAGUCAGAGUUCAAAUCCUGCCUAUUCAUCCAGGAUGACAGGUAUGUGGAUGGCUCAAUUGGGCUUGAUUAUUUGUCACUUUUUGGGCCACAAUAGCUUAUGACUCAAAUUAAUGGGUUCAUGAUAGGCCACGCCCAUCUAUUCUCGCCUUGGCAAUUGGUGCAUUACGUUAUUUUAAGAAAGGCAAAAAACAAAAAAAUUGUCUCUUUCUUUCGUUUUAGAUUCAACAUUAACUUGACGUUGAACGCAUAGGUUUUGCAGAAUUUGAUACUUGCCUAGGGGCCAAGCCACUGUAAGCUGACGCCAUAGUGCCACUCUCCGUUCUAAAUUGAUAGGUAUCUCUCGUUCAAGUUAAUGCUUAACAGUACAUUCUAAUCUCUUCGUCCCAUUGGAAAUGUUACUUUUUUUGUCAUUUUAGAAUAUUCCAAAUCAUUUGUCAUGUUUGAAAAGUUAAAACAUCUUUUAGCCUCUCUUUGCAAUAUAACCAUUCUUUUUAAUCAUAUACAUGUUAUCAUUCAAAUUUAAAUUUUAAAUUUGUGAGCGUAAAAUCAAAAAGAGAAACACAAACAUCACAAUCAAAUCACUAUUAUUAAAAAGUUGGAUUCCCGAAACAUGACUAAAUAAUUGUGACGGAGGAAGUACUAGUUUAAACAAAAGAACCCGAAUCAUAUGUACUUAUAUUUUAUGUCCUCGGAUUAAGUCAAGACGGAGCAUCGGACCUCAAAGUGUAAUUGAUACUACUAUCUUUUUAGUGGAAUGCGCGUUGCUGUUUCGCCUGUCCAAGCCCACUUUGAUCUGCUCCUGAUGUGCCACCACUUUGAUAACUGGCCUGCUUAGUGUAGCGUUGGUGUUUUAACAAACGUUUGAGUCCAUUUUGCUUUUGCCUAUCAUACAAUCCUAAAACAAGACAGAUUACCAUCUUUGUAAUGGGUUUAAGCUAUCUUAAGGACAAGAAGGAAGACCCAACAAGUUCUGCAAAACCUAAUUCAUUAUACUAAUCCUUGCAACUUAAUUCGUACGGGACCACGUCUCUGAUAAUAUCAAGCAACAGUGAUCAGCUAUAUAACUACAGCCCUCCCCUGACGAGUGUUUUAUUUCUUUUCCCCCUUUCGUUAGGCUACUAGGUGCUAACCAUGUAUCCAACACUAUUCCUAAAUUCUCUAUCACUACUAAAUUCAAAGCAAUGUAUGAUUCCAAAAUUUCCACGAACACAAUACUAAUUUGAUUAGUAGUAUUUGCACGAAGAAUAGUAGAUCUAGAAAGAUGGCUGGGCGUGUAAGAGCGGUAGAAUUCUAACACUUAACUAACUCAGACCCGGUUUAAUAACUCAGUUCAGCAUAUAAAUUUAACGGAUUCAGAUCUUAAUAUAUUCAAACCGUUUGAUAACCAAAAAUUGAACAUCUAAAUUAAUUAACUCAGUUCAGCAUAUAAAUUUAAUGGAUUCAGAUCUUAAUAUAUUGAGACCGUUUGAUAACCAAAAAUUGAACAUCUAAAUUAAUUAAGUGGCACUAAAUUUUCUAGACAAAAUUUGCUCUCAAAAUUAAGUGAUAAGAUAUUCACUUAUCACUGAAUAUGAUAAACACUCAGAUGUAUUAGAUUUAAUACUUAGCAAUUCAUUAAUUUAAUGGAUUCAAAUUUCAAAUUUUAAUUUUAUUAAACGCACCCUUACAAUUCUAACACUUACUGACUUCCAUAUAUAUUCCAUAUAUAUAAUAUAUAUAUGUAUCAAUUAUAUUUAAAAAAAAAAACAAAUCUGUGGUCCCUUUAACAAACUAUUUCCUUAAUUUUUAUUUAUUAGUGAAAAUAGUGAUUUCAUUUUUAAAUGAUUAAAAUUAAUAUAGUAUAAUCUAAGGGCCCAAACACUUACUUCACAAACCAGCAAUGAAUUAAACUUAGUUUGAAGGCAUGAUACUCAAAACGAACGGUAGAAGAUAAUGUAGGUUCGAUAAUCAGCCUUACAAAUGGAUUAAUUGCAGCCAAUGCAUCUAUUCCACUCAAACACGUUCUUGAUAUAGAAAUCAAUACUAAUAGCGAGUAACAAAAAAUCAACACAUAAUGAUGUCGUUGGUGAAGUUAAGAGGACACGAAACGCGGUUUUGAAGAUUAGUGGGGCUGUUAAGAAAAAAGAAUGAUGAGUAGGUAGAUGGGGCUCUGAUUGUGCUAUCAUUUUCUAAUGAUGUCAGUGUGUGUAACGGUCACCGCCUCAGCCUUCAGCAUUCCAUCCAUCUGGCAACGGUAGAUUCCCAAGCAGCUUCUGCUGCUACUGUUGAGUUGCAGACGCGACUCGUACGUAUUGGCUGCCCGGUGAGAAAAGCAGAAAAUAAUCACGGCAAGACUUGAAAAUCUCGGCUCUUGAAUUGAUCUUGUAUCCAACAAGCCUCCAUUUUCUUCAACGCAUUGAGCACUCUUUUACUGGGUUUCAAACACGCAUUACCGGAGCUUUUUUCUUUCUUUCUUUCUUUUUCAAACGGCAUUGCUGGAGCUGGGAUGUUCAUAUUUUUGCAAGUUUUUUUCCAAUUUACACACUUUGUUGAAAGAUCAAAAGGGGGCCCCUUUUGCUUUCAUGACACCAAACAUAUCUGAUAUUCCAACAAUUUGCAAACGAAGAUCCACGUGGCAUAUAAUGUAGGAGUAUUUAUGGUUGUCAAGUUGGAUUAGCCCCAAAUUUUUAAUUUCUGUUUGGAUUAUUCAGUUUUUUAAAAACUAAUUUUUUAAAUACUAUAAAAAUUUUUAAAAAUAUCCCAAAAUAUAUUUUAAAAACUCUAUUACUCUUAAAUAUUUCAAAAUAUUUUCUAAAAAUAUCCCAAAAUAUACUUUAAAAACUGCUACAGUAAACUUUUUUAAAAACAUCCCCAAAAAUAAUUAAUCCAAAUGGAUUGUUAAUAUUGACGAAGACUACUUCAAAUGUUUAAUAAUGCAUUUAACUAAAAAAAAAAUUAAAAAAAUAAAAAAUAAAGCCUGGGCUGAGCUAGAAUGAAGAAGUAUCAUGGCCAGAACCAGUUCACUUUGGUCAAAACCACAAGGAAUAUAAAAUCAGGAAUUCAGACUUCCUCUCUUCAAACGCGGCAUGGGCCAUGGACUUUACUUUGACUCCUAAGCAGAAAAGACAACACGAAAAGAAAAGCCCACAGCAAUAGGCUCUCGUAUAAAUACCACCACCAUUUCCUUCACUUUCCCUCUUUCUAUCCAGGAGUCAAACAACCGAAGCAGCCUACAACAGAAUCAGACCAUACCGCAAAACCACAUCAUAGAUUCGAACGUUGGAAGGAAAACAAAAGAAUAUGUCUUGCACCGUUGCUCUUUCAAACUCACCCGUUUUCUCCCCAUCCGGUCGGGUUUCAUCUUCUCUAUUCUGCAAAACCUCUUCUGCUGCUGCUCCAUCGGCGGAAACUAUCAAAAACCCAUCAUCAACUUCGCCAUCAUCGCCUUUGCGAAUACUCCGCCUGCAGAAGCCGCACCCGAGUCCAAGCGGGCUAAUUGUGAAUUCUUCGGAUUUUUCGGCUUCGGGUUCGCCUUCGCCCUCGAUUUUGAAGAGGAAGAGGCCCGCGAGGCUGGAUAUCCCUAUGGUUUCAAUGGGUUUUGGGAAUGUUCCGCCAACCCCAUCCGCGGCAGCGGGGAGGGAUAUGGAUGUUGUGGAAGUGGAAGGGGAUGGAUACGUGGUGUAUUGUAAGAAGGGGAAGAGAGAAGCCAUGGAGGAUCGUUUCUCAGCUGCAAUCAAUCUUCAAGGAGAUUCCAAACAGGUACUGCUACUUAAUUUUUUGCGAGUUUUAACUGUUUUUGGUUCUGCUCGUGGGACUUUCUUUUUUUUUUUUUUGUUGCUAAAACUUGCUGAGUUUCUUAUUACCACUUAACUUUAUUUUGUUUACCUAAAUGAUGGGAUUUUAGGAUUAUGGGAUGAGGAAAUAGCAGGAGCGUGAUUACAUCUUAGUUAAGUAGACUUUAAUUAAUGGCAUUACAAAUUUUGUUACAAAAGUGUUUUGACUUUAAACUAUAUACUCUGGAUAGAUAAUCCUCGUACCUUAGACUUUAGUGGAUGGAUAUCCAGCAUCUGAUGUUCGUACCUUAGGACUCUCACAAUUUGUAUUUGUUGAUAUUUGGAGAGAUUAAUUUGGUUCUCUAUGCUUAAAGAAUUCCAUGACAUUGAAUUUGUAGGCUUGUUUUGGGAUAUUUGACGGGCAUGGAGGUGCAAAAGCUGCUGAGUUUGCAGCAGAGAACUUGCAAAAGAACAUUAUGGAUGAAAUUGAUAAGCGUGGAGAUGCUGAAAUUGAGGAGGCAGUUAAGAAUGGUUAUUUGAGAACUGAUGAUGAGUUUCUAAAGGAAGAUGUUUGGGGUGGAACAUGCUCGGUGACAGCACUGAUCAGGAAAGGGAAUUUAGUGAUAUCAAAUGCUGGUGAUUGUCGCGCUGUGCUGAGCAGAAAAGGCAUUGCUGAGGCUCUUACUUCUGAUCACCGGCCUUCAAGGGAAGAUGAGAGAGACAGAAUCGAGGCUCUGGUAAUCAAUCAACUUCGCGCUUUAUUGUAUUUGUUGAUAACUUCUCGACCGUGAUCAGUUUAUUGUCAAAUUCAGAUGGCUAAUGAUCUUAUGUCAUGGUGCAAUUUUGCAGGGUGGCUAUGUGGAUUGUAAGCAUGGUGUUUGGAGAAUUCAUGGAUCGCUAUCUGUUUCUAGAGGUAUUGGUGAUCAGUACCUUAAACAAUGGGUUAUCGCAGAACCAGAGACGAGAAUCCUCAGUGUAAAACCUGAGUUGGAAUUCUUGAUCCUUGCGUCUGAUGGACUAUGGGACAAGGUAAAACUAGUUACUUAGCAUUAUGAGAACUCUCUUUGUUGCGCAAUAGUGUUGGUAUUCGUUAAAGCAUUUUGUGUCAAAUAAAAUGAGUCUUUCUCCUUAUUUUGGCAGGUUAGUAAUCAGGAGGCAGUAGACCUUGCCCGCCCUCUGUGCAUUGACAUAGAAAAGCCAGAGCCAUUACAGCUUGUAGAAAACUCGCUGACCUUUCCAUUUCACGAGGUUCUGCUGAUGAUAUUAGUGUCAUGCUAAUUCAGUUGGAGCAAUUUCACUGACGAGGGCCCCUACGGUAGAAUGAGAAAUAUCUAACAAAUUCAUCCUCGAUUCUUAUUAUUUAUUCUUGCUGGAGUUGCUGCUGUUUACUGGUAGUAAUGUUUGCUUAGACUUUAGAGAAUAAAGAAAAUUAAUCUAUGAUGACGACAAGAUUGACGGAAGAGCCCAAUUUCGAGGCUUUUUUCAUCCAAUUUUUUUGUUCUGUAUAUUAGACACUGUUAGAACACACUUACAUGACUGAUGACUUUGAUAUGUACAUGAAAUUUAUUGAGUACAGCUUGAUGUAGAAAUGAUGAGGGAAUCAUGCACGCUGAGUGAGUUUGUCUUUUAUUAUUCUUUUAUACCAAUUUUCUUCUUCCCUGCCUUUGCUGGUGAUCAUGGGCGAGGGUCGAGAUCAAUUAUGGUCAGGGUAACUGUUUAUCUUUCGACUAAGAAUAUGUUUCAUUUUUCUUUGCGCGUGAAAGUUCUGGCUAAAGCCUGGAAUUUACAAUUCUGAAUGAUCUCUUACAUUUUAGUGUGAUGGUUGAACAUCACAAGCACAACUGGGGAUCAUUCCAGUUUUAGACUCUAUAUUAAUCGCUUGUUGCGUGCAACAAACUGCCUGCUAGGAUUGUUGAGUGGCCUGUGUGUGUGCUCAUUAGAAAAGCCGUUGUUUGUUUCUGAAGAUGAGGGAGGAGAGUUUGAGAUGGGAAAAGUGGGUGCUUCGACAAUGGUAUUCACAAGGUGAAACCCGGAUUCACUAGAUACCAUAUUUCAGUGUAACCAAGUUGAAAUGUGAUUAACAAAGAUGUAAAAUUUCGAGUUUGAAUUCGAGUACAAUACCAACUCUGUGAUUAGAAUUUUGCCCAACAGACUAAAAUGUAGUAGUAGUUUGAGGAAUUAAAAAAGUUACUGUAAAAGCACUAUGUAUGAAUUCUAUAUACUCCCUCCGUGCCACUUUGAUAGUCCUGUUCUUUUUUUCACACAGUUUAAGAAAAAGUAGUUAAUUUUGUUGGAAAAGUAAAUUUAGAUUGCUAUUUUCCUAAAAUACCCUCACAUUAAAUAUGAUACAAUUUUAUGGGAACUUGAAUUGAUAGUAAAAAAAAGAAUCAACUCUCAUUAAAUAUGGUAAGUCUAUAGUAACAACUACUUACGUUAAAUAAGGGUAUUUUAGAAAAAUUAAAAUACAACUACAUUCUUCAAUUGGAAAGUGAACUAUAAUUUGGGACAGAUGAAAAAGAAAUACAGGAUUAUUAAAGUGGGACGGAGGGAGUACUACAUAUGAAACGAAUAAUCAUGCAAAAAAUAGAACGUUAAUUGAGCGAGCCGGAGUUAAUGGGGAUUGACUCCUGGGAAAACAACACAGAUGCAUUAAUUUGUUUGCAGUUAUUCUGCUUCUUGGUCCUCCAUAACCUUUUCAAAUAGGGCAAAUUACACUUUUCCCCCUCUGUAGUUUAGUGUGUUUUACAUAACCCCCUAUGAUUUCAAAAGUUAUACAUAAUCCUCUCAGAGCUUGAAUUAAAACAUCAAAAUAACGGAAUUUGCAAUUCAUAAUAAAGCCAACUAAAAUGUCAAAAAUACCUCUAUGUAAAGUUGAAAAUUAUUUAUUAACUACAAAGAGGUUAUGUCUAUAUAUUAAAAACCACAAGGAGGUUAUAUGGUAAAAUAUUAAACCAUAAGAGAGAUAUAUAUAUAUAUAUAUGGUAAAAUAUAAAACCAUAUUGGAUUAGAGUGUCAUGCAUAUUUCAAACUAUGAGUGGGUUAUAUUUAGCUUUUAAAACUAUAGAGAGAUUAUGUAAAAAUUAGCUAUACUACAGGGGGUAAAGUGUAAUUUGGCCUUUCAAGUAAAGCGUGCAAGACUAAACUAUUUGUCUUGAUUUCUGGCCUUUCGGGCUCAUCGAUGUCUAGAUCCGCAGUUGACCCGGUGAAGUUCUCGAUGGUCAGUCUAUGAUGUUACUCUUUGACAUCCAGUUCGAUUUUCAUUCAUGGCUAGCUAAUUAACCGCCAGAGGGAUCAUACGGUGCACAUCAGAAAGGAAAAUUUUCUUAUUUCAUUCACUGUAAGAUGUCUUAAUUUUGUAGAAUAUUCAUAUUCGGACAGCCAACCCUUUCAAUACUGAAAAAUGCAGUUCAACCAUCGAGGUGCUGGAUUUUGAGCAUGACCCACCAAGAAACUUACGCCGAAUGCGCUCUACUUUCUGCCCUAUAAAGUCUGAUUUAUUAAUCUUUUGCACUUGCAACUGUUACAGGUAGAGUCCUGUGAAUUAUCCCAUACAUCUCUUCUAAAAGUGGAAAUACAAGCUGUAUUAGUACCCUCUUUUUCUGUUUCUUUUUCUUUUUCUUUUUUUGGGGGUGGGGUGGCGGUGUUGAUGGGGAUGGAAGGAGUUUAUCCGCGUACUGACAAGAUAAAGAUGAAUCUUGAGUCACUUCACAAAAAUUCAACGCGUUAUGAAAAUAGCAAACACUGUCUGAAUUUGUCGAUUGACUUGAAUACCGAAAGACGUCCUAUGUAUGUAUGUGUGUUGGUUGGUUCAAGCUUCUAGUAACAUUUUGAUUUUGUGCGUAAAUGUCCUAUAUUUGAUUUGGCAUGGCAUACCAAGGGAAAAAGGCUACGGUCUUUCAAAGAAAGAAGAUUACCGAUCUUAAUUAAUUAGUCAGGACGGCCAUUUUGGAGGGCUGCGUACAUGAGAACAGAUACAGUUGCAGUAUCCAUGUCGAUGCAGUGGUAUCACGGGGUCGAAUUGUUCAAAUUAAUAAAAAAUAGAGAGAUAAUAUCAAACAUAUGACGUGAUAUCAACAUGUAGUGGUGCAACUCACAAGUUGUGUGCCUGUACCUAAGAAUUUGACAUGACCAUGAUUUGGUGCCUGCCUAUGAUUUCCCCACAUCGCACGUUGUUUAUAGCAUCUUGUGGUGUAAUUUGUUGGAUAUUCUUGGCAGGCAGGGACAACUUGGAUGCCCUUUGGGUGGAUUGUGUCCGCCUAUAUCACCAGACGAAAUUUUUUCAAGCUCAAAAAAGAGAACAGAACAGACCAGAAGAAAUAUGGUUUCAACAAAAAAAAAAAAGGAAGCAAGAGAAAACGCAAAGAGAAAGAAGAGACUCUGAGUGCAAGGUAAAGUAAUGUCGCAAUUAGAAGAGCCAAAGCGAAAGAUGAAAGCAUGAUUUAAGGAAACCAAGUCUUCUUAUGAAUCCCGCGGAAUAUCAGGAACAAGUCUUCUUGCAUAAUUGUAAAUUGUUAAAUUGAGACUUGUUAUGUGACGCACUAAUUCUGCCUUUAGGGACAAUUGCAUGAUUAGCAGAAGGGAUUGCGAGACAACUUCUUGAUUAAUGACGUAACCACCUUCCGACUUUAAAUAAACAAAUUUGAGUAAUGACACGAUGCAUAGAUAUAAAACACCAAAAAUGUAUGAUUAUAAGCGGGAGUAGGGGUUGGUCUGCUUCUGCUUAAGAUUCGGGGACGCUUUGAUCACGAAGAUUUAGACAUGUCGGACGAUCUUAUGGUUUGUGUACUUGGUGCUGUCUAGCCCUCUUGCGACACCGCACUAGUGCCCACAAAACUCCAGAUUUCAGUCAAGACCCAAGCAAAUAUGCUGUUAAUUGCCUUAACAUGAGAUUGUCUGCUUGCUGCCCGUGAAUUUUGAUAGGCGGAUGAAUGAAUAAUUUAUUUGAUGAGAGCAUUUUGAGAUGCUGCUAUUUCAUUUCUUUAGUGCAUGUAUACGGUUGGUUGGGGAUUGUCAGCCCUUCUAGCUAGACUUAAGACUUGGUACUUUUCAGUUUUAAAUUUUGCUUGGGAAAGGCUUUUGUUGAAAUAUCUCGACUCUCUCGAGUUAGAUAUAAGCUUAUUUAUAUAUAUGUAUAAAAAUUUUGUGAAGCAGCAUAGGAUCCUCUCGUGCUCUGCGGGUUGCUCUGUGAGUCCUCUUAGAUUACUCGUUUCGGGUCGAAUUUUCCGUUAACUCUCGUGCGUGCUUGUUCUAAUUGUGUGCGUGAGUUUCUUACUAUUUCGGUUAAAAAAAAAAAGCAUAGGAGUCAGCAUAGUUGUGGGCUGUAUAUAAUAAUAUCCCAACUCACCUGGACCACCCACAUAGAAUUUGACCACAAAUUCUGCAGUUCUUCAUUUCUAUUUUCUGGACAAUUCACCAAAUUUCGCUUUUAUGCUUUUCUGUUUUCCCCUUUUGUUUUGUGCACUGAAAUAUGUGGCCCGCAUUCAUGCCAGCCGACCUUUUCCGGCACAGCAAGGCAUCGUUCCCGUUAUCCAGUGUAGAACCCAAUUCCGGUGUCUUUAUCACUUGUCAGGAUUCAAAGGAUAGCUCUGUUUUUUUUUUUUUUAAAUAAUAAUAAUUAUUUUGGGCUCCUUUAUAAGUAGUGUUCCCUAAACGAGUUUGGACAGAGUCUAUGUCGUUUCUCUUUUAUGCUUCAUAAUGUGACCGCCAACAUGAGCAAGGUUGGGGAGAGGAGGGACAUCGUACCGAAGGCAUACAAUUUAAAAGAUUCAACAAUCAUUAAAAUUGUCCCCAGGAAAGAAGUUAUUAAUUCUGGACAUUGACAUUCUAUUGCCAUAGUCAUAAUUUUUUAUUUUCAUCACAAUUUCAAAUUAGAAUAGCUAAAAUAUCCUUCAUCAGGCACAAACAAGCGGUGAGUGCUAAUGAGAAAUUUUGCCGUAUUAUGGGAAUGAUAUCUUCUUGUUAUUAGCCCCGAUGAACAUUGAUGAUUGAGGCAAACAACAAUAAAGGAUUUGAUCACCCGUGCCACCAGGUAAACCACCUCGUACGCCUCAUUCCACACCUUGGUUCUAUGAUCUAACGAGUCACUAUACCAGAAUUUAUUCCAAAGACAAACUUGCAGCGCUAUAAAUACUAGCUAAUUCCGAAGAUCAUCGAAACUGCAGUGCCCAUACCGUACUAUGCUUUACAAUCAGAUUGGGAGCUGGAAUGGAGUGGAUUAUUACCAGCGCAUGCCAGGCAGGCCUUAUCCUAACGUCUACCUAAAAUUCUGGCUCCCAAUUUACGGUAGCGUAGUAGUGUGUCAUGUUGUGUGGUUGGCCAGUUAGUGCGUGACUGUGUGUGUUUCGAACUUUAUUUAGGGGCGCGUCCUAAUCUCAUAAAUAAAUACGAUACGCAAUGGAUAUAUACACACACAGAGAACAGAGAAGGGGAGGUGCAAAAUAAGUAUAGUGGUUUUAUUAUAGGCAGGGGCGGAUUUACAGUGGGGGCACUGGGGGUACGGGCCCCCACUGCCCUCCUUAAAUUCCUAUAAUACUCCUAUAAUUUUGAUACAAUUUUACUGGUGCCCCCAGAAUUUUUUUAAAAAAAUAUGAAAGAAUGGGUCACAAAAUUUAUAUCAUUCACUUUCCUCCUCUAAGGACCAAAUAUCAAUUAUAUCAGUCAUUACUUUUGGUCCCCACUCUCCAAGUUCCCUUUACUCGUGUGGUCCCCCAUUUUACUUCACAACCCACGAACUCCUCUUCUUCCACACCCAACUAACUACUCUUUUUUUUUAUUACUUCAUCCAAUCAUCAUUAAUCAUUUACUUCCUUUGUCCCCAUUUCCCAAUUUUCUUUUCCUCUUUUGCCUCUUGGUUGUCCCCACUGAAAAUGGUCUCUGGUGUUGUUGACUACUUCAAACAGUGUUCCAUUAAAGGAGUAGGCUUUUUGAAAACCAAGACCUGCUUUCUUCAGUUCAACCGCAAGAAACCAAUCCUUGAAGCUGACUUCUUUCCAAUUAAAUAACGUGAUACGGGGCACAAAGGAAGUAAAUGGACCUAAGUCUGCCACAGUGCCACUGAUUUGCAACUCUUUUCACCAAUUUUGGGAAACCAUUGAAAUCAGGUUUUAAACAAUUACUUCUUAUUAUUAUUAUUUUAAAUUUGUUUGCAAAUAUAUUUCUAGAGCAUGGGAUUAUUACUGUUUUAGAGAAAUUUGAAAAUUGAUUAGUUAAUGUAAUAACUAAUAAAUGGGUUAUUUGAUAUUUGAUAAAUAUUUUAACUUUUGUGAAAAUUCUGUGAUGUGAUCUUAUAGAUUUAUAAUUUAUUUUUUAUUUUCCAUGAUUAGUUUCUUAUUUGGAGUUAAUGUAAUGAUGAAUAGAGGGCCAUUUGACAUAUAUUUUAAACUUUUAAAUUAUUCUUAUAUGGAUCCUGUUGUCUACUUAACUUGAUUAGGUUCAUAUAUUCUGAUUAAUGAUUUGAUAUAGUAAUGAAUGAAUAAGUUGUGAUUUGAUAUAGUAAUGAUAUGUUGUGAUUAAUGAUUUAAUAAAUAACUUUAACUUGUAAAAUAGUUCUUGGAUAGAUUAUUAGAUUUUAUUGUACAUUUAAUAUUUUAAUUGAUUAGUAUCUUAUACAUUGAUUUUAAUUUCUUUAGCUAUGGAGAGAUAUUUCAAGAGGAAAUCAAUGGAAAAAGAGCUAUCUAAUAAAGAAGAAGCCAAGGAUAAUGAAGGUGCAAAAAAUGACAAUAAAAGAAGUUUUUAAAUAAAAUUAUUAUUACAUUAAUAAUUUUGAGUUUGUCUUUUUAUGUUUUUUCAUGGAAUAUACGUAUCAAUUGUACUUGUUAGUGAAUUUAUUUUUUUUGUGCUCAAAAAAUUAAAAAAAAGAGUAGAUAAAAAAUUUUAGUAUUAUUUGUGCCCCACUAAGAUUUUUUUCUGGCUCCGCCCCUGAUUAUAGGGCCAUGAAAUUUCACUUGUCUGCGUGUGUGUUGAAAAGUUUGAUACUACUACUAUCUAUCUAUAAUUGUAGAAAGAAAUAGUUACAGAUUAUUGUGGCGGCUGGGUAUGCACGUCUCGUCUCGUUUCUGGUGGUUCAAUUGCAGCACCGGCAUAUGUGCGCAAACGCAAAGCACGACAUCCAUAAUCCAUUUGGCAUCUCCCCUCCGCAGCCUCUCGUUUCUCUUUUGCGGAGACGUGAACCUACCAUUUUGCGCCACGUAAACCCGUUGUGGGUUCCGUUCGCCCCCCCUUAGUUCCCAAACCCAACCCCAACGAAACCUCAACAGAUCGCUGUCUGCCCUUUCCCAUGUCAUGUGGUGGAUUCGUACUUUUGGUGUUGGGGUCGCAUUCGGAUAUCCAUACAAACAGUAGCGACUGCGUACUACUACUUCCCAUGAUCCGCUGCGGCUGAGCUGCUGCCUAAACUACCCAAACCACCCCCCCGCCUAUUAUUGGUAUUACUUACUAACCUCUAAUGUACUAAAAGUAAGGUGGCCGUACCUAGAGCUGCAAACGAGCCGAGUCGAGUUGAAUUUUGGACUAAUCGAGUCGAGUCUCGACUAAAUUUUACAAAACUCGAACUCGAUCUCGAGCACGAUAAGCCGGCAAUUUAAAACUCGAGCUCGAAAAAAAAUAAAAAUAUUUAUUUAUUUUUUAAAAAAUAAAUAAAAUAAUAUUUUUUUCUUAAUAAAUAAUAAAUUAUUAAGGAUAUAUAUGUAAUUUUACUAUUAAAAUAAGAAAAUAAAAAAUAUAUAUAUACUUAAAAUAAAAAAUUUAAAAAAUAUUAUAUAUAUAUAUAUAUACUCUAGCUCGCAAGUUGGGUUUAAUAUUUUGAAUUCGAGUUCGAGAUCGAUUUCGACUCGAGCUUGACUCGAGUCACUUGCGAGCCGCUCGAUUCGUUUGCAGCCCUACCCAUACCGGACCUUUCAUACGCUUUUGGCUUUUUUUAAAAAAAAAAAAAAAAAAAAAAGGAAGAAGAAGCCAUAAGUAGUUUCUAACUCAACAAUGCAGGAAAAAUGUUUUAAGUUUCGGCUGCAAAAUUCAUUCAUUCACACUUGAGAUAACAAUCCUUCAAUUCUACUUUUUGAGCAGCACACACGCCAAUUGCAUGUUUCCGUCGUGUAGAAUUUAUAUCGAUCGACUUACAAAAAAAAAAAAAAAAAAAGUAGAGUUUACGUUGAAAGUAAAUCAAAGGUUAAUUAAAGUCAAGAACAAGCGAAAAUACUACCACCACAAAACUUGAGGAAGAAUUAAGGAUUAGUAUGCGGGCGAAGAAUAUUCUUGGGCACCUAAUAACGGAGCAUGAUCAAUCGUUGAAGCUGGAUGCGUGGGAUUAGAACUUUACAAUUAGUAGAAUAUUGACACCUAAGAUAUCCAUAAAUUUCUGGAGUCCAGGUCAUCCAUAAAGAAGGUUGCAGUAACCUACCAGCCGCUGCAACCGAUACAGUUAUCGCCUGCCUUUUUGUUUUAGAAAGACCACACCAAACAUAUGUUUAUUUUUUUUAAAAAAAUAUAUAUAUAUACAGAAAGUAGCAGUAAUAGUACCAAACUAAACCGAACGCAACUCCCAAAGGACAAAGACAAUAUGCCAAAUCCUGCAAUCAAACCACGUUUCCUAGACUGACUGGUUUCCCUUCCCUUCCCCUCCCCCACACAAAAACCAAUUACGACUACAUAAAUCAUCAAAUCCUCUACAAUAACAGCAGCAUCGGAUAAGGAUAAAACCCAGUAUCAUAAACUCUCUUUCGCGUCAAUUACCUCGUGUCUCCCUCUAGAAGUAGAACCCCGUUAAUUCUUUACAUACGCUAAUCCCCAAUUCGGACAGUAUAUAUACCCCCUUUCAACUCGGGCCCCCUUCUUCUUCAAGAAACACAAGUGCUCUUUCCUUCUUCCCCCGAGAGAAAAAACAAAACCACAACAAGUACAGUUCACCUUCCUUCCUUCCUUCCUUCCUUCCGUCCGUCCCUGCUCACAUGGAUAAAGUCAAAGUUCCAAACAGCUGGAUGAGAACCGCCGUCAUCGGCAGAGGCUCCUUCGGGACUGUCAGUCUUGCUGUCAACAAGUCCAACGGUGCCCUUUUUGCUGUCAAGUCCGUUGAUACCAACUCUGCCUUGCCUUCCCAAAUUGAGGCGUUGGAGAAUGAAAUUGGAAUCCUCCGCUCGCUCUCUUCGCCUUACGUGGUGGAGUGCCUGGGUGAUGACGUGACGGUGGAGGCGCCCAGUAUGACGCCGCUUAGGAACCUGCACAUGGAGUACUUGCCAGGUGGCACCGUAGCUGAUGUGGCAAGAUCAUAUACUCCCCGUGGCGGCGGGGCCGAUGAAUGGAUUGUAAAGAAUUACACCUUCUGCAUCGUCUCCGGGUUGAAGUAUCUUCACUCCCAAGGCAUUGUGCAUUGCGACGUGAAAGGUGACAAUGUCUUGGUAGGUCCUGCUCCAGGCACCGCCAAGCUGGCCGACUUUGGAUCGGCGAUGGAAAUCCGCCCCUGUAGGAAGGCGAGCAUCACGCCGCGUGGGACUCCCCUGUGGAUGGCGCCGGAGGCGGUUAGAGGGGAGUAUCAGGGGCCGGAAUCCGACGUCUGGUCCUUGGGCUGUACGGUCAUCGAGAUGGUGACCGGAAAACCCGCGUGGGAAGAUAAAGGAGCGGCGGACACGCUCUGUAGAAUCGGUUACUCGCGACGAGUUGCCUCGGUUACCGACUCAGUUGUCGGAAUUGUGUCGCGACUUUGUGGAAAAAUGCUUGCGAAGAGACGUUAGUGAAAGAUGGAGCUGCGAUCAGCUGUUACAGCAUCCGUUUCUAUCAAUGUGCUCACCGUCCUCCGAUUUACCCACUUAUUAUUGGUCGCCGCGUUGCGUGCUGGAUUGGUUCAAGUCAGAUUCCGAUGAAGAAGAUGAGGAAGAAACACCGAGCAGCGGGAGUAGGAUCAGUGACUCCGACGUGAGGGGUAGGCUUGGGAGAUUGGCUGAAGGGAGAGGGCAAUUUGGGAAUCGGAUGGUUGGGUGGAGGUAAGGGGUUUAGCUAGCAGCAGUAGUACAGAAAGAGGAGAGGAGGUUUCGCUUCCGGUUUCGGAGGCGGGGCGUUGUGGCAGAGGGGGAGAAGGGACGAGUUCGGAAUAUGGGGAAUUGAUGCGGAUGGAAAUUUCGGGGGCAGAGGUGGGAUAUGGGGAUUCCCUUGGGAUUGGGGAAUUCAGUAGAAGGACGAGCGGGGAAUGUUUGGCAGAUUCUGAUUGCAGUGCCGUAGCAGAAGCACGAAUUGAUAGCCACCACGACGGCGUCGUUACGGACUCCGGACGGGUUGAGCGGCCUCAAGCUGGAGAUUCAGAUGGGGGAUGCACAUGUCCAUUUUCAGCUUUACUUUGUUUAUUUUUUUAUUUUCAACCGACUCGACGACAGAAUUUGUAUCCAAUUCCUUCAUUCCGUGGCAUAUACGAGAAAGUUUUGCUACAUUUGCUUUUGUGCAAGACAACAGCAGUGUAUCAUUUGAAUUUUGUUAAUUUUUACGAGUCACUCAAACUUCCCCGCCUCCCCAAAAUUUAUGAAUACCCCGACUUACAACAUGAAAGUAAUAGCACCAACAAAUCCGAUUUGGUCCAGGCCGGUGGGUUUUUUGUUACACGUUCUCAUGCAUUUGCGUGCAUCCUUCUUAAGAGUUCUCUUAAUUAGUAGGGUAUAUACGUGUCAAUAUAAUAUAUUAAAGUAUGUGACAUGAAUUUUACACUUCAUUUAUGUGUGUGCUUCUUAAGAGCUCAACUUAAUCAGGAUAUAAAGAAAACGGAUGUCAACAUAUUAUUAAUGUAUGUAACAUGAAUUUUACACCUGAUCCAAUGUGUAACAGAAGGCAAGUUGUUGUUGGGCUGACCAACUUUCUAACAAGGCAGGUAUCAAGAUUUCCUUUUCAUCUUUUGGCCCUAAUUCUCGUCCUAGUUUCUUGCAUGUUAUGGCAGCUGAAUUUGCGAGUGAGACUCGUAAUAGAAUUAAGGCAUGCUCUGCCAUCAGCCUACCUCUUAUUUGUUCGAUUUCGUAUCGUGUUUUUUUCGGCCCCGCUCCUUACUCCUUGGCCAUAAAAUAAAAUUCACAAUAAUAUUACAUAGUUGACUUUCUUCUUAUUUUACUUUUUUGGGUUGAUCAAAAUAUUAUAAUGCCCCGUUUGGAUUGGGAUUUUCCUCAAAAAAAACUAUUUCGUUUUCCGUGAACGCAUUUCCCUAUCACUUUUUUACCUCACAUAUAUCAAAUCGCUACAGUACAGAAAAUUCAGAAAAAAAAUUGCUGUUUGUUUUUGCUCGUUGCAUCGCCAAGAUAGAGGCAAUGAAGUAUGUUUUUUUACCAAUAACGAUACAUUGUACUCUAUCCUAAUUUAGGGGGAGAGGGAGCCUAAGGAGGCUUGUGUUAAGGGCUAGUGGGUAUAUAGAGUCAACUAGAUCAAGCGAGUACUAUGGCACUACUCUUAAAUUUUUUUUCUGCAGGUGAGGUUUGAACCCUCACCGACAGUCGAAGGAGUGGCCACUGAGCUGCUGAGGCAACGGAGUAUGUGAGUUAGAAGUUUCCAAUUAAGAUAGCUGCGAAACUCUGAUAGAGUACAACUUUUUGGGUGCAAUAUGAUUUGUCACGCUGAUUGGAUUAUCAAUUUGGAAAGAGGAGGACCCUGCAAACUUUUUUGCUUUAGCUUUUUUUGAGGGAGCGGUAUCCAGACCUGACAAGGUCCGGCCGAGACUUAUCUUGAGUAAUUCUUAACGAACAAGAAAGAAGUUUCCCGCACGUAAAAUUCUUGUCCAGCCCGCCGGUUAAAUAAGCAAAGCAAAGCAACUUCCUCGAGGUAAAAGCAAACUUCACAAGCUCCAAUUAGGUUGUAGCAUGAUCAAUUUUAUUAGCCCACAGAUUGGAUAAUACCUCUAGAUGGUUGUUUUAUCUAUUCUGUUUUAUCCUCCUUUUCUGUGAUUCAACUUACUCUGCAUCUACAUAUUUUCUAUUUUCGAUAAAAUGAAAACCAGAUAUUCACCCAGCAAAUAACAGUAGUGUUGAAGACUUGAACUAAAGCAUUUGAUGUUUAUCUCCUUACCUCGAAAUCCCAGCUAAUACCCUAAAACAACCAAAUGGGAUUUUACCUUCGUCGAGAACCUCAUACCAAAUUAUGUCUUGGCAUAAUUAACAUCUUACUUCUUGUGAAGUUGUGAUUUGUCAGUUUUUUCUUGACUUAAUUUUGCUUGUUAGCUUCUUUUGAGUGCGUAGUAAGAUCUUCCCGUCUGUCCCCAUUAGUCGAGUCCCCCCAAAUCAAAAUCUAAACGGAUAUGUUAAGCCACACCAUGACAACGGAGUCCCUAAUCGCUUGCCAACGUACCGCUGCAUGAUUGGUUGAACUUCUACUGUGUUUGGUUUGGAUUAGUGCUUUAUUCUUUAUUAAUGAAGAGAUUGCUGAUGGAUUUUGGGAAGCAAAAAGAAUCGUCUUCCCAUUUGUUAUUUUGUUUUCAUUCGGAUGACCUAAAAGUCCGGCUAAUCCAAGGAUUCUCAUUCAUUCCCUUCCUCUGUUCAUCGAGUAUAAUAAACUAAGCUAAUAUAUAAAAGGGAUAAUUUCAUAAAUCUCCCUUCAAUUUUAUGACAAUUGUUGGAAGUACCCUCAAGAUUUUAAAAUUACAUAGACCUCCCUUAGAAAAUAGUUUGGGGCUCACUUUGCUGAUGUGAGCAAAAUGUCCCCAUUGAUAAUCCUAUUCUGCUCUUAGGUGAUUUUUUUUCAAUAGAAAUAAAAUUCCUCUGUAAUUUUAAACUUAAUACAUUGACACGUACUGUAACAAAGCUAUCCAUCAAUUUCAUUUCUCUUCCCUCGGAUUUUUAAAAAAAAUUUCACAUGGACAAAAGGAAAAAAAAAACCUUUGAUACCAGUUGAGUAAGUAAUAGAUUUUUGUAAGAAUAUAGAAAAUUUCUUCCAAAUUACUACAAUAUCGAGUAAGACUAGAUUGAAGUGAUUUGAGUGGUUAGGACAACAAAUAAUCUAUUGCUCUUGCUCUUCUUUUUUUUUUUUUUAGCCGCCUGUCAACUUUGAUUUCAAAUAUGCAUUACUUUACUUCAUGGAGAUGUUAAAUUAAUUAAUUUAUGAAGGCCAUUUUUGUCAUUUUACAUGAUUAGAGGAGGUAGGUAUAAUUUUUUAAACACAGCAGGUAUCAUUUGUAAUUAUUAUAAGUUUUAGGGGAGGUUUGUGCAAUUAUCUCAAUAUAAAAAUCCAAACUGAGUUGUCUGAAGUUAGUACUGCAGAUCUACCAUAUUACUGGUUCUACUACGCAGUCACCACCAAUUCAUUUAGAUCGUAAUUAUGUAAAAUAAUAAAAUGUCCUAAAUCCCUUCCCGUCUGUUUUCUUUUCUUUUCUUUUUUUUUCUCUCUAUCUUUAUCAUAAACUCGAUGAGUCGAUGCUUGUCCCCAAUUGGCGUCUAAAAUGCAAGCUUUAUAUAUGUCGAAGUUAAAGUGCCUGGUCAUGUUAUUAGACUCCUUUGUAUAUAUAAUUUUGUGAAAUCCACUUGUUUGCAUUCAAAGUUUCAAACCAGCAUCAACAGCCACGAUAAAAAAUAAAAGGGAAUUUACCUUGUCAAAUUAAACUUUCUAAGUAUCCAUAAGAUGCCAACUCCUACUAUAUCUUUUUCAAAAUAAUUAUGGGACGGAAAAUUUUGGAAAAUGACUUAUUACAUCCCUUACUUUUCACAAAAAUAUUAUUUUCAUUCUUUACUUUUUAAAUGAAAUAAAUACGUCUCUGAUAUUUAAAAAUUGAAACUAUUACAUCCAUGAACCCAACUUUCAAUAUGAAUUAAACCAUCCAAUAAUUCAGUAAUAAAUUUUAGAGAUAGAAUUAAUGGAUCACUAAGAUAAUUCUAUCACGUUUACAUGACAUUCAUUGAACCAAAAAUGAAAAAAAAAAUAAAACAUUAAAAAAGACAUUCCUAUGUCUUGGAACAGUAGGGUUUCUUUUUUAGAUAAAUCUUUUCAUGCACCAUUAAUGUAUGCACUUGUGAAUCUAUAUAUAUAUAUAUAUAUAUAUAUAUAUAUAUAUAUAUAUACCAUACAUACAAGUUUGGUAUUUAAAUUUAGAUUGAAAUGACGUGGUGGGUAUUUAGACUCGUUAGUAUAUACAAUGAAAGUAUUGGAAAGAUUAAUUCUUCCUUUUUAUGUUAUAAUUUUUUUUUUGGAUUCAUUAAUUUUCCGGUGAAUAUUAAUUUAAGUUAAACGAGUGAUCUGUCAAUUAUACCCCAAAAUAUGUAAUCACUUCAGUUGAGUUUAGGGAUGUAAUAUGUUUAGUUUUUAAAUGUCAAGAACGAAUUCGUUUCUGUUUUAAAGUGAGAAAAGAAAAUAAUAUUUUUGUUAAAUACGAGGGAUGAAAUCGGUCAUUUUUCCAAGAAAUUGUUAUCAGAUUGGCUAGAGUUGUUAUCUUUUAGCUGACUGCUUUUUGCAAAUCAAAUCAAUUUAUAAAAAUGCCAAGUUAAAGGCCUACUCCAGCUUGAGAAAUGCUCUCUCCUGAACUACUCCAUCCAUGAAUUAGAACAUUUAGCUCGUUAUUGUUCAAAAUCCACGGUUUAAGCCCGGAGCCCAAUAUCCAUUAGGACCAGCGGCAAAGAGGGAAAUUUCCGCUUUGGGCUCGUAUGGUUCUGUUAGCGUCGGACGAUGUGGGAAUCGAUUCCAAAAGAGAUCGCCUUCGUAGAUUGAACCAAAAAGAGAACGAUAUGUAAUUCAUGCAAAGGUGAAUCGUUUAUUUUAUGUACACUUUCAAAAUAGCAAGUUAUGAUGCAUGUGUAGACGUAAAAUGUCUAUGCGGCGCAAUCCAAGAAUUCAAGGAGAAAUGGGCAUUACAGUGCAGAAAUUUUGAAAGAUGCGAAUUUAAUUUUCUUUUAAGAAAUAAUAUAUGCUAAUUAACCCAUGAUAUAAAGCGAGAGUUGAAAACCAAAAGCCGCAGGGAUAACAAUAUGAUUUUCUUCUAUUUCCAUCAACAACGUUGUUAAACUAAAAUGUUUGGAAAGCCAUUUUCCUUUAAUUUUUUUUAAAAUUUUCAUGAAUAGAUGUUUCAAUUACCUUUUUAUCUUGCAUAUAUAAAAUAAUUACAGUUUAUUUUUAAAAAAACUUCAAAAAAUACAGUUGAAAUAUGUGGUUAUGCAAUGACCCCAUUCAAACUUUUUUCUGUUUCAAGUAAACUUUAGGAUGGCUUCCUUUCAUCUUCAUCUAUUUAAUUUAAAAUACUAUACCAAAGCUUCAAGUUUUAUUUCUCCAUUUUAUUCCUCAAAUUAAAGUUGUUUACUUUCCUUUCAUCGUUUUAUCCUAAAAUAAAUAAUACAUUUUCCCCCUUUUGCUUUGUCUAUUUUGAACGGAAUAAGUUUCGUGACUCGCUCUUAAACAUUUUCAUAUAUACUCUGCUUUGCCUUAAAAAAAAUCAUUUCAUAGUUCUCUAAAAAAAUUGUGCAUUUUUUCAAACAUAGUUUUCAAUCAUCUUUUUAUUUCACAUAUAUUAAAUUAUUAUAAUAUAUUUCUUUUACAAAAUGUCAAAAAUAGCAGUACAAACAUCUAUUUCCUAUUUUAUCCAAUUCUUUUAUAUUUCCAUUACAAUCAGUACAUAGGCAUGGUGAUUCAUGAAUUCUGAACGCUGUGGAUUAGGAAUGCAAACAAAUCGAGCCACUCGCGAGAGGCUCGAGUCACUCGAGCCUUGAUCAAACUCGAGGUCAAAAUAUUAAGUUCGUUAGCUCGCGAGCUCGAGUAUAUAUAUAUAUAUAUAUAUAUAUAUAUAUAUAUAUUUUUAUUUUAAGUAUAUAUAUGUUUUUUUUAUUUUUUAUUUUAAUAGUAAAAUUAUAUAUAUAUCCUUAAUAUUUUAUUAUUUAUUAAAAAAUAUUAUUUUAUUUAUUUUUUAAAAAAUAAAAUAAUUAUAUUUUAUUUUUUUCGAUUUCGAGAUCGACUCGAAUUGGGCAAGGCCCAACAUUUCUUGAUCAGAUGGGUCGUUUAAAAUAUCAUUGGCCCUAGUGCUUGGUAAAAUUUUGUCAAGAUUCGAUUUGAUUAGUUCAAAACUCGAUUCGACUUGGUCCGUUUGCAGCCGUAUUGUGAAUACGUGAGAUACGGGGAAUAUAAUUGUUUAUUUCGCAUCCCACCGGCAGAAAGAAAAAAAAAAAGAAGAAGGGGUAAUCCCCAUUUUUUCAAGAAUGACACCAGUUCAAGUAUAUACCACUGCUUCCGUUUCCAGUGCACCUCACUGACACGUAGAUGCCGCUAAGGGGAAAAAAAAAAGAGAAAUUGCUCUGUAUUUUACUAACGUCUAAUUUAAAAUAAAAAGAAAAGGUUCCAUCGCCUGCGGCUCUCACUCUAUCACUUCGCUGUUCCUCAAAGAAACCCUAAACCUCAACUCUAACCUCCACACUUCUCCACUUUCACUUCCUUACCGCCCACAAGCUUCAUUUCAGGUAACAUUUUCAUCUGAAAUGCUGGAAAUUUGUUUUAGUUUUGGCGUAUAUGUAUCAUCAAUUCAUGCCUGAUAUUCCCUAGUUUUCUUCCCCAUUUUAUUUCUGUUGCAGAGCUUUUCGAUUAACUAUGUCGGACGACGAAAGGGAGGAGCGAGAGCUGGAUCUCACCAGUCCUGAGGUCGUCACAAAAUACAAAAGCGCCGCCGAAAUUGUUAACAGUUAGUCCCCUACUAUCUCUUCACUUAUAUGUGUACGGAUAUGCUUGAAUUUGUUUUUCCGUGUGGAUAGAAACUGUUGAUGUUUAAAUGGGUUAAAUUCAUUCUGAAUUUUUCUCUUAUUAUUAUCUUAGGUUAAUAAUUGAUUGUGCGCUUAAAAUAUUUUACUUGUUAAUGAAUUUGAAUUAAUGCAGAGGCAUUGCAGUUGGUAUUGUCUGAGUGCAAGCCAGCAACAAAGAUUGUUGAUUUAUGUGAAAAAGGGGAUGCAUUCAUCAAAGAGUAGGGGAUUUUUGUAUAUGCUUAGAUAUUCUUUGCUCUGUUUUAGUUAGCGUUUUAUAAAAAUGUUUGGCUGAUGAUUGACUAUAUGGGCUGUAGACAAACUGGGAAUAUGUAUAAGAAUGUAAAGAAGAAGAUUGAACGAGGUGUUGCCUUUCCAACUUGCAUUUCAGUGAACAAUACUGUCUGUCAUGUUUCCCCCCUGGCUAGCGAUGAGGCCGUUUUGCAACAAGGUGACAUAGUUAAGAUGUAAGUGACGGUUUAAACCUAAUUUCAUUCUCUUGCUUUGUAGGGGAGUGGUUUCAGCUGGUAUUACAAACAUUUUUGUUCUUCGGUUUUAUGUGACACUUGUAAUUUGGCAAGAGAAUGUGCAUGGUGAUUCAUCUUUCCCUUUGAUGGUUGCAGUGAUAUGGGGUGUCACAUUGAUGGGUUUAUUGCUGUAGUGGCCCAUACUCAUGUACUCCAGGAUGGGCCUGUUACUGGUAGAGCAGCUGAUGUUAUUGCAGCAGCAAAUACAGCUGCUGAAGUGGCAUUAAGGCUUGUUCGGCCAGGGAAGAAGGUAAUAAGAUGAUUUACAUUAUUUUGUCUAUUUGCCUUUGAGAUGAACAAAUGUGUUGUAAUUUGACUUCCUGUGACUCCUAUUUUAGUUAGAUCUUCAAUGCACUUGAUAAAUGUUUUCUUUUCAUCCGCUCUUAUCUGUGAAAGUUGAUCUAUAGUUCAAGUAUAUCUAUAGUUCAAGUAUACCACCAUCUAUAUAUUGAUCAAAUGUUUAUGGCAUGGUGUCAUAAAGCAUAAGUUGUUCAGUCAUGGAAACACUAAUUUGUCUACUUCUGCAUUCAUCUGCUGUGUCAAUCACUUGGACAUGAUAAGUUGCUGCUUUUUUUUUUCCCUUUACUUUCCACUUCAAGUUGAGAAAUGGAAGUUCGACAUGUCUAUUUUAGAUGGGCAUUGUGACAAUUGGCAGUACCAUGUGAGAUUGUUGUAGUACUGUAUACUUGCCAGAUAAUUGGCGACAUGACCAAUUGUAAAUUUCCCUGCAAGUAUUUUUUUUGGUUGCAUUUAGAUGAAAGAGGUGGGAGUUGGGUGUGGGGUGAAAUUGCUAGUUGGCAUGUUCAUGUUCAUGAUAUAUGGCGAACAGACAAAAUUUUGUAACUGGAGAAUAGAAUUGUAACAGGGUUUUUGCUUUUAGAACAUGUUAGGCAACAUUGUUCACUGGUGAUUUGAGUCCUUAAAAUUUGAGAAGUUGGUUCUAUCUUUUAACCUGUUCAUAGUUUCCAUGAGGAAGCAUCUGUUACUUGCUGGCCCCAUACAUGGGUCACUUUGCAUUCAUUCAUGCAGGAAUGAUGAAGUCUUUGAGUCACCUAUGAUUUUUUUUGGACCACCUAUUGAUUAAUUCAUACUGUCCUCCAGUAUAGGCUGAAGUACAUUUUCCGAACUUCCCAUAAGUGCAACCAAAUAUUGCGGAAUAUCUGCCUAAUUUGUGAUGGGGCAAUCUAUUUUGGUGUAUUCAUGUCUAUCAGCCAUUUCUAGUGUUGUAUGGCAGACAAGGGUUGGGAUAGUUUACGGUUCAUUAUUUGUCGUGUAUGAGGUUUCCUUUGACAUAUUUACCUUUUUUUUUUGUGGAAAAUACAGAAUCAAGAAGUAGCAGAAGCAAUUCAAAAGGUUGCUGCAGCUUACGACUGCAGGAUUGUUGAGGGUGUACUGAGUCACCAAAUGAAGCAGUUUGUUAUUGAUGGUAAUAAAGUUGUGCUGAAUGUGUCCAGCCCUGAAAUGAGAGUAGAUGAUGCGGAGUUUGAGGAGAAUGAGGUUUAUGCAAUUGAUAUAGUUACUAGCACUGGUGAUGGCAAAGUAAGUCUUAUUUUGGAUUUCAUCCACAGAUUUCUUAGAUGAUUUAUCAUCUUGUAUUUACUUAUUUGAGGUGUGACUUUGCAGCCAAAGCUGUUGGAUGAGAAGCAAACAACUAUCUAUAAGAGAGCUGUGGACAAGAACUAUAAUUUGAAGAUGAAAGCAUCAAGAUUUAUUUUCAGUGAAAUAAGUCAGAAAUUCCCUAUCAUGCCAUUCACUGCAAGGUUUGCCACCUCUGUUGUCUUGCAAGAUUAGUUAUGUAGAAUAAUAACUGCCUUCAUUUUUUUUGUCAACUUUUUCUAUGGUUUGCUUCUUACCCUUUUUUCCUUGAAAAGAGACUUGGAAGAGAAGAGGGCUAGGUUAGGGCUGGUUGAAUGUGUCAACCAUGAUCUUCUGCAACCAUAUCCUGUUUUGCACGAGAAACCUGGUAAAUACUCAACUGGAAUCUACAUGCUUUGUCCUUCUUCUGUUCUCAAGUUUUUCAUUUGCUGAUUGCUAUGAAAAGGCAUGCUUGUUUUUACUUAUUGGGGUUGCCAUGCAGGUGACUUGGUUGCUCAUAUUAAGUUCACAGUUCUGCUCAUGCCAAAUGGAUCAGAUAGGAUCACAUCUCAUUCUCUACAGGAGCUGAAUCCCAAAAAGACAGUAGACAGUGAUCCUGAAAUUAAGGCCUGGUUAUCCCUUCCAAUUAAGACAAAGAAGAAAGGUGGUGGGAAGAAAAAGAAAGGUAAAUUGAAACAGAACUUGGUAGAAUUAUUAUAUUGAGUAAUUUAAUCAAGGUGCUCUCUUAUCCUAGAACAAGCACGGGCUUUUAAGAGUUUUAGCGAACUAGUAGUUCAAGAAUAUGAAAGAAAUUAUAUCGUUGUUAUGAUUCUACCUUCCAGAUUUCUUGGAGGGGUGGAAACCUUAAUCAAAGGGUUAUUGAUAGUCUAUGACAUCUACAACUGUUAUUUUAGGUAAGAAAGGAGACAAAGCAGAAGACUCAAUGCAGACUGAACCAGUUGAUGAAGCGGCAAAUGGCGCAUCUCAAUAAUGAGCUCCUGAGAGUGAGCUGCUGGUCUAUUAACCAACCACCUGUUUCAAGUUUGAAGUUAUUAAGCUGUUUCUGGGAUUGAGCAUAUCAGCUAGUCGUUUUUCCCCUUGACUUGGGUGAUGUAAUACAAAAUCAUAGAUAAAAGAUAUUUGUUAUCCUUUCAUUUUGACGCUUCACCAUGGUCUCUGGUUUAAAUUGAGCAGUUGGUUGUCGAGGAACGUAGCAGAGUUUUGCAUCAGUUCAAACAUAGGGCACUCUUUUAUAAUUUCCGUUGUUUUCUGCAUGACUAGAACUGAGCAAGUUAGGAUUGUAGUAGUUGACAGUUACCUUUGCCUCCUUGGAGAAGAUGAAGAAAUCCGUGAAAAAUGUUUGUCUUGACAUAUUAAUUGCUGAUGUAGACUUAGACGCAUCAGAUCCUCAGGAAGAUGAUAGUCAGCUCAAGAGCACAUUGCGUUUCUGGACAUUUGAGUUAGGCUUGAUUCUAUGGCACGUGUGUGGACAUGGAACUAAUAAGGAGGGAGAGGGGGGCAAAUGCUGUUAGUGCCAGAAAAACUUGAGUUGUUCGGCGGGGUGAUAAAAACAUUAAAGCUCAAUUUUGGAGUUAUGAACCUGUGACAAAAGAUAGAUCUGACAGAGUUAUAAAGCAUAUAGAGAAGAAAGUGAGAUUGGGUGACAGAGUUAUAAAGUAUAUGGAGAAGAAAGUGAGAUUGGGGAAGCAAGCAAAAAGGCGUUUUGCCGUUUGCUUAUGGUUGAAGUUGUUGCUGCAGACAUCUUUUGUUUGUGAACGGUUAAAAGAGAAGUGGGUGGUGCUGUCAAGUGCCAAGGAUCUGUAAGUGUCCGGCGAUGUGUUGCACGAUCAACAUGACAACGGGUCUGUUUGGUAAAGGGCCGUUGGAAAAAUGAUAAUAAUUUGGGCUUUAGUCUACGAUCCACGGGCUUUUAACUGCCUUCCACAACAGUUUCAAAUAUAGAGAGCUUCACGGCAUUCUUUUUUUUUUUUUUUUUUUAAUUAUUAAUUUUAUUUUUACGCUAUCACAAAUUAACUUAAGAUUGCAUGCGUGGCUUUGACGCAAUAAACAUUGCCACUUGCAACAUUUUAGUCCAUAUUUUUAUCUUGUACGACUGAAUUGAAUUUCUUGAACCUUUAAUUUGGCCUUCUUUGAAUUGUUAUGAAAAAUAUCAAAUUAUCUGAAGGCAAUGAGGCUUAAAUUGGCACACAAUGAUUUGGCAAGAAUUAAGCACGGUUUUUCUAUUUAUGCACUUGUAGAAAAUAAAAUGAGAAAAGAAAAACAUAAGUCUUCAACUUGUCCAGCACGUAAAGAAAGGAGAAGAAAAUUCUAGAAAAUUCCGUAGCUUUUUUCUUUUCCUUACCUAUUUAGUAGUCCACCUUUAAAAAAAAAAAACAGUUGAAAGCCACCACGACUUCGUAGUCCGUAUACCUGUAGUGCUGCGUAAAUCUCACGCCUUCUUCGCAGUUCCAAUUCCCCAAACCAAAACCCUCUCUUCCAGCAUUUCAAUCCUCCUAUCCCUCGGCUACUAUAUAAACCCUCAUACCUACUCCAUCGCACCCCUUACAAAUUUCCCAGUUCCCCACCCUCACCGCUCCAUUGUCUCUCUUUCACGCCCAACACAUACUUGCUUUCGAAGUUAAUCAGCAUUGGCAUAGAGCUCGAAUUUUCUCUCUCUCCAGAGCACUAUUAAAAUGGCGAGUAACGAGCCCGAGCACAGCAGAGAGGAGGAAGAGACCGCUGCCGCUGAGGACGAAGAUACCGGAGCUCAGGUUGCCCCUAUCGUCAAGCUUGAAGAGGUUUCCGUCACCACUGGCGAAGAAGAUGAGGACGCCAUCCUCGAUCUGUACUUUCCUUUCCUUUCCUUUCUUUUUUUUUUUUUUUUAAAUCUUUUGCCUCUCGAUCUGCUACAAUUAUGGGAUUUAUGUUAGAAAAUUAUAGGGUUUUUCAUUUUUUCUUCAAAUUGUUAAUUAGGAAAUCAAAGCUUUACCGAUUUGAUAAAGACGGAAAUCAAUGGAAGGAGAGAGGCGCUGGCUCUGUGAAGCUCUUGAAGCACAAAGAGACUGGAAAAGUUCGUCUCGUUAUGCGUCAAUCUAAGACUCUUAAGAUCUGCGCUAAUCAUCUAGGUCCGUUUCUAUUUCUUUUUUCUUUUUUUUUUUAUAAAAAUAUUUGCAGUAGUUUACCUGAUUAGUGUGUUAUUAAUUUUCUUUGGAAAAUUGUGAUCUGAAAAAUUUUGUAUUGAUCUGCAGUUGGGCCGACCAUGACAGUUCAGGAACAUAUUGGAAAUGAUAAGUCUUGUGUGUGGCAUGCUGCGGAUUUUGCAGAUGGUGAACUUAAGGAUGAGAUGUUCUGCAUUAGAUUUGCAUCUGUUGAGAGUAAGUAUAUGUCGCUGUUGAUCAAUGGAUUUUUUUUGGGGGGGGGGACGUAUCAAUUGCUUAACAUAGUUUGAUGGUGAUGUUAUCUGCUUCAUUUUCUACUUUUCUUUUUAGCAUGCUGCGUGUUUUUAUGUUGAGAUCCAUGCUUGUCCAUUCUUUGUAGAAUUAAUAAUAUUUUCAGACAUAUGUAGUUUUUCUAAUGUUUGAGAUCAUUUUAUGCUUAUUGCUGUGGCGAUUUGAUAGGUUCAAAUUCUUUGCAGCAUUUGGUUGUUUUUUGUUCCGAGCUGUUGGUUUUGUGUAUCAUUUGUAUGCUAUGUAUUAGUAAAGUUUAGAUAUGAUAGGCUUAUUGCCUAGCUUAACUGUUAAUGACAAGAAUUGAGAUAUCUUGCCACAUUUUGGUGGAGGGAUCUUAUGUCUUAGGAUGGUUCAGGUUGGCUUUCCCAUGAAUUGUCUUCUGUUGAGUGUUUCUCUCUGAUGUCAUUGCUGUCGGCAGAAACCUGAUAAAGGAGUCAUGUAACACUUUCCUACACUUGAAGGGCAAAUGUUUUGACUAAGGUUAUCAUUGAAGCAUGCUUUUCUUUUUUGCCUAUUAACAUUAAAUUUGCUACCAUUGAAAACUUUUUGGCUUUUUAGGAACUAGUUGCUCUGAAGGUUAAUGUCAUUUAAUGUGGCAGAAUCAUUGGGUUUUGAUCUCAUUAGAUGCUUACUUUGUUGUAACCAAUUUAUUCCAAGGACGUGGCAGAGUGAAGGAAAGCAUAACAACUGUAACUGACCCUUUUUCUGUUGCAUGACACUUGUUAAUUAGUUUUCUAUUUUCUAGGCAAUGACUCGAGAAGAGUCAAAGACGAGAGUUCUUUUUUUUUGGGGGGAGAUAUGAAGCUACAUUACUAGUCAUUGUGUUUUUGCAGAAUUUCAGCUUUCUCUGCGUUACCCUUCACCACGUAAUGCCCCACAAAAACAUUCACCUGUCAUUCUUUGUUUAAUAAUUUUCCCUUUUUGGUUGUUUUUAUCCUUUCACUGGUUUCACGAUUUGCAAUUAGUGCUGGAAAGGUAAUUUUGCCAACAUAUGGAUGACAUGGACUCUUGUUUAGUUUAUCUUCAUAAACAAGUGCAAAUGAAGAAGUGAUCUAUUUUUCUUUAUAACCUACUGUGAUAAUGAUUGGAAAAUGCUGGAAAGCUUCAGUGUAGUGAUCUGCUAGUUAAUUUAUAAUAAAAGACAAACUGAUGCUAAAUAGAAGAGGAGAUGCUUGUGUGUUUUGCAUGAUUUGUUAUUUAUAUCUUGCCAGAUUGGGACUCUCAAUCUGGGAAGAUGAAGUGUUUAUACUUCCAUUCGCUUCUUCUUGGUUACAGCUCUGUGAGAGUUUUCCGGUUGCCCAUUAGCCACUAGGUAUCAUUUUAUCAUACAUGGUUAAUGACAUACUUGACGAGGGACUAAAGACAUUCAUGGCUUUCCUUUCCCUCACUCUCCAUCAGUAAUUCUUUAGAUGUUAAAUAUGUUAAAAAUCAAUUGAUCACUCCUGAUUAUGUACUUAUUAUCCAUUGAUUUAGUCAACUUAUUAAAUCAGGAGAGGAAGUUUUGGGACCUUUUGGGCCAAUACUUGAGAGUCGUGCCUUGUGAUAUUUCAAGUUGGUACUUGGUAGUACAUUGAUUAUAGUGACGCAAGAGUAGUAGUUGUUCUACAAUUGCUAUGUUUCUAUGGAGGAUCAAUUAUUGUGGUUGGGUUGGUAGCUCUUGUUCUAUUGCUUAUGCAGUCGUUUGCUCCUCUGUUUAGAUUGCAGAACCUUUAUGGAAAGGGUUCAAGAAGUUGCUGAAUCCCAAAGGAGUAAAGAGGAAGACAAAGAUGCUUCUGCUGCUGCCGGAGUGCUUGAGAAGUUGAGUGUUGAAGACAAGGCAGGCAAAGAGAAAGCUGAAGAAAAACCCAAAGAGGAGACCAAAGAAAAGGCUCCUGCUGCAGGCAAGGAGAAGGUUUCGGAAAGUGAAGACAAGGAGACCGCUUCAACUUGAGAGAAUACUGAUGCCUUGAGUUCCCAUUUCUGAUUUGGUGAAGUUAAAACUCUCACUUCGGUCACCACCCAUUCCAUAGAAUGUCUAGUCUGGAGAGGUCGGUGGAGUGUCAGAUAUGGGUGGCAAUGGUGUGGGUCUUCUUGGUCAGGUGUAGAAGUCUGUCAAUGGUUGGUUUAAAUUCGAGUCCUCUUUAUGUGGGGAGUCACAUUGUUUCGAUUUUGGUCUUGUGUGCGAAUAUAACUAGAGGUUUUGACCAGUGGUAUUUAUUUGCCUGGAGUAAGUUGUUUGUUGAUUUAUAUGCUUGAUGUUACAAAUUACAACGGCUUGCGCUGCCGAAAGAGUUUGGGGAAAAAAAUUUUCCAUCUUGAAUGCCUUAUUCCUUCUAUUAUAUCAUUAUAUGUUUUGAUUCCUAAACAAAGGCAGUUAGCUAGUAGUAGAAAGUUACCGUCCGAAGUAUUUGCUGGUAUUAGAAGAACUUGUGGCAUGGCUGUGCAUGCAGCCUUCCAAAGAAUUCUUAUCGAGCAUUACGUAGACACUGGAAUUCCCAUAAGUAUUGUGAUCUAGUGAUCGUGCGAGAAGUGUAACAGCCUGAGUGGUUUGGGUAGUUCUAACGGGCUUGAAUGUUCUUGUUGCGUAUGGUGGUCAAAGCAGAGUCUUAUCUUCGCCGCUGGGGCAAACCAAAAGGAUUGAAAGAGACCCAAAAUGGUCCAUUACUUGUGCUUUCUUUGCUCAUUAUAGCAAGGACAAAAUAGCCAGCGAAGGAGGUUGAUUCCCUUUCUUUUGAGGAUUCCUGGGGCCAAAUUUGGAUCCUGAGUCCUGGCAUCAUCCCGUGUGCAGUACAUGUGAACUAUUUUUUUUAGUAUUACCUCUUUUAUCGUAGAGUGCGAGGAGAUUUUGCUGAUCAGUUAAGUUGGGCAGAAUCAGAGUAGCAGCAUUGAGCAGCAGCAGCAGUAGUGUUAAGUCACAAAUCUCCAAACGAAAGCGCAUCACAAAGGGGGUCACGAGCGUCAGGGAAUGGGCUGGGCCGAGCAUUCAAAUUAUGGUGGGGUGCAACAAUAACUAGACCAAAGUAAUUUCCUGCUGCAACAGUUAUGCCUUAACCAGCCUGCUUUACGGUAUGCAUUUUGCAGUUGAAAUUGUGUGCUGCUGGAGGACUGGAAUCGCAGCAAGAUCUGAGCCCUGCGGAUUCCUGUAAGGUGGCUGGGUUUAUCAUCUAAUUCUCUCAUCGACAAUAGUACUGCAGGAUCAGCCGAUUAUGACAUGAAUGAUCGGAAACAAAUCAAUGAACCUAAUCUUAUCAAAUAACCGGGGAGGAUAGAAAUUGCGAGCUCCCAAACAAAUCCAAAGAACUCGAACUGACUUCGUUUGUCUGCUUCUGCUGGCUAGUGAGGUCGAAAACAGUCCGCAUCAAAGAUGUUUUUUUUUUUUUUUUGGAUCAGUUGUCACCAUCUACACCUAAUCAAAAAAAAUAUUUUAUGCGGACUUUUUUAAACUUUUAUUGUCCCUACCGUUCCACACACGAGGGCCAAACCAAAGGAGACCUCGAUUAAGGUUUCCGGUUUGCUUCAAUAGCUGCGCUUGGGCAUGGUACUUUGAUGGGGCAGGAUACAGAUGUUAGGAUUGCAUUAAAUGCGUGAUAUUGAAAGCACUCCAAACACAUUCUUCGCCUCUGGUGCAAAUUUUUUGUUUUUUUCAUCAGCAGUCUGCGGCCUGCCCAUGCAGUGUAUACCUAUCAAUAAAAUUCGGCAUUUAAGAUGUGUACGGUUGGUACUUGUACGCUAAUCGUUCUUGUGAUUUUUGGUAGAAAGAAAACCAAGGCCAUCUUUGGUUGUUGAUGCGACUGCCGAAGUGAAGAUCCGAACUGAGCUGGUUGAGCGUCCGACCUGCACGUGAGCGAGCUGCGGGGCUGAGUCCCCUGUAGCAACUCCGACGAUCAAGUCAGAACUAGUUUGUAAGUAAAAAGAGUAGAGUCUGCACUAUGAGUAGCGUACCUUGUGUUUCUUAUGGGUGUGGUAUUUAUAGAACACCAGGUGGUAGUUUCCUGUAGGACAAGGAGUCCUUAUUGGAGAGGAUAAGCCUCUAGGGCUCCACUACCCAGCUCUGGUAGACGAGGCUCCGAAGCCCAUCAGGCCCAUCCGCCUGGGAGGCGGCGCUCGUCUGGUCCUGCAAGAGGACCUGACCCCUAGACCAGCCCAUCACGUCAGGACUCUUGGGCCGAGCUGACGUUAUGCGGACCGGAGCUGACGUGUAUGCGGACCGGGCCGAGCUGACGUGUAUGCGGACCGGGCCGAUGUGCUCAUGGGCUCCACUACACUAGCCCCCCCUCUAGUCUAGAGUCACCGAACAGGCGCGUGAAUCUAGGCCGACUUUCAGAGCGUCGCGUCAGCUCGGUGCGGGCCCCUGUCAAGGAGUGGUGCAAGCAACCGUCGCGUCGGUUCGUGUCUGUCACCUCAACCGUCGCGUCGACCAGUUAUGGCGGUUGGGAACGGUUCCCCAUAAAUAGUUCAAAUAAAUGCGCGCCCUCUCGUCUUCCCGCCCUGAGAAUCGCCUAUAAAUAGGCCCCUUGGGCGUCAUUUUCACUCCUCCUUCUUCGCUCUAUCAGUUCGCUCCUUUCACUCCUAACUCGCUGCUUCAAACUUUUUUCUUUCAGAACACGUCGGGUCAAUCUUCCUUAGGAGCCCAGGGUUAGUUCGGCCCUCCCUAAAUCAGCUUUUCAUCCGAUCUCCUUCCAUCAGUAAGUUUCCUUUUCCUUUUUAUGUCUUCUUAUAGUUCUGAUAGCUCUGACGUUACCAGUUCGGCCCCUAGGCACAGAGCAGCUAGCCCCAUACUCCUAGAUAGCCCCUCUCCCGACCCCUCAAGUUCUUCUCCUUCCACUUCAUCUGGGUCAGUAACCGCGCCUUCUCCCAUACAAUCUCCUGUCCAAAUAAUGAGCCCGCCGAACAAACUGCCCAGCCUCUAGUCGAGGCUGCGGAACAGGCAGCUCCAGCUCAGAUGGCCGCGGGGACCUCGGGAGGACCUAGUGGCGACUUUGGAGAGGUCGACACUAUCCCCCCUGCCCUGGGACAGAAGGAAGUUGACGGGCUGGCCGAAAAAUAUGAAAUCCCAGCCCAGUUUGAACCUAGGGCUGCCCUACCGGGGGAGGUCGCCAGCCGACCUCCUCCUGGCUUCGUGGCGAUCUAUAGGGACCAGCUGAUGGCUGGUCUCCGCCUGCCUAUUCCCAACUUCUUCUUCUUCAUCCUCACCUUCUGGGGCAUCCGCAUAACUCAGGUCAUCCCCAAUGGUGUUCGCUCCAUUAUAGGCUUUUUCAUCCUCUGCCGAGCACUAGAAAUUCCCUUUUCCCACGACCUGUUCCAAGCCUUCUUCCAGAUGAAGGUCAGCGGGAAGGUGCCCGGGUGGUUCUACUUCGCCCGUAGAAGUGGAGCAAAAACCCCACCCGCGAGCUGUUCACGGGGGUACCUUCCUCCAUCAAAGACUGGAAGCGUUACUUCUUUUUUGUGAAGAGCCUGGGCUUUCCCCCUCUGACCUGGAGGGCGGAGACUCAGGUUUCGGAUCCACUUCCAGAUCCGCUCCCUGUAGCCGAGCUCAGCCGCCUACUCAGCUCAGACGAGAAGCUGGAGGUGAAAGAGUUCAGCAAUGCCCAACUCUGGGCGGCGGGGCUGAUCCGAGCUAACCCCUCAGAUCCCUCGCCAGAAAUAGGCCGCUCUCGCCAGACGAGCUGACCUCUUGUAAACGACCUGGCCCUCCUUUUCUUUCCUCUCUUUGUUUUAUGCAUCUACUGACCUUCUGGUCUUCUGCUUUUUGCAGUGAAGAGGUUUUCUUCCCUUCUAACCAUCGGAGGAGCCAGCACUCCAGGUGCUACUACCCAGCCCUCCUCAGCCAUUCCAACCAGCUCGGCACCAGUUCCGACGCCUCAGCCAACUCCUGCUCAGUCCGCCAAGGCUGUCGAGGCUGGGAAGAAAAAGAAGAAGAAGACAACUGCCAAGAGGGCAAGAGUGGAGACGACCUCCUCCCCAGUUCAGGAAGAGAGGUCCACGCCCGAACCUGGUCAGGGCGGUCACUACGGCGUGAAUACUGCCGAGGAGCAAGCCCGAGCUGACGCUCCUCCUAACCUGUGGCAACGCCAGAGUUCUACCCUGCUAUUCGACCCACAGACGCGGCUGAUCACGCACCAACACCCAAUGCACUUCUGUCCUCAGUGGAAACUCUCCAUAAACGACCGAGCUCAAUUCCCAGAGGUGGCCAGGGAGCUCGCUCAGGGGGCCAUCCUUCCAAGGGACCACAGCUUGGUCAAGGCCAUGGAGGCGUCUGACCUCCUCGACUAUUAUUACACAGGCGCGGCCCAAGUGAACUUGGUUGGUUCCGAGCUGGCCAAGCGCUAUGAGGGCCUCCUCCCCCUGAUGAGCGAGACGAGGGCGGCCAAUGAGAAACUGCUCAGCCAGAACGAAGCAGCUGUGGCAGAAGCUGAAGGUCUGAGGAAGCAGCUCGCCCAGGCUCACUCUAAUUUUGAACUGGAGCUAAAGAAGAACUCCGACCUGACCUCUCAGCUGCAUGGGGAGCAGAAGAGGAGCGCCGAGCUGUCUGCUCAGGUCGAGGCGGCUAGGACUGAGGGAGCCCAGGAGGGCGUGCGGGCCUUCCUCAGGUCGGAGGAUUUUAGGGGCGACCUGGCCAUCCUGAAUACUCCCGUGCUGCAUCAUGGGUAUUCUCAAGCCCUGGAGGAGGUGCAAAGGCUGGGUUUGCCUGGGUUUGAUUUGGGCAAGUUUCCCAGCUACAACCCCCUGGCUGUGGAGCAGCUCGACCGCCUGGUGGAGGGUUACACGCAUGGACGGAAGUUGGCCGACCUGGUUGCCGAUCCUCAGCUGCCAGUAACCACUCCUGAAACCGAUCAGGAGGAGGAAGAGGGCGAGAACUAGAGUAGGAACUUAGGAUAGGAUCUGAACUGUCAGUAGGCAGUUCGUUUUGUAUGAGCUUUGCUCUUCCUCUGUGCAAUUCCUUUUGUGCGAGCUUGGCUCCCCUUUGUACAGUUUUAUUGAAUGAAAUGAAAAGGCCUUUCCCCUUGCUUCAUUCUUAGUCUUAUUUGCAAAAAUCGUCACAAAGUGCAUCAGGUCGGUCCAAUACCGACCUGAGGAAACUACUCCCUAAUGAUGAAAUAACUUUUUAGCCGAAUACAUUAAUAACAAAAAGGUCUUGACCUUGGGACGAGCUGUCCUCUUAACGAAAAAUCCUCAAGUUGGAAUUGUGCCAGGUUCGCGGGAGCACUUCCCCGCUGAGGUGGGCUAACUUGCAGUGCCCAGCUCGAUCCGCUUCUUUCACCACAUAGGGACCUUCCCAAUUUGGGUCCAGCUUGCUCGCGCCCAGAACCCGACUGACACUAUUCUUUCGUAAGACCAGGUCCCCUGGUUUGAACGACAGAGGUCUCACCCUAGCAUUGUAGUGCCGCGCGAUCUGUCCUUUGUACUUGGCCAUACGUAUGGCUGCCUCCUCCCUUCUUCCUUCCAGCAGAUCCAAAUUAAGGCGCAGCUCAUCUUCAUUGUCCCGAGCUAUGAAAUUCUGAACCCUGCCCGAUGGAAUUCCUAUCUCCGCAGGGAUCACCGCCUCUGCUCCAUAAGUUAGAGCAAAAGGAGUCUCCUGGGUAGCAGUUCGGGGAGUGGUUCGGUAAGCCCACAAUAUGGUUGGCAGCUCGUCCAUCCACCCAGUUCGGGCGAAUUCUAUCCGUGUCUUCAAACCGUGCAGGAUGGUUCUGUUGACGUUUUCGACCUGUCCAUUGGCCUGAGGGUGGCCAACCGAGGUGAAGUGCUGCCGGAUCCCGAGCUCCGAGCACCAGUCUUGAAGAGCGGUGUCAGCGAACUGACGCCCGUUGUCAGAAACCAGGACAUGAGGUAUUCCAAACCGGCAAACGAUGUUUUUCCAAAGGAACUUCUGCACCGACCUGCUGCUAAUGGUGGUAAGGGGCUCGGCCUCCACCCAUUUGGUGAAAUAAUCCACUGCCACUACCACAUGUUCAUAACCCCCAGGAGCUCGGGGAAACGGACCCAACAGGUCGACUCCCCAUUGGAAAAAAGGCCAAGGACUCUGAAGAGGGAUCAUCUCCUGAGUUGGGACGUGAUGGAUCGGCGCAUGCAGCUGACAGGAUUUGCACCGAGCUACCAGGUCGGCUGAAUCCAAGAAGAUGGUCGGCCAGUAAUAUCCAGACAGCAUUCCCUUCUUGGCCAGAAUCCUUGGGCCGACGUGGUUUCCACAUAUGCCCUCGUGCAGCUCCCGCAGGAUGUAGUUUCCUUCCUCCGGAGUGAUACACCUCAGCCAGGGGCGCAGGUAAGAUUUCUUGUAGAGUACCCCAUUCGAGAGCUCAUAUCCCCGCGACCAUGAGGAGGACCCUCCGUGCCUCCGCCCGGCUUGGAGGGAGUUCUCCACUAGCCAAGUACCGCACGAUGGGAUCCAUCCAUGAGCCCAACACUUGAAUAACAGCUGCCUCUACCUGGUCGUAUGCCCGAUUCCUGACAACCUCUACCAGGACUUCUUUGUUCAAUGUACCGACCGAGGUGGAAGCCAGUUUGGACAGAGCAUCCGCUCUCUUAUUUUGGCUUCGCGAGACCUGCUUGAGUGUGAAUACCUUGAACUGAGCUCUCAGCUCAUGCACUUUGGCGACAUACCUCCUUAAGGGCUCUUCCUUAACCUCAUAACGUCCUCCUACCUGAUUCACUAUUAGCUGCGAGUCGCUGUAGACUUCUAUUGACUCGGCCCCCAACUUCCGAGCUAUCAUCAUCCCUGCGAUUAGGGCCUCAUAUUCGGACUCGUUGUUAGAGGCCCUGAAAUCAAACCUCAGGGCGUAGGCCAGCUCAUCCCCCUUGGGGCUAGUCAAGAGAAGCCCUGCUCCACAGCCUUCCUUGCUUGAGGAUCCAUCCACGAAAAGCGUCCAGGUCGGGAUGGUCCGAUCGACCUUGCCCGUGACCUGUUCAGCAUCAACAGCCUCUUUGACCUGCUCGGCCUUGGCUCCCUUUGUGGCCUGUGCGACCUCGGCAAGUCCCUCGGCCUGCUUGGCCUCGACUGCGUCUAUGGUCUGUUCAGCCAUGAAAGCCUUAGCACCCUUUGUGACCUCGGCAGCUUCUCCGACCUGUCCGGCCUCAGCCACGUCUUGGGUCGAUUUGGUACCGGCGGCUUGUACGACCUCGACAGCUCCUCUGGCCUGUUCGGCCUUGGCUGCGCCUCUGGUCAGCUCGGCUGGCGACUGCUCUUGCCCAAAGGAGAUUCCUUCAGCUAUGAAAUCUGCCAAUGCUUGAGCCUUAAUGGCCGUGCGGGGUUGGUAGCUAAGAUCGUAUUCAGACAACUCCACUGCCCACCUUACCAUUCUUCCUGAUGCAUCAGGCUUUGAGAGAAUUUGCUUGAGAGGCUGGUCGGUCAUGACCACCACGGGGUGAGUUUGCAAGUAGGAUCUGAGCUUCCGGGUCGCGUGCACCAGUGCCAAAACAUACCGCUCAAUUGAGGUGUACCUCGGCUCCGCCCCCUGCAAAGCCCGGCUGACAUAGUAUAUGGGCUUCUGGAUUUUGCCUUCUUCCCGAACUAGUACCGCACUGAUCGCCUCCUCCCCAACUGCCAGAUAGAUGAAUAAGACUUCUCCUUGUGCGGGAGAGGUCAAGGCUGGCAAGCGCGCGAUGUGGGCCUUGAGCUCGUCAAAUGCGCGCUGGCACUCUGGAGUCCACUCGAACUGGGGACCUCUCCGCAGGGCCCUGAAGAAGGGGGAACCUCGGACGGCUGACUUCGACAAGAACCUGUUCAGGGCCGCCAUCCUGCCAGCUAGCCGUUGGACCUCUUUUACGUUUCGAGGAGGAGCCAUGUCCAUGAUAGCUUUUACCUUGUCGGGAUUAGCUCUUACCCCGUCCUUGGAUAUCAUGUACCCCAGGAACUUGCCCGACCUGACCCCGAAGGUGCACUUCUUGGGGUUCAGCCGCAUCCGCGAGCUCCGUAGAACGUCAAAGAUCUCUCUGAGGUCCUUGAUGAACUGAUCCUGAGUUCGGCUUUUUACCAGCAUGUCAUCCACGUACACUUCCAUAUUUCGGCCGAUCUGGUUUUUAAACAGCUUGUUGACCAGCCGUUGAUAGGUCGCACCUGCAUUUUUCAACCCAAAUGGCAUGGUGGUAUAACAAUACGUACCGUAUUCGGUGAUGAAGGCAGUUUUCCUGAUCUUCCUCGUCCAGAGCUAUCUGGUGAUAACCUUUGAAAGCAUCCAGAAAGCAGAAGAUCUCGUACCCCGUGGUAGAGUCUACCAACUGGUCGAUACGAGGGAGGGGGUAACAAUCCUUCGGACAGGCCCUGUUCAGGUCGGUGAAGUCUACACACAUCCUCCAGGCCUUAUCCUCCUUUUUGACCAGCACGGGAUUGGCCAACCAGGUCGGAUAGUAGAUCUCCUUCACAAUUUUGGCCUCCAACAGCUUGCCUACCUCUUCUUUGACGACCUCAUUGCGCUCGGGAGCGAAAUUCCUCUUCUUUUGCUUCACUGGCCGGAUGUUUGGAUCAACGUGCAAUCUGUGAACUGUCAGCUCGGGAGGGACUCCGGGCAUGUCAUCAGCACUCCACGCAAAAAUCUCGGCAUAUUCCUCCAGCAGAGACUCCAGGGCUCUCCGUGUCAGCUCGCUCAGUCCAGCUCCGGUCUUUACCCCACGAUCAGGUCGCUUGAGACAGAUGGGCAGUUCGACCAGACUCUCAUCCGUCUCCAACCUUUCCUCCUUUUCAGCAGGCUCCCAGGGCUCCAGACAGGUCGUCUGGGCCACCAGCUUCUCCUUGCCUUUGAGGGUUGCGAUGUAACAGGCCCGAGCCACCUCCGGGUCCCCCAGCACCUCGGCCACCCCAUCAGGCGUUGGGAACUUCAUGCUAAGGUGCAGGGUCGAACAGACAGCCCGGAGUGCGUUUAAGGUAGGUCGUCCCAGUAUCAUAUUGUAGGAGGACGGCUCCUUUACCACCGCGAAGUUCACCGGGACAGUUCGGCACUUGGGCGACUCCCCUACCGUGACCAUGAGGGUUAUCAUUCCUUCUGGCCUGACUGGCGGACCUGCAAAACCUAUCAAGGGAGUUCGAACGGGGAUGAGCUGCUUGUCUUCCAGCUGCAACUCCUUGAAGGUUUUGUAAUACAGCACAUCGAUGGCACUCCCAUUGUCGAUGUACACUUUCUUUACCUUGUAGUUACACAUGAUAACUUCUACCACAAUUGCUUCAUGGUUAUUGGAGGCUAAGGGUACUGCGUCCUCUGGCCCAUAUAUGAUCUCCUCGUACACCUUUAAUCGCUUAUUCGAGCUCUCCCCGCUGGGAGGAGGCCGGUUGUUUCGCCGAGCAGUGUGGCUAUCUCCUCCAGCAGGUCCCCCGCAAUGGUGUUGAUCACUCCGGCUAGGUUCUGGACCCCCUGCUCCGGAGUACGAUCACGGGGACCUCGAGGUCGGUCGUGCGAGCUAGUCGUCCGAUCUCGCUUGAAACCUCCUUGCUUCUGAUCUGCACGCCCGUCACGGACGAACUGCCCAAGAUGACCUCUCCGUAUCAGUUUCUCGAUCUCCCUUUUGAGGUGCCGACAGUCCUCCGUGUCGUGCCCUACGUCCCUGUGGUACGCACAAUACAAGCCCUGGUCGCGCUGAGCUUUAUCACCCCCCAACGGCCGAGGAGGGCGAGAGAUCCCUUGCUGCUCCAUUACAGCCAGAACUCGAGCUCGGGGCGCGGUGAGCGAAGUCCAGGUCUUCUCUUUCUCCCAUGGUUGGCUCCGAGGCAAGCGCUCGGUAUGUUCUUGCGGCCCUGACCUGUCCGUGACUCCCCCAGGUCGGAGCCCUUCCUGCGCUUGUCAUCCCGCAGCCUUUCCUGGACGCCCUUCAACCGAUUGCUUCCUCGGCAUUUGCCUUCUCAUGAGCUCGGUCUAGCAUCUCCCGGACGGACUUGGGAGGUCUCUCUACAAACUCCGUGUACAAUUUCUGCUUGCGCAGCCCAUUGACAAAGGCUGCCAUCACCACACUUGUCAUCUCGGUCACGCACCUGAAGGGAUUCAUUGUUGAAACGCACCAUAUAUUCACGCAAUGACUCCUCAGGCCUUUGAUGAACAGUCAUCAGGUGAGCCGUGGUUUUGGAAUAAGCGCGAGAGGAGACGAACUGGGCCGCGAACAGCCGCGCGAGCUGACUGAACGACCGAACUGACCUGGGGGCAAACCCUGGAACCACUGUCGGGCCUUUCCCUCCAAGAACAUCGGGAAGGUCUUGCACCUAACUGCAUCCGCAGCUGUCUGUAGGCGCAUCUGAGUCAGGAACGCGAACAAGUGAUCCUCCGGAUCUGUGGUCGCGUCGUAGGAUUUCAUGGUUGGUAUUUUGAACUUGGCAGGCAGAGGGUAAUCUUCGAUAUCCGGUACGAAAGGAGAGGCAGUGUACCUAUCCGCCUCCGGAUCCAGCAGGAGAUCCAGUUCAUCCUGGACCUGAUAAUUCUCCUUCCUAUGAGGGUCCUCCAUCCGGGCAGGCCUCAGAACGGGCUCCGGAUGGCUAGUUCGGGAAUUCCUAUGAGAGGGCUCUGGCACCGGGACCUGCUCGCGUGUAACUUCCCUUCGCGCCCUCUUCGACCUGGGGCUUCCAGAUCGGGAUUCCGAACUCCCUGUUCUGCCCGUUUUCCGCACCCGACGCUCCGGGCUGGGAGGGACCCCAGAUUGUCCCUUCACUGCACCAGAUUGUCCAGAUUGUCCCUUCAAGUAGUCACAUAGCCUCAAAAGUAGGCAAGUUCGCGGCAACCGACUGCACCAGUUGUUCCGGCGAGAUCUGCGAGAGCUCGACCCUUGCCUCCCCUGUGUUGGCUUCCUGGUGAACUUGCUGGGGACCGCCCUGUGCGUUCCCCUCAGCACCAUCCACAUUCCUCUGAAUCUAGUUUCGGCAUGUUGUUCGCGAAAAAAGAGAAUACUUGUUUCCCACAGACGGCGCCAAUUGAUGCGACUGCCGAAGUGAAGAUCCGAACUGAGCUGGUUGAGCGUCCGACCUGCACGUGAGCGAGCUGCGGGGCUGAGUCCCCGUAGCAACUCCGACGAUCAAGUCAGAACUAGUUUGUAAGUAAAAAGAGUAGAGUCUGCACUAUGAGUAGCGUACCUUGUGUUUCUUAUGGGUGUGGUAUUUAUAGAACACCAGGUGGUAGUUUCCUGGUAGGACAAGGAGUCCUUAUUGGAGAGGAUAAGCCUCUAGGGCUCCACUACCCAGCUCUGGUAGACGAGGGCUCCGAAGCCCAUCAGGCCAUCCGCCUGGGAGGCGGCGCUCGUCUGGUCCUGCAAGAGGACCUGACCCCUAGACCAGCCCAUCACGUCAGGACUCUUGGGCCGAGCUGACGUGUAUGCGGACCGGGCCGAUGUGCUCAUGGGCUCCACUACAGUUGUCAAUUUGCAUAAUUUUCAGUGCAGCGUAUGGCGCCUCCGGUGGUCCGAUUGGAACACAAGCAGUCGUGAGCUCAGUGGUAGCCAGUUUGGUUUGGUGGGGUUUUCUUUGACUACUGAGAUCACCCACUUUUCCACCGGGCCAAUGCCUUCUUGCGACCCAAAAUAAAACUACCUCAAAAUGGAAUCACCCCCCAUCGAUUACUACUGUUAUCGAUCAAUAAUGUAAACUUCUUGAUUCACAUUCAAAGCAUUUUUUUUAUCACUAGUUUCUAAUAGACGAUUGUUGACUCUAAACUUCAAAAGCAUGGAAUAGUUAAGCCAAUGUAUGUGCACUUAGCAAAUCACUUCGUCUUUAAUCCCAGUUAUUAUGUUUAAGAUCAUUGGACUACCAAGACUCCUUGGUAUUUAAAAAGUCUUGCAUCUCUACAAUUCCAUCAAGGAGAAUGAAAGCAUCAAAUGGUCGUGCUAUCGGAGAACAUUCUUCUUAUAGGCAGGAUCAUAUAAGGUUUAUGUGGAUCUUUUUAUGAACGCUUAAAAUUUUGCUCCUGAAAACAGGAACAAGUUGUUCCUGAAUUUUGAUUAUAAUUAAGAACUUGAUCGAAACUAUAACUCUACUGCGGAGGUCAUUCGGUUCGAGGGAGAGGAGAGAUGAGAGAUGAGAGAAAAAAAAAAAAAAACUGGUCUAGCUGGUGUAAAAGAAUUCAUGUAUUUGUUCUCAUGUUUGCUGAUUAGUUCACAAAUACAAACACAGCAGUGAGCUGGUGGUCACCAUCAAUACAUUAAAGUUUAGUGGGUAUGAGACAAGGGUUCAAACCUAGUCUCCCCUCAAUUUGCCAUAUUAAAAAAGUGGUUCUACUUAAAAAGUCCAAGUUAGUGCGUAAUAGUGCACUUGUCUGGUCCGAUAAUAGGUCGAUCCCCUCCGAAUUAUCCUUGAAUAUCUCCAGAUCUUUCUCCUUCCCCUACUAUAAAAUAAUCUAUUGUAUACAAAAAAAAAAAAAAAAACAAACACAAUAGUGGUCGAAUCGCAAUAUUCAGAUCAAGACAGCUGCCCAAAUCUCACCCUUCCCCCACACUCCCAACACACACACACACACAAAACACCACCACCACCAAAAAAAAAAAAAAGAAGGCUAUAGAUAUUUUAGAGCUUAGAAGACAAAACCCACAAAUUUGUUGUAAGUAUAGAUACUUUACCUUUCUCUUUAGUGCUAAAAUGUCAUUUGAUAUUCUAACAUAGUAAUUGACAGACACCGUAAAUGUGUUAGAAAGGAAAAAAAAAUGAUAAAUGUGUUGGCAAUUUUUUUCAUUCUAGUGUGAGUAAAUCUGACUUAGCUAAGAUACGUGUCUGACAUGUUUCAUCUUUUCCUUCAAGGCGUCGGAUAUUCCAAGUCCAGCUUAACAUUUAAUGCAAGAUAAUCACUAGAAAGUACUAUUUUAUUCUGAGGUGGACAACAGUUAUUAGGCAAGCAAAAGGCAAGAAUUAGAAUAGAGAAGCAAUUCUAGAGCUAGCAGGUGCAGAACAUAUUAUUCCAACUUGGCAAUUUGGGUGCAAGAAUUUGCAAAAUGAUAACUAUUUUCCACAAGUGUUUUUUGCAACUAUAUAGACUAAGUGUGAAAGCCGGGGAUCCACGGCAGCGUGGUCGUCCUCCACGUGGCGAGAGGCAAUUGGCUUUCUGGUGACGUGGCACGAUGUGAGUGGUAGUCAUAUGUGCUUGGUUGCAUCUGAUUUUUUCUCCUCCUUCUUCGUCCCGUCUUUCCUUCCUUUCGCUUCUGUACUGUUUUUUCUUCCGCUUCCUUCUUCUCUAUCCACUCAUCAACUUCUUUUCUACCUACUUCAACUUGCUUCUUUUUCGCCACAUAUUGGUAUUGUUUCCACUUCAAAAUUUGCCUUUGUUACACUUGAGUUUUUCACUUAUUUCUUUUUCAUUCGUCUUUCCUUCCGUUUGUUUUUGCUACUGUGUUGCUUUCUGCCCACUUUUUUUUUUUUCCUUUUCGGCCAUACACUCCCGCUGUUUCCACUCAAAAAUUACUGUGCCUUCACAGUCCUUACACAUCAUUCCCACAUUCUUUCUGUUAUUUCCUUUCUGAGGAUUAGGUGGCUGUGAUGAUGAAACCUAUUGCUUAUCCUCCUUAUUUCUCUAUACAAUCAGGUAAUUGGUAUGUUCAUGCCUAUUUCGCUGUUGUUGCUGCUCCUCAUCGUUGCCGAUUCCACGGUAUCCGGUGAGCUCCCCUGCUCUUUUAUGGACUCAUUUUACUCUUUAUUCCACAUUUCCCCCUUUUCUCGUCUCGAUCGAUCUCUGGUUUUUAUCGUUUACGUUGCCAUAUGGAUAUUUUGCUGUAUACAUGUUAUUGUUUAUCUUGACCUUGUGCUCUUUCUUUACUGCUUAGUUUCCUUUCGAUUGCCUAAGUCACUUCCCUCGACGAUUCUUUUCUGACAGGCUUGCUACAUGUGCAUUAAUAUAGCUAAUUGCCUUUGUUUUGUCAUAAUUUGUGCAUUUGCUUGCUUUGCUUUUGUUGUGAUUUUUCCUUUGUUUCGGAGGCAUUACUUGCUCUGCUCUAUUUUCUCUUUUUGUAUUUCACUUUUGUAUUUCAAAGACUAGAACAAUGGCUUUAUGGAGCCUUGAGCCAUCAUGGUUAUCUUACUUGGGAGGCUCGUAUGAAAGUUUAGUGGCCUCUGUACAAGCGUAAGUCCAUCUAUAAAUUUCUUCUUGUCUUUGAAGUUAUUGUUAGGUUCCAUUUUAAGUUCAAACGAGAUAUGCUUCUUGCAUUCUUGCAUAUUAGCACGAGGCAAUUGAGCCCAAAAUAGCGCAUCGAGAUAUAAAGUCAAGCAAUAUACUCAUUGAUGAUGACUUCGAUGCUAAAUUAUCUAAUUUUGGUCUGGCUAAGUUGCUUGGUGCAGGAAAAGUCAUAUUACAACCAAAGUUAUAGAUUCCUUUGGAUGGGUAUUUAUAUCAGGCAUCCAAUCUCAAUUGAACAAAGUCUUUUUUUCCUUACUGCUUUCUGUUUACAAGCUCUCUAAUUAACCCAAACUUGGCUUUUCUUUUUCUAACAUUCUCUAUUUUUCCCCUUUUUUAACCCAUAUAGAUAUGUAGCAUUUGAAUAUGCAAAUAGUGGCCUCCUAAAUAAGAAGUGUGAUGUUUAUAGCUUUGCGAUUGUGCUUUUGGAAGCCAUUACUGGAAGAGAUCCUGUAGAUUAUGGUUGCUCUGCACCUGAGGUAUGAUAGAUAGCAAUGUUCGAAUAUAUAUACACAUGUUUGUCUAUAAAUAUCAAAAGUUUUGGCUGAAGAAUUGGCAUGCUUUUAUUAAUGAGUAAACUGGAUUGUUUAAAAUUAAAAAUUCAGAUAAAAAUUGUCAUGAAUAAUAUGAAACUGCAAUUCACAAUUUUCAGCCAUAAUCAAUCACAAUCUGUACUUUAUGUACUUUCCCUUCCUCUGUUUUCCAAUGUUUUCUUGAACCUACAGUAUCCAAGUUUGAUAUAGAAGUUUGAAAAUACACAUCAUGAUGAUUGGUUCUGAGUAUAGAAGAUCUUCUCAGCAUUAUGAAAAAGAUUCAUAUCUUUACUAUCUUGAUUUCCAGUCAUUUGCUGUUUGAAAUUGACCAAUUACGAAGACAUCUUGCCACUCAUGUUGAAAUUGACUCUAUGUUUUGAUUUAGAUUUUAUUUUCAUAAUUUCUACGUUCAUAUUAAAGCCUGAAUCCUUUUCAUCUAAUAAUCUGGUUGCAGGGUGUUCAUCCAUGCAGAUAAGAGAAGCAUCAAUCAGUAUCAGUGUCUUUUUCUUGCAAUAGAUUUUUCACUGGCAAGUGUUUCAAAUCUCUGCUACCAGUCAUUUAGGGUGAUAUAGUGUUAUCAUUGGUCAUGGACCAGAUAUUUCAAAAAGUUUUUCCUUACAUAUGAUUGGAUCUUGAAUCUUGAUUUAUGUUUAGAUAGAAAGUGAUGAGGAUACUUUGUGGAAGGCAAAUGUCAAGGAGACAAAAGAAGAAGUUGCAGGUAGAGGAAUGAACUUCAAGAAAUAGUAAACCACUUUAUUGUUAUUACAUUAGAAGUUGAACUUUAAUCACAACCACAAGUUUGUGUUCAAAUGCAUAUAGGCUCGCACUUGUCAUUUGUUGAAAUAGAUUGCAGUAGUUUCAGUUUUGAAUAAGUAACCUCUGCUCAGGAGUAGUUUAAUAAAGUUUUUGAUUUUUGGACAUCUUGGUCCUUAUUGCUUGGUGGCAAAUGCAUAUGAUAGAAUGGGGCUUAGUCACAAGGUUGAUUGGGAGUUAACCUUGGACUAUGAUGCAAAACAUGGCUUCUCUUCCUCUCUCUCAACCAUUGUUAAUUCAAGGGAAGAUUAAAUACUCAUAUGCAUAUUUAUGAGUCUUUAUACAAUAUAGCUGCAUAUCAGUGAGUCAUUGUACAAUAUAUAGAUAUAGGUAGCCAUAGUUAUGCCAUACUGUCUGUAACAUAUGUAUUUAGAUUGGUUAUGCAUAAAAACAUGUGAAAGGUUCGACCCAUCCACAUGAAUCAUUUAGGAAGAUUCUUGUGAAUGAGAUUGAUUCUUUUCUGCAUUACCUUCUCUAGAACACUCCUCUGAAAAACAUAUAUCAUGGAUGCAGGUUAUUGACAUGAAGAGAGAGAGAGAGAGAUGGCUGUUAUUACUUAUAGUGGAUUCUUGUUUCAUACACUAUCCACAUUUGGUAAUGACUGUCACUCUUCAGUCAAGAAAGAAAUCGCUCAGCAGUAAGUUCUCGUGCUAUUAGUAUCUAUCUCCAAAAACUUUAAACUCCAUUUGGAUGAUGUGCUAUUGUUAUAUUUGAUUGUAUUUUGGCGCAAGUAUUGAUCAAAGCUUGUAAGCUGUGAAGCAAAUCGGAUAGUAGACUAUUUAGCUAAUGUAUGGGAUGCUAACAACAGGAUAUGUUUUAUUAUGAUGUUAUGCUCCACCAUUUUUUAGUUGUAGCAAGAUAGCUGUUUGGGGAUUUUAUUCUCGUUUUGUGUCUCGAUAUGAUUGUAUAUUAUUUUAAAGUUCCUUUAUGCAAAAAAAUUAUGAAAACUGCAAAAGCUAAAACUGUAGCUUAUUUUCACUAUUAAAUAAAAUAACAAAAACUGCAAAGAUAUAGAUGCACUUUUAUGUAACUUUUUAUAUUUAAUAUCUGAAUUUAGAUAAUUAAAUAUUUAUGGACAAGAUUGAAAAUUAGACCGCGUGAUACGCGGUGUCAUCCUCCCAGUCUAUUCUAAAGUUGUUAGUAUUUCGUACGAAAUGAAAUCGAAUCUCUGCUUUGGUGGGAUCGUCAUCGUAUUAUGGGAAAAUAAACGAAAAUGCGUUUCGGGCUUGAUGUGACUGCAGUUGGGAAAGUACAUGAAUCCAUGGCCGAAAGGAUAAUAUAUAUAUAUAUAUAAUAUAUAUACUAGUAUAAUUAACAAAAACAUUUCAUCAGCUUCCAGAAGGGGAAGUUUCAGAUUCCUCGAAGACAGAAACACGAGAAGAAGAUACCUUUUUUUUUUUUGUCAAGCACGAGAAGAAGAUACUUGGAGGAAUCUAACUGCAGUUUCCAAGGAAUUCAAUAAGAUUUUUCACGUAAAUUUGUCAGAAGAAUAUGCACAUUUGGAUGUUGAAGGAGGUCAGUAUGAGAAAAGAAAGGUGGCAGUUUAUUUAGAGUGAAGUGACACGUGUAUUCCAGGUGUCAAAAAAGUUAACGAGGAAGCACGCCUCAAAAUGUGAAGCCAAGUGGUGUAACGAAAGGGAGAAGACAUCUUACUUAAAGUCUUGAGGUCAUGCACAUACAAUGGUAAACAAAUACCAACCUACAACAACAAAAGGGUUUGGAAUCUUGGCCGGAUAAGAUAAACACUGAGAAAAGCGAGCAUAGGAGACGCGCCGCCGGGGGAAAAACCCCGUCCUUUCUUGUUUCGGAGCAUUUGCCACCGGAGUCAACUUGAACUUGUCGGCAAAUUGUUAUCAUCCAAUUAUUUACUAUAAUUGCGGACCCAAGCUUCUGCAGGUGUUGUCUAAGGAGUUCUAGUUGUUGGGUUUUAGGGACACUACGCGGCGGAAAAAUAAAAAAUUUUCCCUAAAACCAUCCAGGAAUCACCCUAGAUUUUACGUAUGAUGUAUAAAAAGUAGGGUUAUAGGAUUACCUUAAUCCAAGCAGCGUCUCCCUGCAGCGUUGUUUGAGGAUGGUCAGCCCUUGAGCAGUCCAAUCGUCCUGCCUCUACUGAUAUCCACGCUAGAGCAACCCUGAGUCGUCUCACGAACUAUGUAUUGAAGAGCAAGAAAAAGUUGCUAGCCCUUCUUGCUCUUAUUCGAAAAAUAUGUGACACUCACAGAUUCUCCCUUUUUCUAUUUGUUACCUUCCCUCUCGUAUCUGUAUCUCAGCCAAAAAACUAUUGGAGAGAGAGAGAGGAUACCUGAUAAUAUAUGAUGAUAAGUCUUCUUGUCUGAUUCAAAAUCAAAAGCCUAAGACUUCUCUUCACUCAAGACUCUAUCUAUCAUCAUCUGAUAGAUAAGAGAUAACCAUUUACUCUUAUCUGCUCAAAUAGGCCUGGGAUUAAUUUUCUUUUAAAAUUAAACCCCGAUAAUUACAUAGUUUCAAUCCAGGAUUAAAUCUCUAUUGCGUGUGACCCAAUAGGUCCCGAAUGUAUUGGUAAUAAUUAUGGUUUAAUAAUUAGAUAAAAUAAACGACUUUAUUUUAUCAUAACUUAUAAUAAAUAAUUAAUCCAUAAUUAUAAAUCACGAGCGGUGUCUAGCAACACAUCGUGAUUGCCCAAUUAUUCGGAAUUAGUCAAGGGAAUUUGACCUAACCUUUCCGUGAAAAAUUACCGUGUAAUUAUUAUCCUUUCACCAAAGAUAUCCAAUUAGUCAGGAAUAAGGAAUAAGUGCCAAUUCCCUGAUGACUAAUUAAAUUUUCUAGUUCCCGAAAUUUACCCUUAAUUAGGUUAAAUUGAAGACAUUCUUCAAUUUACCUAAUAGUCGACUUUAGGGUUAAUUUCUCACUAGUGGCCAUCCGGAUAUCAACUCCUUCUAUCAGAGUGGUAAAUCCUAUCUUGAUCACCCAUUUUCUUUACGUGCUUCACACUACAUCCAACUUCUACACUUUAAGGCUCAAAGAGUAACAAGUAAUUAGAGUCAAAAUGUAGCGAUUCACACUCAAGAUACUAUGGUGAUCUCAAGUCGUAGGAUCACUUACACAAUUUUUCACUAGAGAUACACCAUUGGCACUAGAUAGAUAUCCUAACGGGAUCUCUAAACGGAUCACUCCAAUGCAUUUGUACUUUUCAAAUCAUCUACACAUUAGCCUAAGUAUCUUCAUACCAUAGUUGAUGAGAACAACCACUAAUUACAUUAAUUAGAGGCUAACUGUGUACUAGUUUUACCGUACU